AGAGGGGGAGAGGUGGGGACGGGUGACGACGGAAGAAGGGGCAAAAAGGGGAAGGCAAAGACAAAUUAAAAAAGGAGGGAUCAAAUUGCGAUAAUAUCCCCAAGUGAUUUAUAUUGCCUAAAAUACCCCUCCGUGCCAGACCAAGUCGGCGACGCUUGGGGAGAGGAGAUCGAUUUGGAUUUGGAUUUGGCGUUUAUAACGGUGCGAUUGGACCGAAUAGACCGGGAAUGGGGUCCCAGGCCCACGGCUCACUACUGGAUCGUUCGUCAAAUACGGCCGCAGAAUUCGGUCCGGUCGAGCUCAGCACAGAGCCAAUUUGAUUUGGCUUCGGGACGAAGAUUUUAAAACCAAAUUUGAUUUACCUCUUGAGUCUGGGUCGGGCUAGGUCUCCCUUUCAGUAAUGUUUAAGCUUUUAAGCUUAGUAUAGGUUUUUGAACUAAUUUUUUAUAGUCAAUUCAGUUCUUUCAAAUUGAUUCUAAUUUUUAUUUGAAAUUAGUCAUAUCUAAGUUAAUAUAUAUUUUGACAAAUUCAUCAAUUUUUUUUGAAUUUUGAAUCAUUGUCUUAGCUAAUUCGUGGUGAAUGCCGAAUUUGUAUGCAAUCAACUUAGCUUGACUUUUUUUUUUCCCAAGCCUUAGAGUGGGAGGAAAGCUAUGAGAAUUUAAUUGCUUCUUGGAGAGGGUGUUCAGAGAGUUGAUGAUGUAGGAAGUCUCGCCGCUGAGAUUUUCUUGAUCGCAGAGUGGACAUGGGAUUAGAAAUAAUAAUUGGGUCGGGUCGAAUUCGAUAUAAAUCAAAUUGAAUAUAGAUCGGAUUAAAAAUUCAUCAGCCUGAAUUUAACGUGCUUAUUAAAUAUGUCAACACUUUAAAAUUAAAUUUGAUCUAUUUAUUAAACAGACAAUCCAAUCUAACCCAUAUAAUUUUUUUAUUAAAUAAGCUGUAUCAAGUUAAAUGGAUUAAUAUGUUGAGUGGAUUUUUAACCAAAUAAAUAGAUUUAAAAAAUUAAAUUGGUUAAGAGGGUCGUAUGACAAAAAUGGAUUAAGCAGAUUUUGAACAAAUUAAAUAGUUCUUAGACAUAUUAAAUAAAUCGGAUUAAAUGCAUUAAAAGAUCUAAAUUUAAAUAUAAUCUACUUAAUAAAUGGUAAAUAGAUCUAGAUUACGAUUCAAAUAUAUUUAUAUCAAAUCUAAAUAUUCUUAGAGCUCUUCAUUUAUGGGUCCUAAAGUGCCCCCCUUGGCCCCUGGUACACAAAGCAUUUUUCUUAAUUUUAGGUGGCGCGGGACACGUGGUGCCUGGAGGUGGCGGGGCACUUGGGGGGCAAGUAAUCUGGCUGGGUGGGGCCUGGAGAGGUAGGUGCCGAUUGGUUCUCCUCCCAUGACUUUGGAGGGAGAGAAGGGCAAUCUUUGCUUCCCCAGAUGGCGACGGGCCCAAAGAUUCAGGGCAGUUGUGCUCUCGGGGACUGAUAUAUUUGAUUUUUGGACCGGGGAGGAAUCGCGUUAUUUUUUUCUUGUGGAUUUUUUUUAAGGGCAGAUAUUUUAUACAAUUUUAGUACAAAUAUAUCCAAAAAAAUAAAAAUAAAAAAUUUUAGAGCAUACUAAGCAUCUUUUUUUCUCGAACCCAUAAGAUAUCUCAGAAAUGAUUGACCACGUACGUGGCCACUCAAUCAGCAGCCAGUUUGGUCUCUCUGUACUCGUGCAAAGCUGGAAGGCCACCUCGCGAUAGACCAUGGUCCGGAUGUCUCAAAGCAGGGGCAACAAUUAUGGGCUUUUUCAAAUUGUUAUCGUCGUUUGCCAUAUGUAUGCAAAACAAACAGUUUUAUUUAAAAUAUGAUAUAUCAACUGAAAAUAUUUUUUUAUUCAACAAACAGGGAGAUAAUAAAUUAAACAUUAUUUUCCAUAAACUCUUUCCUCCCUAAAUCAAACAAGCCCCAAACUUUAUUAGCUUACUACUUGGUUAGUUUAACCUCUCUGAUUAACUCAUCUUCUCUCUAAUUUUCUUUAAAAAUUGAAACAUUUCAUUUGUUCUCUUCAUUUUUUUCUGGGAACCAAACUUUUAGGGGUCUCCUUUAUUUUCCUUUAAAAGAUAAUUAACUUUACGAUAAGCGUUGAUACCAUGAAAUUUAAACCUGACUCCUGACUAACCUAGUUUUGAAUGUGUGAAUUAUGAAAACACAAAAAAAGCUCAAGUUUUGAGUUGAAGCAGUGUUUUGAAAAACUAAAAACAGAGGUGAGGCAGCUUAGCCUGAAAACACAAGACGUAAAGCGUCAAAGGCAGUUUAAAGCAUAAUGAUUAGGGAGCAAAGUACCGAGCAUAAGGUAGAAUCUCAAAAAUAAAGAUGAGAAAGUGAUGAGUUUAUAGCUUCGCUAAGAGCAUAAUUGUAAUUCUAACAAGCAAUUAAGUUGGAAGGUAAAUUUUUUUACUUUCAAUCUUAAAAGAAUAAUACAUGAGAAAACAAACUCUUCCUUUAUGCCUCUUCUGUUCCUUAAAGAUCAUUGUGAAGGAUAUACUUUAAUUCAUAAAUAUAAGCCUCAAGAAUCAAAAUUUGCCGUACCGGUGCCACCCUAUUAUAAUAUCGGUACGGUACAGUACGGAUGAUACGGUACAGCGUACCAUGUCAAGUAGUAACCCUGAAGUAAAAGUUUUGAGGCUAUAUUUUUCUACCUCGCCUCCAGAUAUAGUCUUUUUAAACCAUGAGACUAGCUUUCUGAAACCUUGGGUCAAACCCAUUGGCAAUUGCCCAUGCCUCCACCCCUCUUUGGAAGGAGCCAAUUUCACCAAGUUAUAUUUUCACAUGCUCAAGGAAGCAACCGCUCCUUCAAAUAUUGUCGGCCUUACGAGGGCUAAUUUCCACUGUUACAGAAUGAAUGGUCAAGAAGUUCCGGAGAGAAGGUUUUCGAGGUGAAGAAGUAGGAGAUCAAUCUCCUCAACAGACGCUCUCAACGGCUAGGCGCCACUCUCUUUCUGAGUUAUUUCAACUGAGUUCAUGAUCAUCUUUGCUCGGAGGUAUGCAAAUUUUCUGGCACAGCAAAGGUAGACUGAGCACUGAAUACCAAUCCUUAUGAUUGAGUGCUGAAGUCCACCGAAUUAUAGAGCUCACUACAUUUCACCACCCUGAAAGUUGCAUAUGAACAUGAAUUAUAUCCCAUCACACUAGCCUGGAAGAGCAGUAUGCUCCAUAAGAUACAUAACAAUGACAAACCGAGACCAAAAUUAUAUCUACUUUGAUGAAAUUACUACAACAACUACUGAAUCUUGGCGCAACAGGUGUCAAUAGCCAUGAAGAACAAGGUUUGCUGCAACAGGCAUACUAAGCUUGACAUUAUAGAGCUACAUGAUAAGCUUGUCAAUGAGGUUUCUCGCAGGGUACUGGAGCUCUGAAAUCAUGCAGGUCAUCCCCAUCCACUCCUUUAUUUUUCUUCCACUCGGCCUGUCCUGUCUGCCUUGCAAUCUCCCAUAUGGUGAGCAACUUGCUACAUAACAUCACAUGACCACCAUAUUUUAUUGACAAUCUCCUCACCUAUCAAGCAUAACUCCUAUUAGUUAUUUACAAUCCCCUCACCUACCAAGCAUACCUUCUAUUAGUUACCUCCAAAUGUGCCAAAAUGGCUACCAGUUCUUGCCUCUUUCCAUGGACUGACAUGCUAUUGUAAAAUACAAGAGAUUCACCAUCUACAUGGUCCUUCACCAGGUGCAAUCAUUAGUUCCUAAUAAGUAGCAAGCCAACAGCUGUGACAACGAGCGUCGAAGGGAACCCAAAACGCAGAUGGCUCAAGAAUGAGAGGUUGUAACCAAAAAACUGAGCCCGCCGAGCUUGCUCACAAACUAUCAAGUUUGCAGCUGAUCCCAGUAGCGAUAGAUUCCCAGCAACUGUACUCACCCAUGCUAAUAUGAGCCAUGCCCUGGUCUCUUCAGCUGGAGAGAUGUGCGCUGAAGAUGCUGCCACUCGAGCUCCAAGCAACAGAACUAGAGACAAGGAGAGAUAUUAGGCAUAUAAAAGCAGUUUUCCACAUUACUAACCAUCAUUCAUUAAGUGAAUGCAUUUGUAAGUUACUUAAUAAGGACUUGAGGGUAUUCUAAUGGAUGUAUGACGCUGAAUCCUUGCAGAACAAUGCAGAGUAAGCUGCAAGACAAUUACCUUAUUAUGCAUUAUCAUGCAGUAACUUUGAUAACGAGCAAAAUUUCAGAACCAGAUGAGAUCUCUAUAGGUGCUAAAUUCCAACUUAUAUCAUAGCCAGGGGAGCAGCAGGAAUCAGAGGUCUGAAGAGAACCAACCUUAUGGAUUUUUUUAACCAUGCAGAAACUAUUACAUCUAAAAUUGUACAUCGCUUUCAACAAAAGGAAAAUAUGAUUUCUAUCUUCCAACAACUAGGUACACAAAGUUACCUGUAUCAAAAAAGGAUUUAUCAAGAUCAUUCCUCUCAAACUGUUAAUUGAAUUAAUAAGCAAUCAUAACAAACAUAUUUUGUAUUGGAAGUUAACAAACAUCUCUCAUUCAGCUUGCUGAAUGGUUGCUAGAAAACUUCAUGGUAUCAGUAAGUGACAUCCUCUCCUCUACAGUCCAAAUAUCCAUGUCUUAAUAUUCCUCGGUUCUGUUGUUGCUUCAUUAGUUCCACAGGUUCAUGAAGUCAAAUGUGAAAUAUUUCUGAAGAUCCUCAAACUUCUAACUCCAUAUUAGUUAUUUUAUACCUUCCAUCAUGCGAAAUUUGCAAUAAAGAUUAAUUUCUUGCUAUUUAUAUCCCUUCUCACUUGGCUUUCCUAUGUUUACAUGCCCUUUUCUGAAGCAACUCCACAGACAUGUGAGGAACUUAAAGAUUAACACUGAGAAAUGAUAAACAGAAAGGUGAAAUAUUCAAAGUGAACUAAAAUCUAUCUGGUCAAUCAAGCAAUUUAAGUCAAGACCAGUUAUGAGUUACACUAGAGAAUGAAGAACAAACUUCUUCUAAAAAAAUUACUCAUGUAGCUAAAAAAAUGAUAUCAACAAAAAAAGCAUUGUGGGUGACAGACAAAAAUUGGCCUUUAACUACAAAUAUCUUCAUUAAAAAACUUGUAGAUCCUCCUUCAUGGUGAUGAGCAUGAGCAGUAUAAGACCUUUAUAAAGAUUUUAACUGUCGCAUGGCAGUGCUGUUCUGGCCUGGAACUGGUACAGUACGUGUCGUGCCAUGUCAUGCACUGAUCUGAUGCUGCAAUGUAACAUGCCAUACAACAUGGACAGGCACAGGCUUGCAUGCAAAUCUUUGAUUUUAUAACCAAUUCACAGUGGAUUUAAGCAAGAAUUUGUUGAAAAGUUUAGACACCCUCUUGGUAUUGAAGAAACUUGUUGAAUGUCUCAAUUUCUCUUUCUCAAAGGAUGUACUUUAUAUGUGUUUGUUAGCUUUCUUACAUACAAGACAAGUCGAUUUCCACUUCAGCAAAUCAAAUCCCUUUACAUGGAAUGGAACAUAAUUGCAUACGAAUUACGAUAGAAAGCCUGAUAAAGCUCACCCUGGAGUUUAUAUGAAAUUUGAUGCUGCAGUUGAAAGUCAGUUUUGCAAAAGAGGCUGCAAGGAAGCAAUUAGUGUUGAACGAGAAGUUUAAGAUAAGUAGAAACAUGCCCUAGCCAAUCUUACUAUCUUCACUGGCACAUUUGAUUUGCAUCCCACAGAGGAUAUGAUGAUGCAGGGGUUUAAAUCUCUAACAAUGAUAUUUGUAGUGUCAUUCUGGCCAGAUGAGAAAAAGGUAGCCUACAAUGAUUUGAAUUUUAAAUUCAUGUGCUGAAUCAAGUCGUGAACCUCUAUAGGAACAAUUAAAGGGAAUGGUUUCGAGAAACUGGAUUCUUAGUAAAGAACUUAUUGUUGCUGUUUGGUGACAAUCCAAGCAUCCAAGAGUAACACAAAAUGAAAAGGGAAGAGGAAAAAUCUCAUUAGUGAAAUAAACAUGUUGAGGUCCAUUGCCACUUUAUCAGAGAGAAAAUAUAAGAACAACCAGAAGUACUUCGACUGGAGACCAUGAUUAGAUGUAUUGAAUUUUUACACAAAAAAAAAAAUCAGGGAGAAAACAGAUUCAAAAUAUGCCUAACAAGCUUGGAGUAUUCGGCUAAAAUUCCAGCUCAGGAAGGAGUUAUUAAGAUUAUGUAAAGCAGUACAUUUAGGCAUCCUCUUUUUUUCCUUUUGAUGUAAAAGGUCAGUCAGGGUAGGGUUGUCAGACAAACUUGUGACUACCCCAGCCCAUAGAUAACCGACUGAUUUCUAGAGAUUUUGACUAUUAAUCACAAUCUGAUCUCGAGAUCUCAUAACAUCCACCAAACUGCAUUGCCUGUCUCCUCAGCGCUCAAGCAUAUGGCCGAACAAGCCCAUUAGAACGGUUCCCAUUCAAGUAAGCAGUUUGUAGAUUAUCUUUGAUUUUUCCUUGUUCUUGAUAGCACAGAACGAUAUACUGGGCGAUUUAAUAUGGGAAUUUCCUAACCUGUUUCAGUUUUUGUUCGAAACUUUGACCGCUAACAAUUCAUACCCCAAAAAUCAUUUUUUAAUUGUUAAUCCAUCAGGAAGUAAGAUUUUUUGCAGUUUCACCAGGAGAAUAGUAUAUGGAAAAUCAUUCUCAGUUUCAUAUUCUAACUAAUUACAGUUUCAAAUUUGUUACCAAUGCGAACAAGUUUACAAAUGCAAAAGGACAGAUAUUAUUUUCUACUGCAGUCUAGGCAGCGUCAUCAUAAGUAGCUUCUAUGCAAUCGUAAAUCCAUGUGAUAUAGAGGUGUCAUAUACGUUAUACUCGAGUUCCCAAUAAUACCAAUCUACUCAGUAUAUAAAGCUAAAUUCAACUGUUGAUAUCUAGACUCUCCAAAGUUUAAGCUUGCAGGGUAAGCACAGAAGCCAGUUUUUCUCCAGGUAACAAACAUCCAGACAUGUACAUGGAGUAGGCUAGAAGAUUUCAAUACAUUUUAAUCCUCACAUGCAAGAGAAAAGUUAGUAAGGUAGUAAAAUAGCAGUUUAGAGAACCUAUUGGAACCGAACAUAAUAAAGUUUGAAGUUGAACCUUCUCACAAUCAUGUAUACUUCCACUACCUAAUGGUACAAAACAAAUGAGCUCAACUUACCAGUAGGUACAUUAGAGGCAACAUUUGAGAGAACAAGGAUAACGAAGGCAAGAACUGCAACCCCUCCAGCACUAUCAAUCCGUGUGUAUGGCUCCAUCAGAUCCCACAGAGCACUUGGUAUGCCAGUUUUAUUAAAUCCAUCGACGGUAAUGAACAUCCCACAAAAGAAUAUCAAUAAUGAAUAAGAAACCUGGUUUGCAUUUGCAGCAGAUACAUCAGCCAUGUCUAAAAUGUUUUCAUGAAGAAUUAUCAUAAACUUUUGCUGAAAAAUAUGGAUACCAAUUCUACGAGACUUAAAAAAAUUGUCAGGAAUUUUCCCUCAAAAAAAUUUGUCGGUAAUAGCAAAUUUUUCAGGAAUACAGCACAUAAGGAUGUGGAAGAAUGCAAAUUUUUCACCCUGCAUAAUACUAACUAAACCUCAAAAUAAAAUUACCUUCUCCAGAGAAGGGCAGGCAUCCUUAAAAUCCAGCACAACAAGAGCAAGAGCAGCAGUAAUCGCACUCCACGACAUGUUUAGCCCCAUUAAAAGAGCAAUGAGCAUUCCAAUAGUCACAAUAUAGACACAUAUCUUCCACAACAAUCUCUGCCACCUCUCCAUGGGAAUUUCCUUUUCCUCCAAAGAAUGGUGAGAGAACCCUUCUUUCAGACCAUUCAUCCGGCUGCCAAUUCUCACAUAUCUCCUCACAGACACACCUUCCUCUCUCCUUUGAGAAAUUCCACCAACCCCUGCCACCUCCUUCGAUACAUUUGAGACCUUUGCAGACUCAGCGCCGCCGCUUACGGCUGACUGUAUGUCAUUCUCGGCAUGCCCAAUAUCUCCGUUUAUAACAAAAUCAAUUGCAGAACUCCAAUCCUGAGAAGUAGUAGAAGCAAGGUGUGACAAAGUCGCAGGCGAAAAACGGUGAGAGGUGACAUCCUCUUCAGCAACCACGUCUUUGGCUGCUUGAACCACUUCCGCAUCCUUCUGAUCAGACAACAACUUCCAGUAAUAGCAUAAGAGAAUGGCAGCAUUCACAAUUAUUCCCACAAGCAUCGCAGGAAGAAGCCCAGAAAAGAAUUUCCCGAAAGAGAUCUCACUUUGAACAGCUAUAACUAGGUUCUGCGGGUUACCGAUCGGCGUCGUGGAAGAACCGAUAUUAGCACUAGAAGCCAGGGCUAAAAGGAAGGGCUGCGGCGGCAAAUUGUUCUGUCUUGCAAUCUUCAGGAUGAAUUCAGUGAGGACAACACAACAAGUAUCAUUGGUGAAUAGAGCGCUGGACACAGCAGAAACAAGACAGAUGCGGCAGAGCAAAUCCUUGCCACCUCUGCUCUUCCAUGAGAGCAAUUUACCCAAGUACUUGAACAUAUCGGCCCUUUCAAGAAAGACGCAGACGACCAUGGUGCCAAAGAGGAGGCCAAGGAUCGGGAGGUCGAUAGCUGCAUAGGCUUCUUCCGGAGUGAUCACUCGGAAGGUGACCAUAAGCAUGGCACCAAGAAGAGAUCCUGCAGUCCUUCCAAUUGGAAGGAAGGGUACCGCAGGGAAAACGGCUAGGACCCAGAAGAUCCCAAAGGCAACCGAGCCUAGUACCACCUUCACAGUGUGUGCCAUGGCCAUUUCUGUGGCUUAGAGAGUUGAGCCUCUUUAGAUGCCCCCGCGAGCUAUUCGAGGAGGAUAACUCCACCCACCUUGCAUUCGAACAGUCCCACAAAUUAAGGAUAUUGGAUAUAGACGCCAAAACUCUGCAAAUCUAGAGUAAACAGGAAGGCUGGUUCUCUACUUUCUACAAUUAUAUGCGCCAAAACCUUAAAAAGAAUAGUUCAGAAAAAGAAUAAAACCUUUUAGAAAUCGGAGAAUAUUAAUCCUACAAAUGAAAAAGAUCAAGAAGAGGGUCCUCGAAAGGCACAGAUUCAUGGCGAGUGAUGCAUUAAAUGACGAAAACUUUCAUGCCGAUCACAAGAAAAAAAAAAAAACGCAAAACAUUUACCUUUCACACCAGUCUGCCUUUCCCAGACUCCCAGAAAGAAUAUCCACGGAGCCAAGACCAGGAGCCGAUGGCCUAAAAGUGCGAAAAAAAACUGGAUGGCUUUUCACUGCAAAAAGGAAGGAGGCUAACGAUGUGGACUGACAUGAAGGUGGGUCAUGGCAGGUGCACAGAUGUGGUUCCAUAAUUGAAGAGAGAAUCACCAGACGGAAACGAAGAGAAAGCUGGCAAAGGCCAGUGGCCAUAAAGUUUCCACUGCCGUAGCAAUCAGAGUGGAAAGUCGCAUCCAAAAAAAUAGUACGUGGUGCCUGGUGGGUUGAAUGGGUUGUGUACAGCUUCCUUCCUGUCUUCCUUAACAGGGGCCGUGCUCGAAUGUCCGAGAAGGUUGCAACACUGUUGAAUCUCUCAUCUAGUUGGACCGUCCGUAUGGCCAGGACUGUUGGAAAAUCCUACUUGCCAAGGUGCCCAUGGUAGGUGUUCGUUUGUUCGUACCUUUUUGUAAAUCACCGACAUGACGGCACACUGAUUGAGGAGAAUCUUGAAUAGAUUUCAACUGUCUAAAAGGGAAUCCGACAGAAAAUUAUAUUUUAAUUAUUUUUUCAAAUAUUAGAGGAUUGCUACCUCUACAUGUAUGUGCAGACGUAGUCCGGGCCGACUCCACGUUCAUCUCAGCAGGGUUCAAAAAUUUAAAUUUCCAGAUCUCUUGAAUUUUCUCAACUGCCAAGCGAGUUUGGGUGGCAGAACCACGACACCAUUUAAUGCUAGUAGUUUGGAUGAUGGACUGGGAAAGCUCGAAUACGACGUUUGACAUCCAUUCUAGGUAAUCAACUCCUCCUUACAGCUGGGUUAUACCAUCAUAUUUUUCAGUGACUGUCUGCUUUCUAAGCAAUACUCUAGGCUACAUCGGGUUGCAUGUUGUGCAUGGCCCAUGUAACUGGUUGCACCUACAUCAUGUGCAUAGCAAAUAGUGCAACUUUUGCAGGUAUGUGACAUUGUCUUAUCCUAAAUCUAAUAUCUCACUCUGUCCUGAAUUCUGAAGAUUAAUUCUAGAUAAGGAGCAAAAGAUAAUCUGGAAAGUAUACCCCGUAGUUUUGCUAGGCCCUUCAACUUUUAACUUAUUCCUUCCAGGCUUUUUGCAGCAUUGAAGAGUACUGACUCACAUAUUUUGGAGGGUGGUAUUAAUUCCAUGCCAUCAUGCACCAAUGUCAUACUCUCGGAUGGGAGGUGAAGAUGCUUCGGCUGCCCGGCGACCUGAUGACACCGAACAAGAACUAAAACCAAGAAGCAAGCAGAUUAGCUAAAUGGGAAGACAUAACCAAGUUCCAAGAGCUAAAAAAUCACAGGCUGAUAAUGCCAUAAUAUGACAAUUAUAUGAUCCAUCAUUGUAGAUAUCUGUACUCCUGGUACGAGAACAGAAGGACUAUUACACCACAUUACAUAUGUCACAUAAGACAUCAAAAUCUUGUGUUUAUUUUUUCCCGUGAUGGAGAGGACCUGAGGUGCAGCUAGCUAGCGAAGUAGUCCAUCUCACCAUCAUCAUCCACUGAAAGAUCUUCGUAAGUUUGGUUUGCAGAAUGCCCGGGCCUCCUGUUCCCGGCAAAGCUGCCAAAAUGGGGGCCAUGAACCAUAGAGCCGGCUAUGGAGGCUCCUCUUUCCACAUAUAGGAUGCAUUUAGGAUCGGCGAUCAGCUGACCCCAGGCUGUAUCAUAGGGAAAUAUGCCCAAUUCUUGCGAGGCUCACUUGCUGUCCCAACAACCUUCUCAUUUGCCCCACCAAUCAGAGCCAACACUAGGGUCUGGAGGUGCUCCAUCAGCAUUAUCAAAUUUGAACUCUUUAGCUGCUGGAAGGGCAAUGGAGGGUUGCACUUUCUCAGGCAAGUCAUGAUAAGUUUCAUCGACACAGAUUUCAUUGCUAUUAUUGGCUUCAUCAGUAAUCUGGUUUCCUGCAGUUGUUGCAGCUUGCGAAGAUCCUGAGUUAGUUUCCCCUGACAUUGCUGUUUUCUUCCCAAAGCAGCGUGCAAACUCUUCUGCAGUCAAUUCAAAUGAUACUCUGUGAUCCAUGGCAUGCUCAUUAUUAUGAGACCCCAUAGCAGAAUCCACCCUAGGUUCAGCUGCGGUGAUCUGACCAUCCAAAAGCGAACCACCGUUGCGAGCAUGUCGAGGUAUCAGCUUGAGCUCAGCAAUUCCUUCAGCACUUAAGAUCUUUGGUGGCUCGCUAACUGGAAACGAUGGGAAGGAGCCACCAGCAGGGGAUUGGAAUUCGACAUCACGGAAAGGGGAUGAAGUGCCUGAACAUGCUGAACUCGGUGAUAUGAGGCGCCCUAUCGGGCUUCCCGGGUAAAACUGGUUUGACUGAAACACAUAGGCUUCGCUCUGCUUGCAGUUGGAAUUCAGGGAAGAGGUUAAAAGUUGAGCAAAUGGAACCUCAGGAGAUGAAGGGUUUGUUAGCUGAACAGGUUCUGGAGGGGGAGUAAAUGAAGCAGUGGAUGGUUCGGUUGUGAAGGUGGAGAAGACAGGAGGCGAGACUAGCUGAGUCUCAUGAGCAUAAGGCCCAAUGGCAAAGAUGGAGGCAGGGCCAUUGGGGGAGUAGGAAUUUGCUGAGAGAACAGAAAGGGAUAGAGGACCUGCAGGCGAUUGGGUGACAGAAGGGGGUUCUGAUUGGAGGAAGGAAGCUGGAGAGGAAGGAGGUGCAACAAAUGCAGGAGGGUGGAUGGGAUUUUCAGGGGCAGGCGCAUCUGACCUUGGUAGUGUCUGUUCAGGCACAAGGACUGCACGGCUGACACGCUUACGAUGUCUAUGAGAUCCAAAGCACCAGUACACACUGAAACAAGCUCGCCAUCUUCUCCUCUGCCAAUAAAAAACAUAGGAUAAAUGACAGUGUAUUCAUAUUUUGAAAACUAUCUAGUCACAAUGGAAGAAAAAUUAUCAUAAUGGGCAAACAUUAAGUCAUUCCACGUUUUUGGCAUUUUCACAAGCUCCAAACAUAUAUUUCAAGAUAACUAUUUUGUUGCAAUAACUGCAUUCAUCUUCAACAUGUCCAAUUCUGAGCAAUAUCUGUCCAAGAUCCCUCUCAUCCUCUAUUUACUCAGCACUCUACACAGAAAAAUAAAGGGCAUUUGCCUGGGUCAUCAAAGAAGAUUGACCCAGUACAACUCCACAUUAGAAAACAAACGAGUCCAUAGGAUUAAUGAGAAUAAAAAUUGAGGAAUGAAUAUACACUUUGUUUGCUUAUGACUCUCUAGUAAAAUGUUCGACUUCACCUGUGAUAAUUAGCUUUUAGUGACUGACAAACAAGUCGAGCACACGAUUCUCCUUCUUGGGUUGCAGUUGGGGAAAAAAGGAAAAGUAACAAAUGGAAUGAGGAAGUAAUUUGAAAUAGUGGGCCACAAUAAAAGCUCUAUCUUUUCUGUUUUGAGAAGAGGCAAUAAAAGUUCUAUCUAAAAAUUAUUUCUUAUCACAUAUCCAGAUUCUAAAAUAAUAAAGAAGCUUGAUGAGAGUUUCAGGUUUAAAAUAUCAAACUCCUCCCUAUGUGAUAUCCACCUUGCUGGAUGAAUUUCAAAGGGAGGAGAGGAAAAAAACGGAACAGAGAGAGCAAGAUGAGAAAAAAUGAGGUACUUCUGAAGGGGGAAAGAGAAGCCGACUGCUUCUCCCCUAUUAUGAUGAUCCCCAAGAGAGGAAAAAAUGAACUGUUACAAAGAAGAACGGAAUCUACAAAUUUCUUGCUAUUAUUAUAUAUCAAUUUCAUAAUGUAUUCAGUUCCUCCCCUUUACGAUGAACCCAUACAGAAUCAACAUCACGGAUAGCAACUUAAUAAAGAGAAAAGUUCUUAAGGAUGGAAAGUCCAAGAUGCAAAUAAGAACCAAAAGCCAUGGCAAUUCAUUGAUAUUAUUAUCUAUAAACAAAUUCACAUUAAGAAUCCAAUAAGGUUAAUCAAAGACAUCACAUCUAGAAACCGGUGCAGAUGUUUGCAUCACUGAGAUCUUGACAUAAUCUCCAAACUAGUGAUACUUAGGUACACUAUUGAAAAGCACACGUUAGUUUGCAUUCAUCUUUAUCCUGAACAGCUGAAAUUAGUUUGUUUGUUUUGCAUUUCGGCAUUCAUCCUUAUCCUGCAAUCGAUGUGUAUAUAUAAUAGCCUUGUAAUCAUAUAGUGCAACACAGAAUAAAACAUUUUUUUUCUUUCUCAAAUAUUCUGCUUCUUUUAACAUCGUAUCAGAGCAGAGGUCCUGAGUUCGAACCCUAUCUUGGCACUCUUUAACCCCAUUAUUAGAAAUUUCACAUAUUGGGCUCACCCAUUAAAAGGAAAGUCUGGCCGACAUGUGAGGAGGAGUGUAAGAAAAUAUAAAAUAUAUAAAUAAAUCUACCUCAUCCUAUCAGCUUAAGCUUUUGGAACAAGUGGUGAUUCUAACAUACACUAGAAAAAGUUCUACAUAUGAUUAGCAGGAAAAAGAUACCCAAUUCAAUUUCUACAUUUGGGGUUUCAAUUCGCAUCAUCUGUAAUUUUCUCAUAUCAUUAAUCCAUAGUUGGAAUACAUCUAGAAAAGACAAGAGAAAUACUGUGAACAGAAAAGGAUGGGCGAUCACAAUCCUUUUUGAGUCAUAAAGGUCCAUGCAUCCACAUGUAGUUUAAUUGCAAACAAAAUUCUGCCCAACAGCAGUAGGUUUGAGAAAAGAUUUACCAAGGCCAACUCUUUUGUCACCUUAACUUCUCUAAAGGGGGACCUGAUACAUCCUUUAAAUUGCAUAUUCUUGCAACAGUGGAUAAUGAUUAACAGAUCUUAAAUAAACUAGCAGGCUGUACUAUUUCACUUGCACCUUUCAUGUAACUCAGAACCACAACAUUCAACAUUGUCCUCUCCAAAGGGAUGCUCUACUUUCCACCCUCCACCUUGUUAUGACAGAAAAUUUAUAUGCAACUUCCCUUUAGAAACACUCUUACGAUUCAUUCCCCAACUCACUCUGUUUGUAUAUAUAUAUUACUUAUCACUCUUACCCAUGGUCAUUUUGCUUUACCAUAGUUAUAGCCAUCAUUUUUGUUUCAGGAAAGAAAGUUAUCAUUUCUUUUAAGCAAGUUUCAAUUCAUACCCGUUUUAGUAAAAAGGGAUCAAACCCGCUACAUAAUCUAUAUUCGUGCACAUUCAUAACACUGCUAAAGACAACCUGGCUCUCUUUUCAGAUAAAGUUGCUGAUGAGUUGGGUCAUUAUCCUGCUAAGGGGUGAUACAUUAUGGAGUUUGAGGAAUGUAUAAAAAGGCAGUUUCAAGUGCCAUCGAACCAGCGCAAAGCACUGAAUUUAACUAAAUCCCUCGGAUAAGUGGUUCAUAUAACAUCCUUGGCCCUCUACCUUCCAUCUUAUUGGAAGCUAGAAUACCUAAGGCUUUUCUUUGAAAGGCAAAUAUAUCAGGUAACCAUUGUUCCAAUCUAACAUCAAACCAUUCUUUCAUGCAGGAACAUGCUACAUUAAUCCAGGUUGUGGAUCAACAACAUAUUUCAGCACAAUGCAUUGAAUAGUAAAAGAAGAAAAUAGAUAAAUAUAAAUCGUACUAUGCAUUUUAGUUUUAUGUCGAGUGACCACCAAGCACUUGCUCGGAUGGUAUCACCCUUUGCUGCUUGGGCAAGGGAGGCAGAGGUUCCAUUCUGGUUGAAGUCCACCCUUGAGGAGUGGGGUGGGUAUGGGAUAGAAGGUGAAGAUUAGCACCUCCAAUCUAAAAAUUAAACAACAAAAAAAACGUUUUUACUUUGAUUGCAUUCUGGGCAUAGAUAUCCUUUAAACUUAUAUUACUUGGACUUGCAGAGACUUGAAUUAUACACGUCAGAGUUCAAAAUUGAUGAAUAUCAAUGGUGAAACAGAUUCACACCCACAUAGCAAUCUAAGCCCCAGGGUACUGUAUCAUGGUAAUAUUAGCAAAACUCAUUACAAAGCAACAAACUAAAUACUAGUUGCUAAGACAGAGAUAAAUAAAUUAUAAAUUCUCUAUUUACCACCGAGGCUUACAUAUGGGAGAAAGACAGAAAAAAGCGCAUGCUAACUGGAAUUAUACCCAGAAACAGUACAUCACCAGAGUGGUGAAAUUAUUAUGUGACAAAAAAAAAUCGCUUAAAAAAAUAGUUUCCCGCUCCUUAAAUGGUUACUCAAAUAGCCAUUUAAGUGAUGUUCCAUGAUUGUCAGGGUACCAGAUUCCACUAAGCCGCAGCUUCUCAAUCGAAGCAUCCAACAAAGGCAAGAACUAAGGAUUCAGCAAUAUUUGCGUACAAUCACAUAUAAACAAUAUUACAGAACUGAAAAGUUCUGUCUUGUAACAGAGCAACGUGACUGUCUAUUAAUCAGUGAUCUGACUUGAAUCUAGAUACUUUUCAGGGUAGAAUUAAAUCGAAGAAUAAUGAUUACAACCUUUAUACCACAAUGACUUGACCAAGAAAUCAUAGAAAGUAGGUGACAAAGUAAUGAUUCAUCUCAUCGCAGUUCAUCAUCUUGUCUGUUUGGAAAUAAAAAUGAUCAUGCAACUUUACACUAAAAAUGCCUAGGAACUAAAAGCAAUAAAAUCCACGGAUAAUUCCUGUGUUCUGCAACCGCGGCAAGGUUUUUCUUUUUUUUAACUUCAGUUAAUCAGAGAACUAGCAAAAUAACCACCAACUAGAGACAAUCUCAUCGUUAUGCAAGAAAAGAAUUAAAUAGAGAUAUCAUAGUAGAAGAAAAUCGAGAGAAGGGAGUCCGAACUUCACCGGAACGGUGACCUGCUGGACUCGGUUCUCAGCAGAGACGAUCGCCGCCGCCGCCGCAUUCACCGUCUCUACGCUAUUAUUAUUCAUACCUUCCCCUCCUCAAGUCAGAGGAGGAAAACCCUAAUUUUCUCCAGAUCACCCCAAUCUCCUCCCGUUUGAGAUCAAUUACGGCCGCACCAACCCAAAUACCGGCAGAAAAACAAGCAAUUGUCGACGGAAAAACCAAAAAUUAUCCCAAACAAAUAGCACUCCGCCCAAGGAAGCAUAAUAAAAGUCGAAUUCCCCGCCGGGGUUUUUUUAGCGAGAGAGAGCAAAGAGAGAACGCGAGGCGAGCACCGAGAGCGAGAUAACAGAGACGUUCUAUUUCAAUCGAUUUUUUCCUUCUCCUUUUCCUCCUCUCUAUCGAAGUCUUCAGCAAUGCAGGUCAAACACGCCAUCAAAACGUUCGCGGUUUCGGUCGAUGUAAAUUUCACGAAUUACCAACUUACCCUUCCUUCAUUAUGACUCCAGUUCAAACAAAUAUUAACCGUCCGAUGGAACAGAUAUCGACAUCGAACGGCAAAUAUGUCCACCGUCCACUUGGUGGCAGCAACGCUAGAUGGAUUGCAAAGAGAGGUCUUUCGGUUCACCAAAAAAAAGAGAAGUCCUUCGGCGAAGGAAGAGGGAAACGAGCUGUCGCGUGUGAGCCGAUUUUUUUUUCUUCCAGUACAGCCCAUUUUGGUGUGCAUAAGUGCAAUCAGUAGAAUCGAAAGUAAAAAAAAUCACGAAGCAAUAGAAAAGCAGCCUUCCGAUCUGUCCAAAUUUUUUUUUAAAAUACUGAGCAGUGAGCACCAUAGGCGACGGUCUAAUCGACGGUCCAAUUUACUUCUCAAUAUACACGUACAAAUUUAUAAGACGCUGCAGUUUUCUAUCAUCCUAUGAAUACCGCAGGGCCGGUGAUUCUCUCCCCUCAAGGAGACCUAAUCAGUGUAGUUAGCGGCGGACCUCGUCCCCCGCCUGGGAGCUCACGCUAGUCGCUGAACCGUGGUGUGGAAGCUGAUGCCCCUGCUCACCCCUCGUGCGGUCGCCACGGGGCCCACCAUAACCCCCACUAAUCUGAUAUUAUCAUUACAAGGACCUGAAUCCCAAAAACCCGAUUAUUACAACCCAUGAUUCCUCUAGUGGGUCCCACGCGAGUGGGACACUAUAGAGAGAGGGUGUGGAGGCGGAGGUUGGUUAUGUGGUUCAUGUGGGAUUGCGCGUGAUUAAGUGGUGGGAUUGAGCAUUAUCCAGGGCGUGGCACUUUGACUUCGGGACGGAGCUAACGCUGGCUUUGAGAGGAACCGAAGGGGAGCUCCCAGGGCUGGACGAAACUCAAGUGAGAGUGGGGCCCACGGAUAAGAGCUGGUUCUGUUGUCGUGCUUUGAUGGGCAUUGCAUGGUGGGCCCCGGACACAAAGCCACAAUUAGGUGGUCGACAUUCGCCGACUAGUAUAUGGCACAAUGCACAUCGACUCCAAUGGUCCAGCUUGGGAGCCCACUUCUUGUUGAAGAGUCAAUUGCAUCAAUUCAUGAUGUUGGUGAUUAAUUGUUAGAGAUGAGAUGAUGAAGAUAGACAACUGGUAAGAUGUAAACUCAAAUACAUAGAUACUAAAAUAACUCAAGUAUAUGGAUAAUACCAAAGCUCUGCAUCAAUUCAUAAAGUCAUCAAUUCAUAAUGACAAGUAUAGAAACUCUCAUUCUGAUUGCAAGCUCAAGCACAAUACAACAUAUAUAACUAGAAGUAAUGAUUCCCAUCUUUCUGCUCCAUUAUUGUAUAUUUUAUUUACUGAUUCUCACGAAUACACUUAAACUCAUUUGUUUUAAUUUAUUCAUAAAAAAAACUGAGAGAGAGACAGUGCCUCGUGUCAUGUGCUUCUCAACGACAUCGGCACUGCUUAAGGCUGCAAUCAGAUGGCUAAGUUAUGCCAAAAAAAUAAUCCCGGCCUAAACACCAGUUCAGAGGAAAAGUGACGAUAAUAUAUUAAUGGAUUGAAUUUUUAAAUCAACUUAGGCUUUGUAAAUUCAUGUCAGCUUGGCAAGCAAAGCCUUCAGGUGUUGCUGUUAUUAUUUUUGAUCCAGAGAAACUAAAAAGUUUUAAACACAUUGUCACACGUUCGUCCCACCCAGCAUGCACGUGUGCCGGGACAGACGUGUGAUAAAAAGUACAGUAAGAAUUAAUGGGCAGUGCAGCCGGCCAUGUGGAUGACAAGAUAGGCUCGACAUCACUCCUCGGCGGAUGGUUUCACCUACCGAUGCAUUCCAAUGGACAGGUGGAAUGGACCCAUCCAUGGAGUCUUUACAAGCUAGACCCCUUCGAUUUCAGCGCCAGCUUUUGGGGGGCUGGAGGUUGUCCUCGUGCGGAAAAGUGCGAUCAGCCACGGAUUGCGAGGGGCCGUCGUUUUGCACUGCAAGGAUAGCAUUUAGCCAUCAGAGGCGCACUCGUACGGUUCCUUGGGAGCCACGGCUUGCGGCGACUGAAGGGAACGCGAUGGAGCGCGAUGGAUGAUACGCGCGCACGAAAAACUUUUCCCCCUUCUUGGCAUCUCAUUACUUUUUUUAUUGACCAUAUUUUUCCCUCUUCUUUUUCCAAGGACCAAACGAGUCCUUAGAUGUUUAGACACUGCUCUACUUCCGAUAUUUCUGUAGGCCAAUGGGGUUCCCUGCAAGUAAGUCUAGAAGUGAGCCGGAUUUGCAUCAAGGUGAAGUGUGGGUGUUGUGAGAAAAUUGUUAGCCCGAAGGCUGACCUUUUAUUGGUCAAGAAUUAAGCUCAGAAUCUAUUAUAUUUUAUGAAACGUAUAAUCCAACCCAAUCCAUGCGACUUGUUUGGCACCAAACAUGUCAGAUUAGGUUAGGUUUAUGAUAGCAUACUUAACUGAUCAACUUGGCAUGCUUGUUGGCAUGGUGAGUGUACUGUACAAUGAAAUCAACUUUGGACCUUAUUAUACUAUAUAUUUUCUUUUGAAAUGAAUUUUGUUACCAUUUAUUCUCUUGUAAUGAGAGAGACUGAAAUGACUGUUGCCACUAGAAACUGAGUUGAGGCCGAGGUUGAUUGAGGUCGGUUAGUACCGACAUGAAGAGCCGGUCGGCCAAGAAUCGAGGAAAGGUUUUGAAAGGUUGAAGGGUUGUUAGUGCCUCUCUCGAAUGCAAGUCUGACCUGAAACAAAGUCCACUUGCCAAGAAGUUUUUGGCAGGGGACUCUCCGACAUUUAAGUUGGUGAAAUUCUAGAGCAACAAUGGAGAAUGAGAGAAAAAGAACAAUAGUAGAAUAGUGGUUCUCGAGAGCUUACCUAAAACUCUCUUGAUUCUCCCUGUAUAUAUGAUGGGGUCAGUGUCCAUUACCUUAACUAUCAGAGGAUGCAAUAACCAUACGAUAACGGCUGAUCAUACGCUAACUGCAUGUUAAUGAUUCCUCAUAAUGCAGAUGUGGCCAUAAUUGCACUGGUCGUGCAUUUAUAGUUAAACUAGUAUAAUCAUUGCCGAAAUCAUAACUGCAUCUUUUUAGUUAUCCUCAGCGCUACUUCACACUUGCCCCGACUUGAAUAGUACCUUAGUCAGUACCAAAGCCGUUCACCUCGGACCAAACCAAAGUUAGAAACUUCGGAACAACCCAAGAUCAAGAUAACCAAUAUUCUCCCCGUCAAUACCAUGCUAAAACCAUUGCUAGAGGUGGCAAUAGGUAGUGUUGGAGCCAAGUCAGGAUACGUGUAUUUGGCAAAAUGCAUUCAUCUAAACUUGUAAUAUUUAUUAUAUAAGUGGGAACAAACUAACUAUGACAUCAUUUGCGAAUUUCACAAAGGUAAUGUGAUGUCUAAUUUGAGAGUGAGCGAAAGGUUCAGUAACUGAUUUAUCACAAGUUAAAUGGUGAUCGAUAUGGGUAACAAAAAAAAAAAAAAAAAAAAACAACAUCCAAUGGACCAAGAUUCUAAAUCCGAACUCAAUCAGUUUAACAAACAAGGCCAGUCUAUAACUACCAAAAAAGACAACAACAAAAAAAAGGACCAGUCUAUCCGUGUUCGACACGAAUCCCUUUUUUGAAGCCCACGGCCGAUUUUAAGCCCACGGCCCAUUUUAUAUUGGGUCAGGCCAUGUAAAGGCACCUGCCAUCUCUCGCUCCAUCUCAUACCCUCGCGAUGGGCGCGGCCACCGCAAUCCGAGCGCUCCGCUGCUGCCCCCAUCGGACGACGCCUAUCCUCCUCUCCUCAUCUCCUCCCGUGCUCUCUUUGCGAACCCUAACCUCUCGCCACGCCCACGGCUCGAUUCUCCGGCUGGGAUUCCCCCCUCUUCCGCCGUGGAUCGGUCUCAAGCACAUCGGCGUCUCAUUCCCGCGAGGUUAUGGCCAGAGAGGUAGCCCCCGUCUUAUUUUCCCUUGGUUUUAUUUUCAUUUUUGCGCGAAACCUUCGAUUACAUGGAAAAAAUGGCUAUAGAUUUGAUUUUUUCCCUCCUAAAUAGGAUAUCCCUAUAUUUGGGGAAAACUGGUUUUAUAAUAUUAUGUCGACCUGCUUUAUUUUCUUCGUUAUUUGUUUUUCUACUUUCGUGAACAAUUACCGUUGCACUGGAAAGAAAGAGCAGAAAGCGAAAUUAUUUAAGAAUUUAGAAGCCGUAGUUUUAACAAAUUAGGCUGCGAAUUCACAAAGUGUCAGUUCAAAUUCAUGUUUCGAUGCCUUAUUUUUUAUGCUCACGGACUACGGUUCAGUAAUCUUAUUUAGGACAUGUUAAAUGCAAGCAGGACUAUGACUUGAGCCUCGAAAGGGAAGAGCUGGAGAUCACCCGCUAUUGAUCGCCGCUUAGUUCCCCGAGGGAUGUGGAAGUUGGUGAUUGGAUGAGCAGUAGGCAUGGCGAUCCCCGACUGCCACAUCCCGGGUAAACUGAACGGGGAUUGUUACCAGGUGAUGUGUAGCAGUACUCACCUCAAGAUCUAUGCUGGAAUUUUCUUUCCCCUGAAGUAAAGCCUCCUUAGUGAAUUUUCAUGGAAACAUGGAUUUAUGAGUGUAAGAGACUUUGUUUAAGUUGGAGAUAAAUGUACUAAAGUAAGGAAAAUGAAUACGGAGUUGAAACUUUGGAGGUAGCUCCGCCAGUGUCAGACGAACUCCAAUUCCACAUAAGCAUGAUGCUCAAAGCUUCACCAAACCCAUGUAAGCACCAUUACUGUUAUCAGGAAAAUUUAGAUUCUUAGAAGCAGAUUCUGUGGAGAGAAAAAAAAUGAGUUGCCUCUAUAUGAUUUUGCAGAAACAAAAACUCGGCCAUUUGGGUGAAAUUAUAAGGAGUGCAAAAUCUUAUUCAUUGUGGCGUAUGGGCAAGGUGAUCUUCCUUUUGCACCAAUGCUCAUUCCACCUUGUUGUGGCUGCUUUACUAUUGUUGCGUUGAUUGUCAAAUAGGAUAGAGACUUGGGAAUGCAAAUUUAAGUAACAUCACCAGAUUGUUGCCUUCUAGUGUAGUCAAAAGGGUAAGUAAGGAUGCAAGAGUCAGGGAUUAACUCCUUAUACACAUUGGCAUGAAUAAGGAGUCAUCAUGCCGGAUGAAGUUAGAGUGGCCUUAGAAAAAUGGGAUAUAGUCAUACGGUAUGGUAUGAAGUAACAAUGGGACAGUUCAUCGUAUAUUAUAACAUAUAGUUCGCUAAGUUGCUUCAGAUGUGCUGAACUUGUUCUUUUGGUAGCUAGGGGUCGAAGUGGAUGGGAAAUUGUUAUGUUGCAAUUGGCACAAAUCUGAACCAAAAACUAGAUACAACAAUUAGAUUCAUAUACAACCUCAUGCUGUUGGCAGGUUGGGUUGGAGGUUCCUUUUCAGGGAAGGCUUGUGCUGGGUCCCUUUUUGGACAAGGUUCCAGUUUAUCUAAGUUAAUAGGAACAACCGGGACCUCAUAACUAAUUUUUAUUGGGUUUAUCUGACUUUUUCAUGUCUAAUCAGGUUGCUUUCUAUUCUGUGCUUAAUGUUCACCAUUUCAUUCCCUCCUGAUUAUUGCUUUUUUCUUAGCCUUAGUGUGAUACUUGAUUCAUGGGUUCGAAUUUCAACUAUGAGUUGGAUCGGACAGAGUUUGGCUGCUUCCACUCCAACCACUUUCACCUCUAUUAGUAACUUGAUCUGCAAAUGUUGGUUGCCACAAAUAUGUUAUGUUUACUCCCAAAAGAUCAUGAAAAAGUCAACUAGGAUGGAGCCCCUGAUAACUCAUUGAACCUGAUAUUUGAAGUGAUGCCCCUGCCAGUGGAAUAUCCUAUAUCACUCUUCACAAAUCACCCAACUUAUUCUUAACAAGGCCAGUUUUAUGGUACUUUGUGAACACUAGUUUAAGUAGAAGUUGCCGGAUCGUAAGUAGUUUAAUGAUUGCGUAACAGUUUUAAGAGCUAGGUUUUCUAAUAGUUCAGGAGAGACUACUUUGUUUUUCGUAGAAAAGAUGUUUUAGCCAUUACUGGAUUAUGCUUAAUUACCAUCCGUUUUGUGCUUUCAGUGAUUCCUCUCUGAGAUUUAUUUUUCUGAAAUUGGUUCUUGCCAAUUGGAUGUAGCCUUUAUGGCUAAUUAAAUAUCUCGGGGUCCACUGUUCACUGUAUCAUUUACAAAUAUUCUCUGUGAUCUAUAACAUUGCUUUUUAAAGUUGCUGUUUUUCUGCAUAUUAAAUCAUUCCGUGCAAUGAGAGUCCUAUUCACAAACAUUUUUUCUUGAAUUUUUUUCUUGCAGUGGUCCAGUUGAUAUAGGGUGUGAUUUUUCACUUUCUUUUUUCUUCUUCACUUGUUCUAUUUCAUUCUUUGACCUUUUCCCGUGGCAGGCUUGUUGCACUUCCAUACUAUUCCAUCUCAUUGCUGAGUUACUAUUAUCUACUUUUACCAGAACAUUUCAGUCUUUGUGUCAUGCCCUCAUUAUCUACCUUUUUUUAUAUAAUACUUGUUGGAUAAUUUACCAUAAUAUUUAUCUGAUGUAUUUGAUUCUUCUAUAUCUGUGCUGCAGAAAAGAAGGGUAAAUAUCGUGGUAAAGUUGUUUAUGCUUCUUUGUUUGGUGUUGGAGCCCCGGAAGCGCUGGUUAUUGGAGUGGUGGCUUUGCUGGUCUUCGGUCCUAAAGGACUAGCCGAAGUAAGCUCCUUCCUGUGUAAAAUAGAAACAUGUUUUCUAGUUUUUAUGUUAUGAUGCAUAUGAUUUCAUUUGUGGAUGUAAAGGAUUGUUGGUCUAUUAGUGGCACUGAAAGAAGUGGAAAUUGAUCUUGGUGCACUUAAUGUACAAGUAAAGCUGAUUUCUGGCUAGUUGAAUAGUACUAUGUUGGUCAGAACAGAGUGGUAUAGAGUACAGUAACUUGUUAGCAAAAGCAGUUUGGCUGAAUAAUUUGCUGCCAUGUAAGCUAUAGCAUGGUCCAAGUCUCGAUAUUGUAGAGAAAAAUCACGGAUUUUAUUCACUUAGGGGAUUAGAGAAUCUUAAUAAAGAUGUAGAAGCUAAUUCAAGAUCAUUGAUUAAUAGAAACACCUCCUUGAUGUACCUCAGUAAAUCAUGAAGAUCUGUCUAAAGGAGAAAAGGAGAAACAUGUGAUGAUGCCUUGAUAGUAUCAUUGAAGGUGAGAAUUGUUGGCGCCAAUUUGAUGUUUGGAUUCAUGGUUCGUUAGUUGUUGUUGGAUUCUAUAGAUUGCCUUCUCCUUGAGGAUAUAUUGCGACGGCACCGCCAUAUGGUAGCAUGUUGAUUACUAAAAUCAUGAUCUAUGUACAACUUUGUCCUUGGUAAAGGUAACUAUGAGGUUUUUGGUAUGUGAUUUGAACAUCUCCCACCUGAAUAUUGUGAUUGUGAUUCAAGUGCAGAGCUUUUCAGUAGCUCUUCUUGCUGAGGCUUGAAACAGCAUGAGGUAAUAUAUCAAUAAUUGAGUUUUCAAGUUCAUAACCUUGGAUGUGCAUGAAUGGUGAAACAUGUUCGAAUGGUAGCCUCUAAUAGAUAUGAUGGAGCUUGGGCAUAUGCCUUAUUUCAUGCUUGUGUUUUGUUUCUUACAUAGUUGAUUUUUCAGAACUUUAAGAUGUUUACCCUUUUUGAAUUCCUUUCUUUCAUUUAUUCAGGAGCUUUAGAUUUUCAAAUUUAAAUUCUAGACCUCAUAAUGCAUCUAUGUUGUUUGCAUAUCACCAGUAACACUUAUUUGAGUAGUCCUUUUUGUUUUUAUCCUGCUCGAUCAAUACAAAUAAGAAAACACAUUUGUUUUGAGUAGAUUACAUUCUUAUGUUCAUUAUAAAGCUAAAAAAGAAAAUACAGUAAUUUAGGUUGUUUACUUUAUCUGCAAAAGGAAAGAAAAUUAGGCAUGAUGGAUUGCAUAACCAAAAAAAAGGGGAGAAAAAAGAAAAGUGAAUCUGCACAUUAAGUAACUGCCCAAUUGUCCUUUCCCAACUACGGUUAAAUGCAAGAUUUAUUUUUCCUUGGUCCAACCUAUAUAUUCAGUCUCUCAAACAGGUUAAUUAAAUGCAGGUGGCACGCAACUUGGGAAAGACUUUGCGAGCUUUCCAGCCAACACUAAAAGAGCUUCAGGUUGGUUAAAACUGGUCUAAUUUUUCCACAUGCUUUUAGUUACGUAAUAAAUAGGAUAGAUCUACUGGCAAAAAUGAUAAGCUAUCAAAAUGUCCGAAAAAUGGAAACAGCUUUGCAGAAAAUUAGACUCCAUAGCAGCAUUAUCUUAUGUGCAAUCAAGGGGCAUAUUAUCAGGUUAGUGAUUCUUAUGCUGCAGGAAGUGUCAAAGGAAUUCAAGAGCACCCUUGAACGGGAGAUAGGACUUGAUGAAGUUGCAUCUUCUACAAAUUACAACAGCAAGCCCACUCCAAAUGUGAAUGAAAAUCAAAGAGCUGUAUUUGACACAAGUAAACGCAAAGAUAUUUUUCGAUGCCUAAUAUAGUAGGAUGGAUAGUUAAUGAUCUUUUUACCUCUGAAGCAAAAAAAAAAGAAGAAGAAGAAAAAGAUUGGGAAGGCAUCAAUAUCUCAAAUUUUCUGGAAAAAGUCGCAUCAUAUGUUCUUUUGCUGUGUAUCACUUCAAAACAUUGGUUUUCUUCUUGUUUGUUUUGUAUCUUUGAAUAACGCAAACUAGUUCUAUGCAGAUGGCAAGCCUUCAGCCGGACCAUACACCAGUGAAGAGCUUCUGAAAAUCACAGAAGACCAGCAGUCUGCAUCUACUACAAGAACCCAAACAGAAGCGCCCACUUCUGAAGAACAACCACAAGGUUUGGCGUUAUAAUAAUAAUGAUCACUUGGUGCCACUGAAAUGAAGCAUGUGAUUUUGCCUUCAAUUUUGUGUCUCUUUGUUGUUCAUCCAUGUGAUGAAGAUUAACGUGUCACAUGACAGCAGCAUCAUCAACGUCAGAAGUUGCAGCUGCCAAUCCGUCAGAAACUACAGCUUCUGCUGCUUCAGAAACUGCUGCUCAAGUACCUUCAUAUGAGAAGGCAGAGAAUGAUGGAUAAUAAUUUCGGCAGGCAUCAUCAUAGCAAGCAAUUGGUCGAGAGGACAGCAGUUUUCCCAGAUUAAAUAUGUGAGCUAAAAGUUUAGAACUUUCUGGUGAGUGAAUUUUGUACUCCUUGCAUCGAUCAUCUUUUUGUAUAUCGAGACGUGGAGAUGGGCAUGGCACCAAUAAUGGUUCAGAGUUUUAAAGCUAGCUGGGAUAUGUAAUGCAUCAUUUCCCUCACGAGCAGCAAGUGUUGUAUGAUUAUUUUACAUUGUUAAGAAUCAUCUGAGAAAAUCUGAUAAUCUGUCAUCCGUGGAUUAAUAUGUAAUUUAUGGGAACAGAAUCACAUAUGUUGCAUCCAAUGGAGCAUGGUAAUCACUUUUCAGGUAAACAGUCAUUUGUUUAGGCCGCAGCCAUGAGCAUGCCAAUAAUGCCAUAGCAGAUCUGUGGGCUAAAUAUGCCAUCGCGCAUUCUACCGUACUAAAAUCUUAUAAACGAAGAUCAAAUGACUGUAAUUAGAUUUGAGCGAAAAUGUAGCAAGGGUGGUUUGAGCGAAAAUGUAGAAAAAUGGGAUUCUAUAAUGUCUUAAUGAUUCUAUAAUGUCUCACCACUGCCUGUUCCCCGUUCCAUGAUUUAAUUCAGCGAAUAAAAUACUGUUCAUCCAGUACAGCUGCAACUCGGAAUCUUCACAGAUACAAAGAAAACUCAAUCCUCACUAUUACAUAGCUCUAUUUGUGGCUCUGAAAGACGCUUGCGCAAUUAGACGAUGGCUUCUUCGUAAUUGUAUAAAAAUAAAAUCUUCUAUGGUUUGAAACAUUUCAUUUGAUAAUAAUAAUAUAUUAUGGCUUACCACCUCCUAGAAGCUAUUGGGCAGAGACUCCCUCAUUUGUAAUUCCUGCUACUGCUGCUGAACCUGUAAGAAUCAAUUUCAUUCAAUAAUACGGAGCUGAUACAAGGCCUUUCCCUCGUAAUGUAUCAAAAAAUAAUGAGAAAAAAUUGCAUAGUCUUGCAUUACAACUACAAGGGAUUGAUCGCUCGGUGAGACUCAAACUCAUGAUAAUCACCGCUUGCUUGUGCACAAGUAUUGAACCCAAAACCUUAAAAAAUUCCAUUGUCAGGCCCUUUCAAUCAUCCCAAUUGGGAAGGAUUCCAAGGAAGAGCAUUCGCUGGGUCCAAACCCAAAGCAUCCUGAUAAAACCCAGAGAAGGGCACAGAUGUGGCCGCCUGUGGGGAAUUUCCCAUACAUCUUCUGUUGUUAGAAUUGCUACUGGGCAUCAGAGGUAUGGGUUGCAGCAACUGGUUCUUUGGGGGAGGUGAUUUGGGCCGCAAGCUUUCUAUGUCUGGGGUUGUCUGCACAAGAUGAGGAGCUUCAGGUGGUGGAUUCCGGCCUCCACCUCCUUGCCAAACAUUUCCAUCUUUACCGGCAAAAUUCCUGAUAUAUGCCUGCAGUAUAGGAAUCAUGUCAUCAGAAUUGCAUACAAACACAAUCCUCGCCUAUUCAAGCACAAAUUCAGAGAAUUUGGUAUCUAAAAGAUGAAAAACAAAGAGCGUCACCGAAAGCAAGCGAUUUCAUACCUCAGAAUUAAAAUUUGAUGAUGAUAAUCCCUUCCCUACUGUAAGCCAACCUGAACGAAUAUUAUGGUCAUCACCGAACAGUUCAAGCCUCCUCCUGCCCAGAGAAAAAUGCUCAAUGAUCCUAUACAAAUCAUCAGGCUUUUUUGUUGAACCUGCAAUAUAAAUGACAAGAAAACAAGAAAAGAAAUGGUUAUUUACUCUAGAAAUUUUGCUGGGAGCCCAAAUAUUUAAGUAGCAACAAGGAGGUAUUUACAAAAAAUAAACAAGACACAAAAUAAAGAUAAUUUCUCACAGUUACGUGAAAGGGGAGCAAGGUUGGAUAUGCGGGGUUACAGAAUAGGGAACCAAUGGCCCUAGAGAAUAACUGAAGAAAAAGUAUCUUCAAGAAUUUGUGGAGAUGGAAUCAUGCUUUGAUAAUGGAAUUUACUCUGAAAAUGUUUUUGACAACACAACUAUAUCAGAAUUCAAAAUGGAGUAAAGGAGAGUACCAAUUGCUAAAAUUAGCAGGAUAGUUUUAUCCAGAAUAAGAGGAACAUGUUUGGGGCAAGGGUGGAUGGUUAGCUUGAAUAAAUUUAGUCAACUAAAAAUAAGUCUAAAUGAACAAAUUUGACUAUUUUGGUCGAAAAAUUUAUCUGGGUGAAGAGGAAUAUGAAAGAAACUGCGCUUGUCAGCUUUCCUGAGAUCCCAAAAGCAGCCUUUCUUUAAACUGCUUUAUUUUGUGCCAAAAAGGAUUGGAUGAAAUCUUGGUCAACUAAAAAUAAGUCUAAAUGAACAUUUUGACUCUUUUGGUCGAAACAAUUAUCUGGGUGAAGAGGAAUAUGAAAGAAACUGCACUUGUCAACUUUCCUGAGAUCCCCAAAGCAGCCUUUAUAUAACCUGCCUUAUGUCGUGCCAAAAAGGUAUGAAUGAAAUCUUGGUGAGAAAUACUAGACAAGAGCCUCAUGAAUUCCAAGGCAGACUAAGAAUUUCCAAAGCACGUUUGGCACCAAACACAGAAGGUUGGAUGUCCUACUGACAUGUCUUAAGUGCUCGUAUUAACCCUCUUGAGGACCUCAAUAAGAAUACAGGUGAAGCUGAAGAUCAUCAAGAUCAACAUAGAGGAUUGAGGAAAAGAUGGUCCAAAAUAAAUGCAUGCCUAGAAUAAUCAAAAAAAUCCAAACAGCUUGGCGAGUGUUGGCGAAUAAAUGCAUGCCGAGAAUAAUCAAAAAACUCCAAACCGCUUGGCGAGUGUUGGCAAAUCAACGCAAAUUGUAGAAAUAAAACCUUUGCCAGGAAUGGAAUUUCCUGACAUAAUUCAUCCAGUUUGGCAAAUAACUUGCUAAAUAUACAAAAGCUUUCUUAGCAGGUUAUCGUGUUCUAGUUUUACACGGGUAUGUGCAAAAUCUAGGGCCAGAAUAACCCAAUCCAUGCAAGCAAUUUGAACUGGUAAUGAAUGACCACACAUGCACAUCAAUACCCAUUCAUCGCAGCACAGGCACCAUUGCUCUUAAAAUGAAUUUUGACCAAAUGAAUAAAUCCAUGGAAAAUAAGAAAAACAGUUAUAGAACAACUUCUAACUUGUAAGUAUGCAAUUUAUAUUCAUGAUGAUGGUAUUUUUAUUCGUCAAUUUAAUGAAUCGAAUGACCACCAGAGAUGAGCAAAUAUCCAAAAAUUGAAAUUUCGAAUAUAUAUUCUCCGAAAGCAGAAAAUACUAACCAUAAGCAGGUUCUUCAGCUAUUAUCACAUCUGUGUCAAUAUUGGCAUGAAUGAUAUGCCCAUCUGUGCUACGACGAACAGUUCCUCUUAUGCCCAUCAAGCAGUGUUCCUACUCAAUUUAAAAAGAAAAAAAUUGAUUAUUUUAUUUAGUAGACAAUGCAAAGACAGCUAGCCUAGGAAGAAGCUGGAAUUUGAAAUAUAUAGACAAAGAAUAAACCUGUAUACCAAAUGUUCACUAACCUUCGAGUGCUGACACAGAGUGUGAGAAUCAUGCCUCAAGGCAGGAGUUGCAUUUGUUUUGUUGGUUUUCACCCAACAAAUAUCCUCACAUCUCCGAAAUCCCCACUAUAUAUAUAAAAAAGGAUAACAGGUUAUAACCCCCAUGAAAAAUGGUCAAUCAUUGAACGACUGAAACUACACUGUCAUAUUCUCUCUGUUGUUUCCCCCUCCCUGUAAUGCAACUUGGAAGAAUAAAACCCUCUGCACAAGACUUUGCCACAAUAUCCCAUAAAGCUCAAGUGCGUCACACUUUCCAAUAGGCUAUUGCCUGUUAUCAUCACGUCAACCACAUUGCUCUCCCCCUUCCAAAAAUUGGACCAAAAUUUGGGAAGAGUGUUGCAAUCAUAGUAUUACUCAAAUUGGUAACAAGAUCAAAACUGGAUCUUCUAAUUAGCAUACAAAGUAGGAGAAUACCGAACUAAAGUGGCAUACCUUCUUUAAACACUGACGGCCCUGUUCAAGUCCCACACCAUCACCAACCCAUAGGAAGAUAAAUGAAGGAGUGUCAGCUAUUGCCUGACAACAUGAACAGAGAAGGCUUAGGAACAAGAGUAAAAUUCAGCACAGUCAGAAUUACUAGGUGUGCCAAUUAAGACACUUAAAGCAUGCAUACAGGAAAUAUCAAAUAAAGAGCAAGCAUAUCACUUAAUAAACACAAGAGAUGAGCACAAAGAUAAAAAAGCACACCUCGAUCGUCAAAUUCAUUAUCUCUUCAAAUGUCCAGUACUCCAUGUGGUCAGUAACACCAGGAGCUCGAUGAACAUAUUCCUCCCAUGGAGGAUCCACAAGAAUAACAUCGAACUUUGUGCCAAAAAACUCGGGAGAGAGUACAUGUUCACGCAGGUCACACUUAUAGUACAUGGGUGGGGAAGCAGACUUGGCAACAAUUUCAUCUUUCUUCUGUAUUAGUUCCCUCAGCUUUGGAUAGUCUUCCACCACACUAGUGAGCUCCAGCUCUCUGAUGAAAUUCUGCGGUCUCAUACCAGUGUCAACAAAAUUUUGAGAGUAAUCAUUUUGCUCUCCCCUUGAAGGACCUUUAGAAGGCCCACUAUUUCUUUGUGGACCCCAACUGCUAGGUGCUUUAUCUUGUGGCAUCCCACGGCCACCUAGUCCCAUCGCAUUAAGACCAGGGCCUGACAUGUUAGCGGGUACUCCUCUUCCUGGGCCUGGCUGAUUGAAGUACAUGCCAUGAUUAGGGCCAGUUCCCAUAUUAGGUGCAAACCUAGGUCCUCCAGGCCCAGGUGGAUGAAUUGGAGAAAGGCUGGGAGGGACAGCUAGCAUAUUCAUAUCAACACCUCGAGCUCCAGGCCAAAUGAGCGGUCCUGGAAAUGGGGGAAUGAAAACACCAGGGGGAAUUGGUGGGCCAGGUAAGUGCGGCAUAUUUGGUCCAAUUGACUGCAUUGGUCCUGGCAGCAAGCCAAGAUGACCAAAUGAAGGGCCCAUCAUAGACAAUGGAAUUGCAUCCCGUUGAGCAUCCCUCCCAGUUAGCCUUCCCCUUCCUCCUCUUGCAGGCCUGCCCCCUUUUGGUCCCUGUUGUGGAGGCCUAUUAACAGAACCUGAUCCCUGAAUAUUCCCAAAUGGAUGCUGUGAAUCAUUGCUUUGGCUCAGUCCUGUACGAUUAAAAUUUGUAUCAUCCUGUCCUCGUCCUUCUUUGGCAUGAGAAUCAAGAGAAUUCCUUGUGGACAUUUGAUCCAUAGGUGAACCGUGAUCUUGGUAUCUUACCUGUAAUUCAUCUCCAUAGCCAUAUGCUAUUUUACCCUUUUUCUCAGGUGGAUAAUCCCCUGUUCCAACAUUUACUCCUGAAGUGACAUCCUGCUGUGAACCCGGUUCAGCUGUCUGCCCAAAAUGUAUGGAAGAAGUCUCCUCUUUCCCAAAGUCAAGAUUCUUGUUGGGUUUGAUCUCUAUUGAAUCAGAACUCUCAUAAGCAUUCCUAGAGGCUGAUGACGCUUUUACACCAUCCAGCCUGAUUCUAGCAGCUUUUCUAUAGCCAGGUUUGCUGUGAAGAUUCUCACUGUCCACCAUUUCUUGCUCACGCCAUUGCAAAUCCCACUCCUUGACAUGACCAGAUUCACUCUCCCUAUCUUUGGAAUCUUGCCUAGUCUGAUUUCCUUUCCAGUGGUCUUUUGAAGCUUCCCAAUCCCCAUUUUCGUCAUUCCAGCUCCUAUCUUUUCCCUUGGAAGGCCUAUCAUCCUUGUACCCUUCUCUUUCCCAUUCUCUACCCUUAAGCCCAAUAUUUCUUUCAUCGUCAGAUUCUGAAUAGCCUCGGUUAUGGUCAUCCUGCUCCCUACGACGCCUUCCACUUCUCUCAGGUGUUCGUGACCUUUUGGUAUAUCUAACUUCCCUCCCAAUUCUCUCUCUCAUCUCUCCAUCCCUAGUAACAGACCCUUCCUGGCUUUGAACUUCAUCAUGACUGCCAUAUGCUGAGUCUUGUUGUUGUCUAUAUUUCUCAGAUUUCUGCUCAUGUGGUUCGCUGAUGCUAUACUUGCGGGAAUUCUCAUUUCCUGCCACCUCAGCUGAUCUUUCGAACACCCUUCUCCAGUUAUCAUCUUCAUGUACAUCUGGCCUAGCUUCAUAAGGUGCACUGACUGACAUAUUAUCUUCAUCUUGACCAAUUAAUCUUCCCCUACUUCUAUAAGUUUCUCUAUCUUCUCUUUUCUCUUCCCUGGUACUGGACCUGAAACCCUUAUCAGCACUAGAAUCCACAACCUUACAUUUGGAGUCACUUAAUUCAUUUCCAUGAUCCUGCUUUCGAUCCCUAGCAAACCCAUGCUUACUAUGGUCAGCAGCUUUCCCACCUUUUGAAUCAGAUUCCUCCACAAAACUACUUUCAGAAGGUUUCAUGAUUGAUUUCCUAGAAGAAUGCCUCUCAUUCUCUUCAUACCUGCUUCUCCUCUCUGAUUCUAUUUCCCAAUACCCUUCACUCGAUCUCUUUUCACUUCUCUCAUCCGGAUUCUUUCUUGGAGUCUUGGUAUGCGAUUCUCUUUUCCUGUCAUACUCACUUUCAUCUCCACUGCUUGAGCUGAUUGACUUUUUCCUAGCAUCAUUCCUAUCUCCAGAGAUUCUUUUCCUUCCACUAUCCCAUUUCUGAGCUUCUUUUACACUACUGUGCUUCUGUGACUUGCUUGACCGAUGCUUCCUCUCAUCGGUGCCUUCCCGGUCUUCAUUUUGUUCAGUUUUACCGUACCUAACAUCCAUACUUUCAUCUAGAUUCUGCUACAUGCGACUCCAUCAGAAUUCUGAUGCAUAAUUGCACAAAUUGACAGUUAAUUGAAAUCAAUUCUAGCCCUAAUAACUUUUACAUCACAAAUAACAACAAAUUUCCUAGUAGAUACACCCCAUCCUGUUGCCACAAUGAAACUGAGAAAACUAAAAUGAAUUAUAAUAACAAGAUCCAUAAUUUUUAAAUACUAGCAAAACGGCAGCAUACGCGGCAAAGAUCCAAAAAUCACGACGCCAGCAACUCUCCCCUUGAAUUCAGACCACCGUGACACACAAAAAGAGAGAAAUCUUUAAUGUAUGGGUCUUCUAUAAUGCAAUUAUUACUAUUUCAAUUACUUGACCGGCAGGUUCCCGAUCAUCAUACUUUAGACACUUAUUUCCUGAUUUAAUGGGUGAUUUGUCUUAGUAUCCUUUUUUUUCUUUUGAUUUCCUAGAUUAGCAGGGUGGUUGAACAAAGGGAAUUUAUAAUCAGUGAGAGAAAUAUCAAUGAAUAAUGCAUUCUUUUGCGCUUCGAACCGAGGGUUUUCCUUGGAAGAGGGAAUUAAACAUGUUUCUUCCUGCAACUAUUAUCCCUCUCAGAGAUCGAUUGUAUCAAAGGUGCGCAAAGAGGCGCUUCAAAGCCGAUCCGGGUUAGGUUUCCAAUCCCGACCUUUGAGCCAGCUUAUUGCUAAAACUAAAGUUAGGGUUAGGGUUUAGGCUUUUUGUCGGAGCCCUCCUGGCCCUAAAGAAGGUGAUUUCUUGGGCGACGCCGAGGUCGAAGAAGGCGGAGCGGGUUAUGAGGACGAAGAGGUGUGACAGGCUCCAAUUGAGGGUGCGGACGAGGGCGGAAGUGGGGCCGAGAUAGGGCGGAGGGGCAGGGGUGGCGAGGAUCGGAGAAAGAAUGAUGGUGGAGGUUGGAGACAGAACGACGGCGACGCCGCAGGAGGAGGGGGUGAGGGAGGAGGCAAAGCAAGAAGAGAGAGAGAGAGAGAGAGAAGAGAAGGGAGAGGUAGAAGGAGAGGACUUACCAGUUACUCGGGGGGUCGGUGGCUGCCGGCGACAGCUCCUCGCGGCAGCGGACGGGGAAGAGGUGGGGACUCGGGAGGGAGGGAUCUCCCCUCUGUGUCUCCGGGCGGGUGGAGGCUGUAAAAACGAGGUAAAAAUAUCGGGUUAAUAAAACAUCGUGGAGGAUUCGAUCAGACCCCAGCCCGAUCUGAUAAAUGAGUCGGCUUCUCAACCGCAGUAAGAAUGUUGGAUAUGAGAGAGAGAGAGAGAGCAUAACAGCUCCAGCCCCUCUUGACUUCUGUUUUUUUUUUAGAUUUUUUUUUUAUGAAUACCAUCCUCAAUAUAAAAUUUUACAUAAAUAUUUUUUAAAAAUUAAUAUUUUUAUAUAUAUUCUGGUAAAAUAUUUGUUUUACUAUAUUAUUUUUACUCACGCCAUUUAGUACCGUUAAAAAAAUUAAUGGUUUCAAAUUAAGAUGGUUAAAAUAUUUUUAAUAGUAAAUAUAUAAAAAAAAUAUUUAUAAGACGAUCUGAACGAUAAAAAAGUAAUUUCAAAAUUUUAUUUUAUUUUUAAUUAAAAUAAAUAUAAUUUUUAUUAAUAGAAUUAGAAAAAUCGGUAUUCGUGCAAAAACAAUAUUUUAUAAAAAUAUAGAAAUAAAUAUAAAUUUUAAAAAAUAUUUAUAUAAAUUUAAAUUUUUAGGAAGAUAUUUAUAUAAAAAAUUCUUUUUUAUUUUUUUUUAACUAGAUUGUUGCUUUCACUCUGUCCAGACUGACACGUGGAAGUGGAAGAUGCUCUCGGCCAAAAAAAGGGUGGAAGAUGCUCCGUCCGGGCUUCACAGGGCACAGGAUGUUUGGGAGACGCACGUGGGGAAGAGGCACGGAUUGCUUUGAAUUUUUUUUUGUAUUAUUUAUAUAAAUUAAUAAGCUAUACCAAUAAUUUUGGCUAAUUUACGGUUUAUAUAACACUUUCCCAGUACAGUGAGCGAAAAUGGGAAUGGAAGGGCUAUUGUUUCGUAUACAUGAUGCACACCGGUUCCUCUCUGCCCUUCCCCCCCUUCCCAUUGAGUGUCAGUUUUUUCAAGUACAGUUUUCUCCCAACUUUUUAUUUCAAAACCUAAAACAGUGAACGCACUUGGUGCGAAAGGACCGUCGUGAAGUCUCCACUCACCUCAACAUAAAAUAAAAUAAAAUACAAAAAGAAAAAGACUAUCGCGAAGUAUUGCUUCAUCGGGAGGACUUUAUUCAUGACCGUUGUGUUUCUACUGAAGUCGUAAACAGUCCUCUGCACUUCAGCUGCGGACCAACCAUAUUAUAUUCUUGAGACCACAGGUUUCCAUGUCGAAAAAUCCUUCCGCACAAUGAACCAAAAUUAUUAUUUUUAAAUUAAAUUAAUGUACAAACCAAAAAUAAUUUAUUUUAAGUAAAUUCAGAUUUGAUAUAAAUAAAUUUAAAUUAUAAACCGGAUAGCCUAUCUAUCCCUGCUUAACUUUAACAUAUUUAAUCCAUUUUGACCACUUUAAUAAUUAAAUGAGUUUAUAACUCGACCCAUUAAGCCUGUUUAAUACCUCUCUAAUCCAUUUAAAAUCUACCUAAUCCAAUUUUGUUUCACUUAAUCCAACCUGCUCAAUAUAUUUAAUCCAUUUACAUCUAUAUGCCCUAACUUCACCUAUUUAAUAAAUAGAUUAAAUUCAAAUCUAAAUAUUUGACUUAAUAAAUAGAUCGGAUUGACAAAUUUUUAAUCCAACCAAUUACCACCCUCGGUAACAAUCAAAGAAUCACGCCGUCCAGUAAUCAUGUCCCCGCUGUCUUCUGAACCUAUUGUUAUCAAUCAAUCUCCUAGGUUUAACUUACAACAUCCGUCCGUCGAGAUAAGAAAUAACAUGAUUGCAGCAUAACGUCCAACUGGAACUGGAUUAUUUACUGACUUUUUAUAUACAGCUUUCUCAUAUUUACAUAUUCAAAAUACUACUUAGAGUUUACAUAUCCACACAACAUGCAACAACACCAUCUGAAAAGCCAGUCGCAUCUAACACAAUCAUGGCAAUCCUACCAGAGGCACAAUAGUAAUUAUAUUCCCAAAGCUCCCUGCAAACCCUGUGCCCUCUUUACCCUACUAAUAUUUUUUCGUCAACAUCAUUAUUGACAUCAGCUAACAUCUCAACGGUUGAAUACAGCAUUACCACAGAUCUGUGGACCGUGUUCAUGUUCACCUACCAGAAUGUCUUUAAACCGGCUAACUGGUCCUGAUUUCCAGCCUACACCCUGUUGCAUCAAAAGUUGUCGAGACUAAAUAAGAUUCAACUUAAUGGCAAGAGAACUUGACAUAAGACUGAUAAAAACUUGUAUUCACCAUUUACUGCAACAUAGAGCAUGCUGACUUGAGAGAGCUCAGAAUUGCCCUAUUUUCUUAAUAUAAAAAAGUGUGUCAAUAGUAGAUGAAUAAUUAAUGACAUGUAAAACAUUUAAUAAAGUAAUGCAGCCACAAAACAAACAGAAACAAUACAUAAGUCAGGAGGAGGAAAACUUGGACUUACGAAUACUCACCAUCAAUUUAUUGCAAAUGCUGAUCAGUGGGGGAAAAAAAAUCAAACCAAAAAGCAGUUCAUUAUCCCUAGAGAUUAACUAAUCAUUCAUUUAUUCGGAUUAACUGUUUUGAAAAACCAAACUCAUUAUCACAAGUCAGCAUCACUCAACCAAAAUAAUUCACAAUAAUCUGGCACGCAUUCCAAAUUUGAGCACAUAGUUUAUGAUAUCUAGCUCAAAAAUCAAGGCAGUAAACCUGCAAAUUUGAUGAAUGAUGGUGUUAUAUUGCCACAUGGAGAUCCACAAAGUGAUCUAUCUUGUCCACAUGCAAUCCAGAUAUUAAAUUGCAAAAAAUGCUAAAAUAAAGAACAGCCAGUGUUGCUAUAAUCAAGAGAUUGCAAUGCAAGUCCUAAACAGUAUAGAGAGAGAAGGUUGCAGAGCAUGAGGAGCACUAGAGAGUAGCAAUAAGCCAAUAACAACCGCAAUAAGCAUCGCAGGGGGAGCCACGAGGCAAAAGGGGGCGGUAGUUACUUGCCCACCUCCCCAGUAUCUUGGAUUUCAACUCUAGAUAUCUUAUAAGAGGAAAGAGAGAGAGAAUAAAAAUCCAAGGGAUGGCUGCCUAAAUUUUUGGGUUUUGUUUAGGAUAUAAUGAAACCAGAAAGCUCGCCAACUCAUAGAGGCUUCUUUCUCAAAUUUGAGCAAGGUUUCUAGAGCUGAAAAUAGGUUUGCAAUCUCAGACAGUAGCCCUUGGUACAGGAUGUACUGUACCAUAUCAAUAGGGUAUUGAGACUCGGUAUGCCUCCCGUAUAGGGUGUCGGUACCAAGGUAUAUACCGUACCGACACUUGGUAAGGGAUGUACCGGUUGCGCACCGGUACAGGGUCUGAUAGUAGGUUUGCAAACCUUGGCUGCAAUAGUUUUUCUUACUCUUUGUCCAGGUAUUUUAGGAAAUACUGGGUCUAAGAAUUAACUAACAAAAAGAGCAUUUUAAGUGGACCAACACCUUUCCAUGAAUAAUUAAUUUAAUUUAGGACUGUAAAAUCCUUUCCAAAUAAGGAUUUCAAGUCCGCCUAGAAGGCAUAUUUUGAUCUGUCUUUAUCCUUUAGUUUAUUUUGUUAUGCUUUAAUGGGCAAGUUACAGGAGGCUGGAUUAAGGUAAGCAUGUAAGUUUUAUUACAAUUUAUUUUAUUCCUAUCUCAACCACCAAUGACCAUAAAACUCAACUAUCAGCCUCUAUAUAUUUUGCACGUUUCCUGUAAGCCAUCACCAGCAGCUUCUACACCACACAAAUAUAGCAUAGAUUCUGCUUUUCUAACAAACACGAAUAAUACCAGAAUUUCCUCUUGAAGAUUAGGUGGCCAUAGAUAUCCAUAGAUUUGACUUACUCCAUAUGCUAGGCUUAAUAGAUGACACAUAGGUCCAAGAACAGUGGUGAGCACUACAGAAAAUAAUUAGACAGGUGAGGAUUGACCGGUAAGAUGCUACUAGACAUCUUAGCAUGUCACACUUACCCACCAUCCAAAAAAACUUCCACUGGCUAGACCAAUCUCUUUAAAAAGAGGAUUGAAUCAUACAAUCAUAACAGAUGGACAAAAACAAGGCACUUGCAGGUCAUUGUUUAUUUCUCCAAAAGGAAAUGCUUAUAAGAUACAUCAAAAUCAAAACUAAACAUUUUCAGAUAUAUCGCAAUAAAAACUAUGAUAUUUUUUUGAUGCAAAUAAGCUAAUAUACAAUCCAUAUGACCAAGGUUAUGAAAAGCACUCGAGCAGCUUCUAGGUAUUCACAUAUGUUUCACAUAUUCUACUAUAUAAUGCUAACUCCCCUACUGUGACCAUGGGCGAGGCAUGUCUGACAGUCCACAUUUUCUCACCCGCUUUUCCCAUCUCACGAGGUAAUUUAGAACAAGUUGACGAGCUUGAUUAUAUCUAUUCUAUUAUAAAAUGCCAACCCCCUAUUGUAACUGUGCAUGAGGCAUGUCUAACUGUCAACUUUUCCUCACCCCACCUUUUCUCAUCCUGCACAUUUCCUCGUACAGCUUCUCCCUAUCGCAUGUUCUAUCUGUACUUUUCCUUUUCUUCAUGUGGCUGUUAGCCAGAAGGUCAGAUGUUCAAGUCCUACUAGCAUCCAUGAUUUAUUCAUGUAUUUUUUUAUUAGAAAAAUAAAACAAGACAUACAUUGCACGUGCCACAUUCUAGUAUUUCAGGAAUCAAACAGAGUUGCUAAAGCAUCUGACUAAAGGAAUAAGAGAAAAUUUACACAAUUUGAUUUAUUGACAGGAAAAGCAAAAAAAAAAAAGGAAAAGGAAAAGGAGUUUGUUAUCAAGCACAUCAUUGAAUAAAUUCAAGUGACAAGCAUAAGACCUAAUGUUAAAACUUUAUGUAACAACUGAAUUAUUACUAUAUAAUUAUAAGCAUAAGAGGAAGUCUGCAAUACAGGAAAAGAAAAAUAGAAGGCAUGAUCAGAUAGACAUUUAAGAAAUUUUUUAAAAAAUGAGUAAAAUAGUAAAAGACAAGAGCCACAUUUGUACCAAACUGCAACUUAAAAUGUUAAUCUGAUGAUACAGUCAAUUCCUACAUAAGAGAAUGCAUGCUAUACACAUCUUGACAACCUCCCCAAGCCAAGAACCUGACAGAAAAUAUAGAAAUUGGGAGAAUUUAGGAGGAAUUACAGGCUUCCAUAUAGACAUGUCAAACCUCAGAAGUGUUGACAGCAUGUGCCACUGAGUCCAUCAGAAUGUAAAACGAUGAGUUACUAAGUAAAUAACAAUAAGAAAGUAUCAUUUAGAUAUUUAUAGAAUAACCACUUGCAUUAUUUGGGAGGAUAGAAAGGAAAGAGGAAAACAAAAAGAAUAGAGGCAAGAUAUCAAAGGAGGCACCACAUGCUUCUCCUAAACAAGUUAAACCUCAGGCAGAACUUAAAAGUAUUUUACAAGCCUUUAAGUUAACCAGCCACCUGAUAGUUAGCAGUGUCUAGAAGAAUUCAACAAUAAUAAUGCUAAUUUUUGGUGGAGACCAUGCCAUAUUGUCAAACGAACAGAAAUAUACCACUUAAACAACUUCAAAAAAGUACUGAGGUGUUAAAAAGUGCAUUUACGAGUUAAAAUCAUAUCAAGCAUUAAGAAUGAAGACUGUCAGAACUCGAGUGCUUUAGUCAUGCUAGAUCAGGUUAUAUCAUGAUGAUAUACGUCAAGCAAAUAUCCCAUUUGACACUAAACCAUCAAAUACUGUCAGAACUCGAGUGCUUUAGUCAUGCUAGAUCAGGUUAUAUCAUGAUGAUAUACGUCAAGCAAAUAUCCCAUUUGACACUAAACCAUCAAAUACUGUGCUUUUCUGUGUUCUUUCUUUUAUUUUCUCUCUACGAUCAUCAAGCUCUCAUUUUUCUUCUUGAACAUCUUGUUUGGGGCGAAGGUUGUAACAUGAUCGAUUAAACAUUGUCAUAAAUUUACUCAUGGUUCAUGAACAGUUCGUUUAUUUUCUUUUCAUUCAUUCACAAGAUAGAAUUAGGUAGCUUAACUAUCUCCCCUGUUUCUCAGGUUUUUUCCUGCUUCUCCAAUAGGGCACCCCUCUUGACAAUAAGAUUCCUCGCUACAAUGCCCGCACAACACAACAUGGCACUCAUAUAUGACACAUGAAAAAAAGGCCUCAGUUAACUUAUCAUUAGGGUUAACCGAAUGCAAUUUUAGACUUGACUAAGGUGUUUGUGUGACUACAAAGGGAUGUUUGAAAGAAUAUUAGGACAACGAACAUUUCAAGUUGAAAAGGUAAUAGUUAAAUUGAUGAGCACAUCAUGGCAUAAAUUCUUGAAAGAAAACCAACAUACCUCACUGUUGAUUCUAAAGUGUAAUUUAAAUUGCUGAAUCUGCAACUUCUCUCGCUUCCAACGUUGUCCCAAAAUCACAAGCCCCAUCAUAGCAGCAGCCACAAAGACAGACCAAAAUGUGUUCGUUUCUUUCACAUGAUUAUACAGAAGUACUGCCUUCCUCUUCCACCAUGCUUCACAUGGAAGGUAAGAGGCAUCUUCUUUGUUUUCUUCGCUCCGCUCUGAAGCAUUUGUAAAAUUUGGAGAAUCUGGAUUUUGGUAAGAAGGAUUAUUGGGCUUGGCAAUGUCAGAGCUCUCACUACAGAUAAUCGAGCUACUUGUAUCUGUUUCUGCAUGGUAAGCAUCAAGUAUAACUGAAUCUUCACCAACCAAGCUCAAAUCUUGUAAUGACUUGCCCUCCCCAAACUCCAUAUCACUGACAGACAGACCCUUUCCAUUGUCAAAGAAGAACUGAAAACCAUGUAGGCUGUCAGCAGACUUAUCCUUGCAACUUUCUUUAUGGGUCUUGUUGGGCCCAUUACCAUACUCUUCAGCAUGGCUUACAUCUUGAUCCCUGAAUUCAUUGUCAAUUUCACUGUAGUCAGGUUCUAUUGGAAAUUUCUCAUGUUUGCUUGGUGGGAAACCAAAGUGACUGGACAUGAACAUUGUUUCAGGAAAUUCUGGUUCAUUAUUGUCAAAGUCCUUAGUUAUACUCUCAUCUGUUGGCUCAUAUUGUUUUGGACCAGGUGCAGCAGCAUACAUGGAUGCUGUGAGAGAAACAACCUCCCAGUCAGCUCCAUGGAGAGAGGUCUCCUUGUCCUCUUUCUUGUUGUGUGCCAUUUUUCCAAAACUCAAGCUCUAACAUAAAACCAGGCAUAUUGGAGUCAGACUUGCAAAUACAAAUAAGGUGAAAUAAAAAACUAGAUGCUUAUCAAAACCCGGUAGAUAGAGAUGAACACUUAUUUCAAUUAAUAUGUCAGCAGAAACCCAACUCAAUCAAGAAAUUAUCAGCUAAUACAUAAAAGAAAUAUCGGAUCAUUGUGACUAUCGCGUACCAGAGAUGCAGGGAGUAAACAAAAAAAUCCUAAAAUAAAAGAAUUGUUGUAUUAACUGGAAAACCAAAUAAGAAAUUUCCAUCAACUUUUUGUCAAAGGUAAAAAUCAGAGAAGGAACUUAAAUAGAACAAUCAAAAAGCAGCAACAAAUGCAUUUACCAUCUAAGUUUAAAAUAACCAUGCAGUUAGAUCCCACAAGCUAAAAAUAUCAUAUUCCCCUAUACCUUAUAAAAUGAUAAAGAUAAACAAGCAAUAAAAGUACUUAUCCCAUCAAAUUGAGUAAUAUAUAGCAACAAAUACUUCCCUUUCUACCAGGUUUGGACUCCAUUUGGGCUUAGGUUUGAUAUGCCCUGUUCUAAGGUGUUGCGGUUACUUGGGUUGCUUUGGGUUCUGCUUUUGGAUGUAACUAACCCAAUGGUUGCACUUUCUUUUACCUGUUCUUCUUUUUCUUAAGAACAAAUAUAUCUUUUAGCUGUUUUUCUUAAGAACAUAUACAUCUUUUACCUGUUUUUUACUUGGGUUGCUUUGGGUUCUGCUUGUGGAUGUAACUAGCCAAUGGUUGCGCUUUCUUUUACCUGUUUUUCUUUUUCUUAAGAACAUAUAUAUCUUCUACAUAGACAAACCAUAAAGAAAAAAUGGCGCAUACAUAUAAAACCGGGAAGAAAAACUUGAGACAAUGAAUUCUAAAUUGCUACCCAAAACUCAACAUGGCACUCCUGUCGAAGGUUACACCUUUUCAAGUGAAAAACACACAGGAGACAAAUAAACAAAAAAGAUUUUUGAGUUCUGGUAAAUGAACUAAGAAAACAUAAAUAACGUAUCUUAUAAUGCAAAGCUCCCAAAAAAGAACUCUCUCUCAAAAACAAGAGAGAGAGAGAGAGAGAGAGAGAGAGAUUUAUAAAUUUUUAGAGCACAAAAUCACACAAGUAUAGAUAUAUAGAAAGAACAAAGCGUCGUCCAUAAGAACCAUGUAAAUAGAAUAUCAGAAUAAAAACCUAAUUUAAGAACCAUGUUCUAAGAAGAUCAUCUUUUCUGCGUAUAGAAACCCACAGUUAAAUUAAAAACAAAUCCCCUAAGAUACCUUCACGCAGAUCAAAUACGGUUAUUCAAACCAAUCCAACCAAGCUGAAAGAAUAAUCAAAAAACAGUCAGAUAACCUAAAGAUUUCAUCUACAAACCAAAACAAAACCGAUCAAACCCUAAAUUAUAUGAAGAUAACCCAGAAAAGAAAAAUCGAAAGAUUAAUUUGAAACAACAUCGAUCAAAAUCCGUUCAAUUGAAUCCAAGAACGUUUCAGAGUACCUCAAAGAGAAAUCCUCUCCGUGUCGGCAAUAAAAGGGGCAGGAGAUGGAAGAAGAAGACGGAGUUUCCCCUGCAAACCCCGAGGCAAAGGAAAACCUCCCGACAAAGCUACGGGAUUCCCAGUGGCAUUUUAACCGGGACCUUAGAUGGACACGUGCAGUCCACGUGAGACGAAGCUGGAGUCUUUUCUUUCCCCAAAGCACAUUUUAUAACUAAUCAAGUCCGAGCCCAAUAUUGGAAGUGGAUAGCUGAACUUAGGGGUGGCAAAAUAUGAUUCGACCCGUCAAUCCGACUCAUGUUCGAUCCACCAUAAAUAGAUUUGGAUUUAGCCUAAAUAGGUUCGGGUCAUAAACAAGUUGAUCUGUUUAACCUGUUUAUUAAUUGGGUCGGAUAUAGAUUUUAGAUAUCUGACCCAUUUAACCUGUAUAACCCGUUUAAUAACCUGUUUAAUAUAUGGGUCAGAUUAGAUAAGGGCCACGGCCCACAGCCCACAAAGACCCGUCAGGCUGUCCCCUGUUUAAAACCUUCUCUCCAAGUUCACCAGGGCUGCUGGGCAUCGCUGCGCUUUUUUUUCGGUUUGGUUCAACCUGAACCCCACCCUCAAGCCCGCUGCCUCCGACCCCUCCGACGGCGCCGCCGACCCCUCCUGCCUCCCCGACCUCUUCUUCCGCCCCUGCAAGCCGGCCUCCAGCCUCCUCCCUCCCCUCCCGGCGAUUCGUCGCCGAGCUAGUCGCCGCCCGGUCUUGCUCCUUCGUCGGCACCCACGAGUAUGUCGCCCACGAGGUCGCCACCUGCCGCUCCCACAAUCCCAUGGCAGCGCUGCGUCCUCCUCUACGAGCUUCUCUACGGCCGGACCCCCUUUGCUGGGAUCCUAACUCUAGAUCUCCUCCAAGGAUUCGGAUCUUUGCGAGGUAUGAAACCCUAACUCUAGAUCUCCUCCAAGGAUCUGGAUCAUCCCUUCGUCCGUGAUCUUUGCGAAGCCAUGGCAUUUGGGUUCCCGGGGCGCGAUCUCCGCGGGGGCUUGGGGUUCGGAGCCAGAUGCUGCCGUUGCCGAACCGAUCGGAGCCCGCCGGCGACGAAAGAGGAGCCGCGACGACCGGAGGUCUACUGAAGCGGUGAAGCAGAGGACCCAUCUCGCCUCUCCCAUCUCCUCCGAUCGGUGAACCGAUCGGUGAAGCCCGACGACGGGCACAAUUGUUGAAAUUUUUUAAGCUGCCGAGGUCCCCGAGCACAAUUGUUAAACGGGUCGGGUCGAGUUAGGUAGGUGGGGAUGGGUUGGGCAGUUUAUUAAACAUGUUAAACAGGUCGGGUCGGGUUACCUGUUUAAUAAACAGAUCGGAUUCAGGUUGUAAUUUCUGACCUAUUUAAUAAACAGGUCAGGUUCAGAUUUAUGAUUUUCUGACCCGACCUAUAUCUGACCCGACCCGUUGAUGUCUGACCCGACCCGAUUGUCACCCCUAGCUGAACCGGUUUCGGACACAAUUCAAAGAGAAGAGAGAGAGAGAGAGAGAGAGAGAGAGAGAGAGACAAGGCCGAGACCAGCACCAAGAGGGAACCGCUUUUCGAUAGUGAAGGAAAAAGAACCUACCCCCACACAGCUGAACUUGCGGAACCCACAUCAUUAUCAGAAAAGCAAGGUGUCAAUUAUAAUCCGUCUCGGAUCACCUACUUGUCUGAGCUUCUACUACCGAAAGAACAAGUCGAUGAAUUGCUAUUUUUUUCCUGCUUUUCCAUGAUUCUUUUAUACCAAAGUCUACAAUCUCGAUAUUGAAUACCAUGUUGGUAUUUUACCAAUUUGGUAAAAUAUAGUCGAUAUGGUAUGGUAUGCAUCAUAUACUAAAAUAAUUUUUUAGCCAUUUUUUUAUUUUUAUCAUGGUUCUUCUUAUAUAGUUCGCAUCUUAGUGUGCCUUAAUAUAUAUCGGUACAUCUUAGUACGGAAUAGUACAGGAUGAUACAAGAUUUGUACCAUUUUAAAGUUGAGUUUCGUACCAAUUUUUUUUAUAUAUGGUACACCCUUGGACUGAUGGUAUGGAGUGGUACGGCAAAUCUUAGUUUAUACCAUAAUAUAUAGCAAACCCUGAAUCCAAACCUAAACUCAAUUAAAAUUCUAUAUCUGGACCUAAUAUUAGAGCGGAAGAAGACCGAGUAUUGAAUCACGUUUUGGGUAGAACUCGGUUAUUUGUUACAUUUUUAGUAUUAUAGAUUGUGUUGGGGGAAAAANNNNNNNNNNNNNNNNNNNNCCAGCCAGCGCACGGUCAUCCACUGUCCCUGCGGCGGAGCCCCUCCUUCCCCUGGCUUCGUGGCGGCCCCCGGGUCCAAUUUCCAGCAACAGAUUGCAUGCAAAAAACUACUCAUAAAAUUUAAAAAUAACGACAAUAUACAAAGUAUAAUAAUUUAUAUCUAGAAAAGAGCAUCUACUCGGCUUGUUUUUUUUUUUUUUUUUUUGAGGAGGGCUACAAGGGGUCUAAGAUCCAAGAAGAAAACAAAAGAAAAUUUACUGUCUAAUGAAACAAGUAGCAGCUUUAUCUGCCAUCACCAACAUUCUAAUCUCAUGAGGUAGUGAGCUAUAGAAAUAAAUUCUUAGUUAAUUCCCAAAGCCGCUGGACGAUCUGCUGGCUGAUUUCCUUCUCUGAACGCACGGGACAAGUCAAAAUAGUCCAGUAUCUGAAUGGUUUUCUUCCUGACCGUAGGACUUUCCAGCAUGCUAAUUGCUAGUACAUGUAAAGACAGAAUAUGCACUAUAAUCCUUGGCCGCUGGCAUUUUGAACCUGCUGAAGUUUCAGUAAUUCCAUUUGGUUUUUGAGAAUUAAUUUUUGCAUUUAUUGUCUUCUACACUUUCAGCCAGAACUUUCAAAGCAUGGUUUAUGUCAUUUUGCAAACCCUGGGAACUUUUAAAGGAGUUUUUUUUUUUUGGUAAAAAAUAGGAGAGGAGGGGAGGGAUCAGCCCAUCCGCGUAGCAGCUCCUACUGGACUCUCCUUCCAUCAGAGAAUGUUCGAUACAGAUCACAGAUUUUCGCGUGCCUUCUCCGACUUGUGGGCUCACCGUCUCGCGUAUAGGUACGUCACCCCAGUGCCAUCUUGGUACAGAUAGAAAGAAAACAUAUCCGCCAACGAGUCGUCCGAGCAUGGGGUAUUCGGUUUUCUAAUUUAAUCGACGCCCACGCGUUUCGAAUCCGGACAACUCGGAUGGAAUUAUCGCACCCUUACCAACAGGCUACCACCUUAGUGGCAAGAAGUUUUUUAAAAGUGGAGAAUUUUCAAUAUGGCCAGCCUAAAAUCCGAAGUAGCCCGUUGGCUUACCUUUGGUGCCAGAGUGGGCUAGGAUCCUUUUUAGAAGCGUCUUCCUUCAUGGCCGAAGGAGUCUCAUCCCGGGGAGUAGCAGAUAAGAGACAAAUCCAAACCUAAAUUCUUUUGCCUUCUAGAUUAGUUUUGAUUCAUGUGUUUAUUUUGAUUGGAUUCUUAAUUUUAUCUCCUUCAGCUUCUUUAUAGUCUCGAAGUCUCGAUCUCAAGACUCUUGUAUAAAAAACUUGUUAUGCCCUUAAAAAAAGAAAAAAUCUUAUCUUAUUCUAUAUAAAAACUUAAGUGCACUUUUCAAAAAAAUAUUAUUCUAAUUUCUAGUCGGUGGAAAUUGAACUUUAGUUUCUCACCUCUUGUCUAUAAAAGCUCAAACAAAAUAUGGACAUCUCUCUAUUUUUCUGUUGACCCACUUUUCUCCAUGAAUCCUAAGAGAUUGGAUCCAAUCUUUUCCUACUUCAAUGGUUUUAGGCCCUUAAGGAACAUUUUUUCUUAAUUUCAGAUCGACCGGCCCAUCGACAAUCUUAUUUUUGGGCGUUUAAUUAUUAGUUGGAAGACAAAGUCCAAGAUAAGCCCUAAACUCACCAUCCUAGGCAACCGAAAUCCGGGUUCACAAAUUGAGACCCCACAACCCACCAUUCGUAUACCUUACAGUCUAACUAGAUUCAACUCAACCCAACCUCAUCCAAGUCUAGAAAACAUAACAAUUUAACUUGGUCCAACUUGACUUCCACAUCCAAAAAACACUACGAAACAAACGUUUGCAAGUCUUUCAAAAUUAUUUCGAUUUUAAUGGUAUUUUUCAUCUAUAAGAUUAUUGUGGAUCGUAACUCCUAGUCACAUAUAUCUCUACAUUGUAUUUUGGAAGACGGCCACCACCCAAAAAUUAUUGUGAUCCCUUGGGACGUCGAGCUGGACCCACAUCCAAAGAACUCCAUGCAUACUGACAAGCAACUUAACAAAAUAUAAAACGCCGGACAAGCAUACAAACAAAUUCCUUGACAUUUGAUGCAAUAUAAGCAUCCGAAGCACAAUUCCAAAGCAUAUGCUUAUCCUCCCCUUCACACAUAAGCAAAGGCUCUAUAUACCAUUCUUCUUUCAAAAGCCCCCAAAAAGAAAACAACAUGAUACCAUCUCAUGAAUUAAACCCACACCGAGAUCGAAAUAAAACCAUUAAUUCCAAAACAUCCAACCGUUAUAUGUAACAAAAGGUAUAGCGUUCGGGUAGAUGAAAUUACUAAUUAGAACACAAACUUGCUUUGCUUUUAGUUAUCUAUUAUUUUGAUCUGAGAGCUCAGAAGUCAUCGCCGUCGUAGCCGCCGUCAUCGUACGCGAGAUCGUCCUCCACCUUCUCCGCCGCAUCCUCGGCGACCUUGUCCUCGACGUAAUCUAUUCCCUCCGCCAACGCCAAACCCCCAAGAACCCCCCCCACCGCCCCAACCGCCAGACCCGUCCCCAUCCCAAACUUCGACUUCUUCUUCUCCUCUACCGCCGCCACUGGCGGCGCCCCGUAUGAUCCCGUCGCCGCCGUCCCCCCGUAUGACCCCGCCGCAUACACCGGUGGAGCUCCGUAAACCGGCGCGGGUGCCCCGUACUCGUAACCGGAUCCCGCCGCCGGCUGCGGCGGGGCGGAGUAAGGGUACCCCGCCGGAGGCGGCGCCGCCGCGUAGGGCUGGCCGUAGCCGUACGAGUAGUCCCGGGAGGCGGAUCGCUGGCCGUAGGGCUGGGCGUAGGGGUCGUAGUAGCGGGAGGGCUCCUUGACGGCAACCCUGACGUCGAGCUUGCCCUGCGGGCGGCCGGAGGGGCGCUUGAGCUUGAGGGUGCGGGAUGCCUUGCCGCCGAUGCCAGCGUCGUCGAUGACCUCGCGGAGGGGGAGACGGGUGGAGCCGACGAGGGGCUUGACGUCACCGGCGGCGCCGGCGUGGACGACGUCGAUGGAGAGAACGGCGUCGUCGAGGGUUUGGCCGGGGGGCAAGGAGAGGACGAGCUUCUCGUCCCAUUCAGGGUUGACGUCGCCGUCGACGGCGACUUUGGUGGAGCACUUGGAGACGGGGUCGAUCCAGACCACGGCGUAGGGCUGGAGAUCGCCGUAACGCCAGUUCACGUUUUUGAGGUCGCGCGCCGAUCCGAUGGUCACCUCCAACUCGUAGCGCGACGCCAUCGCUUUGGAUUUCUUAGAAAUCUCGAACGAGAAAAUAGCAGGCAGAUGAGAAGAGAUUGAGAACGAAGAGGUGGGGGGCGAUUGAAGGGGGAUUUAUGGCGAUCCCGUAGGCGAUUGGGCGGUCGCGUUUAGGAAGUGCCCCUUGGGUUCUGGAUGUAAUUCCGGGAAUGCCACGAGGCUGGGACAGGGGUCGGGUUUUUGGUAGAAAGGCUGAUAAAUCCCAUCACCGAGUAUUAUAAACAAUCGAGAAGCUUCCAUGAAAUAAAGCGAGAGGUUGGGAGGUGACGCGAGAAGGUUCGUGGCGGCGACGGAGACGGGGCCCAUCGGUUCCAUGCUUUGCUUCGACGCGAUACACAAGUCUAGAGAAAGGGAUUCGCUGCAUGGUGACGCGGAACAAUGGAGGUCAGUGCCAUGCGCCUGGUAACACGUGGGACCUGAUUAACAUGGUUAGUGAUGUGGAGGGAACACGGUCCCCACAUUAUUGAUGGCAGCUAUGAUCUCGCACCAUCCAUUAUGAAUGGCUGUGAUCUUUUCUUCUUUGUGAUCUAAAUAGGGUACCGUUAGAUCAACUAGUGCGGCCCCCCUCGGUUGCGUCAACCUCUCAGGGUCAUGAGUGCUUGGGUACAGGAGGAGUGGGUGCAAUUACGAGUCUCCCACUUUUUUCCUUUUUUAAAAAUAAUCAUGACUUUAAAGCGAUUUAUUUUACCAUUAAACCCAAUCUGCCGAUCACCAAUUAGUCCGACUUGGUCACCCAGUACAAAUAGGUUGGCUUGGGUAAGAUUUCUUUGAUAUGAUUUAUAAUAAUCUAUAAUUUUAACUAAAUAAACUUUAUUAAUAUUCUUAGUAGUAAAUAUAUUAAAAUAUUUAUAAAAAAAAAAAAUAAUUUUAUUUCUAUAUUGCACCACAUUCGGUACAUCUCAAAAAAAUAUAUAUACUUAUGUAUAGACUCCAUAUAAGAAAAAUAAAAUAGGCCGGUAUACGUCAUGCAAAAAUAUUAUGAAUGAUACAGGUUGUUAUGUGAUCUCUAAAAUCACUCUAACAAAAUUAUAUUAAAAAAAUAAUAAUAUAGGCCGAUACAUGAUCACGCUGAUAAAAAAUAUAUUAUGGACGAUACAAGUUAUUGGUAAUCUCUAAAAUUAUGUUAACAUUUCCUCAAACUCAAGAUGGUACUGUAGGUGCUAACUUAAGUUUGAAAAAUAGAUCACAAAUAUAUUCAGAAACUGAUAUACUAGAUCAAAAACUGAAAUUUUUCCUUCGAAAGCAUCUCUAGUAUUGUGCUUUUUGGCAGAACAAUAAUCCGAAUUAAUUGAUUAAAAGGUAAUAUAGAGAAUAAUGAAUUGGUUCUAAAUGGAUUUUUUUAAUAUAUAUAUAAGGCUGGGUUGCAUGUUAGACCUGCUCAUGAGAUUAGGCAUGAGAGGCUGAUUGUCUCAUGAGAUUAGGCAUAAGAGGCUGAUUGUAUAAAAUUAUAAAAGAACAGGAGGGCGAAUUCUUCUAGGUUAGGCACCGUGCAAUAUUGGACGUCCGGGAGUGGCAAUUGCGUGAUUUAUUACUAAAGCGAGGGCAGUGAGAACCCUCGGAGGAGACGAGGGUCGCCGGGGCGCUCCUUUCUAGAAAGCGACCCGCGGGCGAAUAUGCCGCGGAGGAUGGCGGAAAAGCAUACGCGGGAUACACGCGCUUCGAUCGCAGGCGAGUCUCCGGACCCGCGGUAUACGUACCGGAACCUUAAUUCACGUGUUGAUGUGGUCCACAAAUUAAUUAAAAACUCCCAACGUUCGAAAUGAUUCCACCGGCUGAUCUGGAACAGACAAGUGGUCUCCAACAGUAACCUUAAUUUAAGUGUUGAUGUGGUCCACAAAUUAAUUAAAAACUCCCAACGUUCGAAAUGAUUCCACUGGCUGAUCUGGAACAGACAAGUGGUCUCCAACAGUUUAAUCAAUCAGGGAGACAAAUUGAUCAGAUCCGGAGUUAGCUUUUUCUUUUUUUAAUGUAUAUAAAAAUCUGGAUAGAAGAAUCAUUCGAUGAAGUCGAUGCUCACGACCGACCUCUUCCUCCAACUCCCUUAAUAAUUUUUCAUCACAAUCAUAAGGAAAAACAAUAAUAUUGGACCGACAAGAUUAAGAGAUUAGUAAAAGAGAUUGAAGGUAAUGUGAUAUACCAAUGGUAUCAUAGUCGAUAGGAUGGAAAAUGAACAUUAUAUAAAAGUUUUAUAAAAAACUCGUUACAUAAUUUUAGAUAUAAUUAUAGUGAUAUAUCAAAGAUAUGCUAUAAUUAAUUAACCAUAAAACAGACAUAUGCCAUGAUUUGUUUCAUCGCAUUUCAUUAUUUGUUUCGUUCAUCAUAAAAGAAUAUAUGUGCCAUGAAGAGGCUAUUAUUUAUUUCCUUCAUAUAAGGUUAUAUAUGCUAUAAUUUGUUUUUUUGUAUAUCAUUAUUUAUUUAAUUAUUAAAUUUAUUAGAUCAGCAUGUAUAAUUGGUGAAGCAAAUUUGAUGGCGUUAACAUAACAGGUGAUAUGCUAUCACUUAGGAUUCUUUUGGUAUUGUUUUUAUUUUCGGAGACCCAAGAAAAAGAUAAACUCUUCUAGGGACAAUGGUAUGACUGCACCUUUUAACUUUCGCAAAAAGUUCGAUAAAAAUUUUUAUGAACUUAAAACCAAGGAUCUAUUUUUUUUCAGACAUAAGCAAAAACAGAAGCAAGAAUUAGCAGAAAUCUGGUGCCAAUGUUGCCUUCUACACCUAUCUUCAUACAUAAUUUCACUAGUUUGUAGCAAGGGUUGGAUGCUGGAUGGCCUGAGGUUGGCUACCAUGCAAACAAUUAAUCGCAUGCCUGAACAAGACAUUCAACACUAAAUCUAACAGAUGGCUGACAUGGUCUAGCUAAAAUCCAGGAGCACUAAUGUUUCCCAAUCUUUAUACCAAUCUAUUAGUUACAAUCAUACAGAACAGUUUUGAGAUAAAAGGACGUAGAAUAGAACUGUUCACUAAUGAGCAGUGAAAUGUCUUUGAAGAAGGCAAGUCGAGUGCAUCUUUUAUAUAUAAUCGGGGGAAGAGUAACAAAACAUUUAUAUAAAUAAACAUGCCAUUUUCAUAUAAACCAUUUUGCUGACAAAAUAAUAAUCACGCAACCGGAAGUUCCCCCAUUUACUUUAUUCAUGCAGCCAAAAUCUCAGAGGCAAUCUGCUGAUAUUAUCAUCUUUAACUGUAUUGUGCCUGUAACACGGCAAAAGAAUGUUGCACCUAUAAUCAUGUCAUAUUUUGCACUGAAUUUUAAUAGGUAGAUAUGCAAAAAAAAAUUAUUUAUAAAAUGAUCGCAACAGAGGACAAAAAGAUAAUUUUAAAAUUUUAUAUUAUUUUAAUUAAAAUAAAUAUACUUUUUCUUAACUGUAUUAAGAAAAAAAAGUUAUAUUAGGGAUAUUCGUGGAAAAAUAGUAUUUUCUAAAGGUGCAUAAGUUAAUAUAAAUUUGAAGAGGAUUUUUAUGUAAAUUUGAAUUUAAAAAAAAAAAUUAUAUAAAAAACCUUUUUAGUUUGAUUAUUAUUAGUAAUAGUAGUAGCAGCAUUCUUGGUGAACAAGUGGCUGUCUUAGAAUACAAGUCCUCUUUGGAAACUUGCCGGCCCCAGCUAUUCAAAAGAGGCUUAUCAGGAAUUCUGCUGAGAUGUCUAUCAGAUGAAGCGAGGGACCCGAAAAUGGCAGCGGAACGAGCUUUUGGUGAUAACAAAUGUUAACAGUGCCAUAUUAAACCUGCGAAGGGGUAAAAAAUAUACUGAUCAAAGUUUAAUCAGUGUAUUUUAUUCACUAUUCAAAUCAAUUAAAUAUUGAUUUAAACCUGAAACAAAUUUUGAAUGGGAACUUCAAAUCAAGAAUCAAGCUUUUGCUUGAUUCAAUCUCGAGUUAUCAACUUGAUUGGAUAGACACGUUUGGCUUAGAUUCGAAAUUAAGCUUGAACAGCGCUGAAAAUAAUCCUAAAUAAAUCAAGUUCAACCUUGAAAUUAAUUUCAAAUAAGCCUCGAUCGACGAAACUUGACUCCAUUACACCCAGGAUCGAAAACACCCACACCACUCAACUUUGUCCGCCCCGGGGCAUCAAAAACAAAGAGGAGAGUCAAAAAAAAGAAAUCUUACAUCCAUUUGGACUAGGUCAGGUGGAACUUUAGUGGUUUAUCUGAUCCAUUUCUAUUAUUUUCGAAUAUAUAAUACGUCAAUACCCAACAACCAGACUCGUUGCCCUAAACAAUAUAAAAAAUUGAGAGAAUUUUUACUUUUNNNNNNNNNNNNNNNNNNNNNNNNNNNGCAGCCACAGUUCUCAAAACAUCAAAAAUAUCAAAAAUUAGCAAAUUUUUGAUCUGCAAGCAAUAACAAGUAUCAAUGCUCCUUAAAUGAAUGCUUAGGAUGCCUUUGAUAAUAAGAUUUUGCAGCUUCAGAUAAUAAGCAGGCAAAAUUAUGGUAGAUUUUUUAUAACAAGUGAGUAAUAAUUUAUCCAAAUGACAGAUCUCCAGGCUCACCUGAUGUCAAGUUUGCUACUUAGAAGUAGAUAAUAAACUAAAAUUCGACUACAACGAGCAAAUCAAUGGUGGCAAACGUUAUUCUAAUCCUAGCUUUCUGUGGCUACCUUCUGCUUCUUGGGCAUCCGAUAACCACCAACAACGCAAGCAUGGUCACGCUCAAAUGGCUCCAGCGUAACCUGCUCCGCAGGCUUGAACUGCUCUGCUUGCAGUUUCUUCACUUCUUGGGCAAAUACAGCCUCAGCAGGCACCGUGGAAUCGAUACAAUUUGCCUGAAAAAAGAACAAAAUCAGAUGAUGGUGACCAAAAAGCUAUUGGGUAAAACGUUAACCACGAACUAGUUUCAGGUUUCUUCUUCCUGAUUAUUAAAAAAAAUGCAGGAUAAAUAAGAGGGCCCCUGUUUCCCAGUUAGCACAUCUAGUUUAACUUCCAAAAACAGUUCCUGCAACACUUUAAAAACUAAAAAUAAUCCAUGCCAUCCUUCCCCAAAAAACCCAAAUAAAUAGGAUACCUUAAUUGAGAUCACAAAAUGGCCACCAUUCUUCAAGAAAUAAGAAGCAUUUAGUGCUAAAAUCCUUGCCUGCAGAAAGAAAUAGCCAAGAAAACAUUUAAUGAGCAUCUUGUAAUUGAAGUAGACAGUAAAUGCACCAAAGAAAUCAAUCGCAUGAGCAAAUGAUGGAUGGCAUAUUUAAUCACAUGGGAACAAAAGAAUAGUUCUGUUUGACAAUGCACUUGAACCGACCCCCAGUAUUGUGUGUUCUUGGGAAUACUAAUAGCAAAUUAAUUGCUCUUCUAAGACUUAGUAAAUACGUUCUAUGAUGUUGACUUAUGUACUAAAAAUUAGUAAAUAAUAUCAUAAUAUUAUUAUUUAUAUUAAUAUAAUACUUUAAAAGUUAAUAUUAUAAUACAAAAUAUCACUAUAUAAUAUAAUUUAUUUAUAUUCUUUUCAUUAAAUCAUGUAAUACACUAUAACAUUACAAAAGCAUGAUAAAGAAUAUUACUCUUUACUAUGAUAUACAAUUUUUUCAUAUAAUAUUAUACUAGAAUAGGCCAGGCCACCUUAGCCCAUGGUAAGUGGCCAUGCUCCUCAGACAACUUAGCUAAGCCUUCCCACAAUUCCACCGGCAACUUGGCUAGGCCUUCCAACAAUCCCAUAAACACUGCUUUGAUGCACCAUUUACUCAAUAUGAUAUGCAUAUAUAUAACCAUAUUGAAUCAUAGAUAUGCAACUUUGUUCCUUCUACAUGCUUGAAACACUGCACUAGUUGUAGAAUGGAAAAACAAUGAACUGCCCUUCGAUACUAUUUGAUUAUUUCAUUAUUUAUUUUAAUACUGUGCAUGCAGAUACCAUGUUUAGUUAGGAGAACUAUAUUUCAGGUGUUUACUUUUGCCCAUUAUAGCAAUAAUUAUGUAUGCUUGCAUACAAAUAAUUGAUUCUCCACUAUAUCAUGCAAAUGCUCAGUCUUAUUGACCAAAAGCAUGGAGCAUUCCAUCUCACUUGCAACGGGUAAGAGGCCAUUCGUAUCUCUAAAACAAGUUCCAGUUGAUGAAAUCACAGCCAGCUAUAAGAUGCAUGUUUCCCCAGACAAAAUGUUGAGAUCAUGUCAUUGGCUUCCGUCAACCUUAAAAAUUCGAAAUGGAAAUUGAAGAUUAUUUAAAGAUUAUAUAUCCGCAUAUCCAACACCAUUCAAAGCCUCCUUUCUUCUAGUAAAUUGGGUUUUUAAAGAACAGAAGGGGCCUCAUCCAUGUCAGAGUUAUAAUACAGUUACUGACAGGAUGGAAAGAGAGGUGUACAAACAUGGCAGUACCCUUCAUUAUUUCAAGAACUUGAAAGCAGUGAAAAGCAUUCUUGUAAUUUAAGCAGACAUUUAACGUCCCCAAAAAAGACGAUCACAAAGGCAAAAAUGACGACACAGACAUUCAAACACAAGAAUACCCUUAUCAGCUUUAGAUUACAUGGAAUUAAAGGACACUGGAAAAUUUGGAAAUGAUUUGAACUUCUCUUUUUCCACACUGCAUGUGCGUCUAUUAGUACCAACUUUAGUUCCUCUCCCAAGGCUGACUAUCUUGCUUUCCUUAAUAACGUUUAAAAUGUCAAAAAUAUUAUUUUUUCCUGGCAUUACAAACAGUAAAUGAAAAACCUAUAAUGAAUGAACAUGUACUUAGCCACAUUGAAUAAGUAGUUAAUCCAAAUGAAUUCAAUAUGCACCCCCUCAGCCAUUGGUCCCUACUCAUCAUCAGAGUAUCAUCAUGUUAUGCUUUACCUCGUUCAGUUAUUUUUUUAUAAAAGAUGUCAUAUGCUCCUCUUUCACCACCAUCAGCCCCUGGUAAGUAGCAUAGUCCCAUCACAACUAAAGUGGCCGCAUGUAACUUGUUAUAUCCAUCUACACUUAAAUACAAAGUGAUUAGGUAUUCCAUCUCCAAACUUAUCCAUAGUUCAAAAAUCGUAGCCCUCCAAAAUCACAAUUUGCCACUCCAAAAUUAACAUUUGCCACCAUCCUUAACUAGAUAACCUCAGUUGCAUUCUUUGUUCCAUUAAUUAAUACACAUCUUUGAGGCUUGAAAAUGUUUUAUAUGCAGUCCAGAUAUUAAGAAUCUCUCAUGACAUGUAGUAGUUAUUAGACUAUCAUCUAUAGCUCAAUUGAUAUCUUUUGGUUAUGCUGAGUUGCCAAUAAAACAAAGAAAUGAAACAAAAACAGGAGAAAUCAAGGUAACAAAAAUGUUCAAGCCCAUUUGCAUGUUUUUCGAUUUAGUUCCAAAGCAACCAAAUAUAAUAAGUCGCUCGACAAAAGGGUUACGCACAUAAAUAAUCAAGAAAGUCAAAAGUUAUGGAUACCAAAAAUAAAGAUGAAGGAUAAAUAAUAAAUAUAUGUUGCUUUUCUGACUCAUUCCAAUAUUACAUUGCAAUCAAUUCCCUUCUGAAACCAACAGGAAAUAAAUUAGACAAUGAUGCUUUGGCAACUUCAAGAAUGAUACUGCCAAUAGAUCAGAUUAUCUUAUUCCUUCACAACUUCAGAAGCAUAUUUGUAAAUUAUCAUAUUUCAAAUUUUCUUCAUGCAAACAUUUUUGCUUACUACACGUAGAGCUGCUAACCAUUCAUCAGAAAAUUUAAAUGCAAUAGUUCUAAUAGAAAUAAAUAAUUAGAGCAAUAUAAGAUAAUCUUCCAUGGCACACCAUUCCACAGUUCUGAAAACAUAUCUUUAGAGACAAUGAAGUGGUGAACAAAGACCCAAGUAAAGGUAAAUUUAGUAAAGACUGCAUCAAACCAGAGUUUAACCAUCGAGAAAAGAAAUGAGAAAAAACAUUAAUUGAAGGUAAGUUGUUUAAAAACAAAGACUGGAAAAUCUAGUGCACAACAAAAUAUAAAUACGCCAGCAGGAAGAUAGUUAAAGAUAAUAUUACACAUCAAAUACCAAUUUUAUAAACAUGUACAAAAGUUGUGGCUCAAAAAGAUUAAAAAAGGAAGACUCAAAAGGAGGGAGGAAAAAAAUGCACUAGAGACAAAUAAGCAUCAGAAACUCGAAUGUGCAUCAUCCAAUAUGAUGUCCUGAAGGGGAAUCCGAGUAAGUUCAUCAUAUGCUGGGUCUCCAGAGAGGGGAAAGAGUUAUAAUUUUCACAUAUAUAAUCAAGAAAAUGCUUCAAAAUCACCCGGAUGAAAUUGUAACUGCUAUUUGAAAUUUCUUCCAAGAGCAUGAUCCACAUUCAAAUAGGCAAAUAGCUUUAUCCGUUAUAUGGGGAACAAUCAGGAAAACAUAGAAUACUGAUAUAAUAUCAAAUAGUGAUAUAAAUGAAUGAUGCAUUGCAUCACAUAUCAGUAAAUCAUGGUAAAUUUUCUAAUUUUAUUAAGAAAAAGAUCUAGCAAAUUAAAUAGAAAUUAAGGCCAAGAUCAUAUUAAUAUAUAUGCAAAAUCUUUUGCAUAUAACUUAAAUAAGAAUACAUGAAAUAACACAUAUUAAAGAGAUGAAAGAUGCGGACUUGCUAAGGUGAACUGACUACAUGGAAAUGAAUCACAAAGGCACAACAUCAGGGGAAUAAAACGACACUGCACAAAAACAUGAAACCAGGCAGGAGUAUUUAGAAUAAAAUCAUGGAAAGGCAAACAUGCAUACCUGGUCUGGCUGGGCAACAUCUGAAAAAAUGACAUCCACCAUGCCAACCAACAUUCGAUACCUAGCAGGAUGCCUAGCAUCUUCAAUUAUGGGAAUAACAUUUGUUCGCUUCUUUGCCAUGUUCACAAGGUCCCUACCACUUCUAUGUGAAAAUUCAACAGCAUAAACAACUCCUGUCUGCAAAAAAGCUUAAGAUAAGACAUAUAAUUACCUUGAAACUCAAAAUUAAUUAUAACAUGAUCACAAUGCACUUAUCCAAAAUGUUUACUGCAAUAAAAGAACUUACAGGUCCAACAAGGUCAGACACAUGAGACACAGUGGUCCCUGACGCAGCUCCAAGAUACAGUACUCGAGAUCCAGGACCCUAAAAAUAUAGGAGUUGACUCAGAAACAGUAAAAAUAUAAUCACGCAAACAGAGCGAAGCUUAUUAUCAGAAAACCAAAUGGAGAAUGAGGAAACCAAACAAGAAAAGGUAAUUCAUAGGCAGCAAAAAGAAACUUCAAAAGGAAGAAGAAAGCCAUUAGUAGUAUCUAAUAUGGAAACAAAGGGUAAUCGGUCAAAACAUUAACUCAUACAUUGAUAGGUAAGAUAGCAGAUACUAAAUUACAUGAGCAAUACAAACAUGUCAUCUAAUAAGAACACAUCAAUCAGGAGGCUUAAGUAUAAAGUUUAUUUAGAACCAUAGAUAAUUUGAUCACUGAUCUAAAAAGAGGUUGUUCCAUAAGAAUCCAUAAAAUCAGAAGCAAUAUAACUAUAACAACUAAGCUUCUUCAGAACCAAAGAUAAAUUUGAUUAUGAUCAUUUAAUCUAUGGUAACAUAAUGACGAAAAACAAGGAUAAGUAUCACAUCUAGCAGCAUAACUGAACAACAUCAGAUUUGUAGUUAAGUCAAAAGUAGACAUCAGAUUUAUGCAUCCAAAAAAAUAAAAUAAAAAGAGGAUGAAUGUAUGAAGCAAUAAAUAAAUAAACAAAAAAGGGAAAUAUAUCACCAUUCUUCUCUUCACUACCAACAGGUAUAUAAAAUAGCGAAGCUUAGAUCAGGUGAAAAGGAAUUUAUAACCAUUCACUAUCCCCCAUCCCAAAAAAUCCCUGCUCGCAAAUGAAUGAAUGAAUGAAAAGGCAAAUAUACCAUGAAGCUUUUCUUGACUCCCAGCAGGAAAAAGGAGGAGAAAAGAUUCUUCGAAAAAGAAAAGGCUCAAGUACCAACAUGAAGAAAGAUAACUAACGGCAAUAGAUGGACUUCGCCAUGUCUAACUAAAUAAUUAAUAACAUGGCAAAAAAACAACCUCAAAACUUCAAUUUCAUGACCAUUUCAAAAGAUGCUAGGUAAUCCGAAGGGAUGAGAAGAGAGCGAUUACCAUCCAUAUAUUGUCAACACCACCAAUAAUGGCUGCUGCCAACUUCGAGCGGAAUGGAUUCCAAAUCCUGUACUCGACCUUAGUUCCCUCCUCGUUCUGCAGAGAGUCGAAAAGAUCAUAAAGCUAACAUAAUGGAUGCCAAAUCUAACUUUCAUCUCCAUCAGAAUACAAACUUAAGACCAUCCAACCACAAUAAAAUUUAAGAUAGAGAGAAAAAGAUUGCACCCAGAAAACAGAACCUGACCAAAUGAAACAUCAAUGAUAGAAAAACCACCAAAAACCCAUGGGCUGUGAUAGAUUAAUUACCUGAACCGAAAUGCGCUUCUCACCAUAAACGGAAUCACCAGCGACCAGAUUCCUUGUGCAGAGGGCGUCUUCCUUCCCCUUGGCCACAAAGACCCCGUCGUGCCUGUGUGGCUGGACGAUGACCUUGCUCCCGCCCUUCAUUCCACCACCACGGCCCCUUCCACCCCUACCGCCCCCACGGCCACCCCCACGGCCGCCCCCACGGCCGCCCCCACGGCCGCCCCCACGGUCGCCUCCACGGCCACCGAAUCCUCUUCCCCUGCCUCUACCUCCGCCUCCAUCGCUCCGGCCUCUUGGGCCAGCACCACGGCCACCACCUAAGAACGACUCCAAAAUCAAUAAAAAAAACCGGAGAAACCAAGAUUUACGAUCCAAAAAAAAAGGAAACUUUGCUCGUAGGAGGCCAUGAUAAUAAAAAUUUAAGAAACGAAACAGGAAAAUUGGUCAUAGAAGACCAAAAGAACCAAGAUUGAAGCAGAGAAACGAGAACUUUUGUCAUAAAAGGCCAAAAGAACGACAAUUGGAGAAAGGAAACAUCAGUCAUGAAAGACCAAAAUAACCGAGAUUUGAGCAAUAAAGCAAGAACAGACUUCACGAAAUCGAAAUUUCCAGCGAAAUAUUAAAAAAAAAAAUGGUUUUUAAUCGCAUCAAAGAUCGAAUCAUAUAUUUCGAAGAGUGGAAAAAACAAAGAUUGGAUUUUUUUUAUCGCAUUUAAAGAGGAAAAAGAAUAACCUCGAGAAGAUGGAAGAUUGGGAACGAGAAGAGGGAAGAUUGGCAAAGAAGGGGCGAAUCAAUGCGAGAAAGGUUACCUCUUGGAGGUCUCAUUUCUACAGCUCCGCUUUGGAUAUCGAAGAGGGUUGGAGCGGCGGACGAACGAGACUCUGCAGUAAGACUAGGGUUUAUGACAGGCGGGUCAAUUUAUAGAUGUGGAACGAUUAGGGUUUGAGAUUUAGGGUUUUUGCGGAACCGAGCAUGGUUGUUUCCUGACCGUUCUGAUCUUCGUAUUGUGUCUUUGAGAUGCGGUUUCUGAUCACGCCUGUCCGGGCGUGACAUCGUGCGGCGGAGCAGACGUCUGGCGGCAUCAACGGCUCUAUCCCUAUUCUCUGCGAAUGCAAUGCAGAUUCGCGGAUUUUCUGGACCCGGCUUGAAUUGGCUUUGGCAGCAUUUCAAUUGGGUUUGGUAGGCUCUCCCGUGUCUCUAGGCUUUUAAGACUGUGCCUGAAAUUUUUUUAUUUGUCCAUCUUUACUCGAAAAAAUAAAAAAAAACACUCAAUUUUGUUGUCAACUAGGAUUUCAUCCAACUAAAUCAAGUUAGUACCAGCUUUAUGACAUCCAUGCUUAGUUCAUUUGCAAGCUGGUCCUAGUUGGAGGCCGAUCCCAGAUCCAUUUUAUGAUCUCUUGCACUCCUCCUCGUAACGUGAUUUGAUAUAAAAUUGGAAAAAAAAAUAGAGGUUUGAUAUGAAUCCAUGCAAUUUAUUUCUCCCUAUUAAAUACCCGACUUGGUGUGAGGACUCGUGCGGGCGUNNNNNNNNNNNNNNNNNNNNNNNNNNNNNNNNNNNNNNNNNNNNNNNNNNNNNNNNNNNNNNNNNNNNNNNNNNNNNNNNNNNNNNNNNNNNNNNNNNNNNNNNNNNNNNNNNNNNNNNNNNNNNNNNNNNNNNNNNNNNNNNNNNNNNNNNNNNNNNNNNNNNNNNNNNNNNNNNNNNNNNNNNNNNNNNNNNNNNNNNNNNNNNNNNNNNNNNNNNNNNNNNNNNNNNNNNNNNNNNNNNNNNNNNNNNNNNNNNNNNNNNNNNNNNNNNNNNNNNNNNNNNNNNNNNNNNNNNNNNNNNNNNNNNNNNNNNNNNNNNNNNNNNNNNNNNNNNNNNNNNNNNNNNNNNNNNNNNNNNNNNNNNNNNNNNNNNNNNNNNNNNNNNNNNNNNNNNNNNNNNNNNNNNNNNNNNNNNNNNNNNNNNNNNNNNNNNNNNNNNNNNNNNNNNNNNNNNNNNNNNNNNNNNNNNNNNNNNNNNNNNNNNNNNNNNNNNNNNNNNNNNNNNNNNNNNNNNNNNNNNNNNNNNNNNNNNNNNNNNNNNNNNNNNNNNNNNNNNNNNNNNNNNNNNNNNNNNNNNNNNNNNNNNNNNNNNNNNNNNNNNNNNNNNNNNNNNNNNNNNNNNNNNNNNNNNNNNNNNNNNNNNNNNNNNNNNNNNNNNNNNNNNNNNNNNNNNNNNNNNNNNNNNNNNNNNNNNNNNNNNNNNNNNNNNNNNNNNNNNNNNNNNNNNNNNNNNNNNNNNNNNNNNNNNNNNNNNNNNUAAAACAUGCCCCAAAUUCGAACCGGAUAUAUAUAAUUCUUCAGAAUUUCUUUUUUGUUGAAGAAAAAAAUUAGCAUGCAUUUAUAAAAAAAAUUGAUUUUUAAGCUUUAUCCGGAUUGAUCCGUCCAACCUCUCUUAUCUAACUCUACAUGCUCCACCUUACCCCGAAACAAGUAAGAGAUGGGUACAAGUAAUGGCGUAUCCGAUUCAUUGCCAUCCCUAUUCAUUUUCAUAAGAUACAUAGUAGAGGAAGAUCCAAAUAUAAGUUAAUUGCAUCAAAGACAACAGGCCUUGCAAAUUUUCACAUAUUAGUUAAAAAUAUGCUAAUGUAGGAGGGAUUUAACAUGACAUCAACAUGGGCUUUGAGCAACAACCAUGAUUAGUAGAUUUUCAAAUGCUUUUCCUUCUCCUUAUUGUUUCUAAUAUGAUGUUUGAAUGUGUAUCAACCCUGUCAUAGGCAUGUAUUAUAUCAAUCCAUCUCAUAAAGGGUUGAUCUCACUUGUAAAACCUGAAUCGAAACUUGAAAUUGUCAAGCUAUCAGCCACAUUUUUAAAAGUUAUAUUUGAAUUGUUUUGUUGAUUAAAGAGGGAGAAAAAGGUGUGGAUAGCAAAUAUUACGAAAAGUAGUUUUUAAAUCAUUGCCUUAAAUUCUUGCCUAUCUCUACUAAAACACACAGCGACUAUAAUAAUUGACUCUGGAGCUUACGGUCAUGAUAGCUUGUAUACUUCUUGCAAAUGUUAUUGCUGCCUUCUUUAUUCGGAUAUCACAUUAUCAUAUUUAAAAGACAAGCUUGUAUCAUCAUGAUACUUUGGAGACUCUCUCUCUCUCUCUCCAUCCCCCACCCCUCUCCAUUAUAUACAUACAUACAUGAUAUAUACAUGCAUACAUCAUGCAUAUUGAUGUACUUAUAGCACCCCUCUGUGUAUGUGUCAUCUGUGUGUGUCUACAGCACCCUCAUCGAUGGUUUCGCUAAAAGAUCAGGCAUGGAGGAGGCUUUCAUGUUAUAUGAUAGAAUGUUAGAGGAAGAUAUCACACUCAAUAUCUUCACUUAUACAAAUCUUAUAAAUGGGCUUUGUGAUGAUGGACGACUUCCAGAAGCUAUAAAAUUGUUUAAGGAAAUGACUGGAGAUAGCUUAAUACCUGACAGGAUUGUAUUUACAUCACUAAUUGCUAAUUAUUGCAAGCAUAUAAAAAAUGAAGGUGGCUGUGGAGCCGUUAAGAAGGAAUGGCUUAUCUCCUGAUAUUUGUACAUAUACCUGUCUAAUAGAUGGAUAUAGCAAUAGGCUUCAGAUGGAUAUUGCAGUCUCACUGAUGGAUGAAAUGAUAAAAAUUUUGCUUACUCCUAAUGUGAUAUAACCCUUUCUACCUACAUCCACUGAACCCACGGAAAGCUGAAUCCGGCUAGAAUCAUAACUCUCACCUUCUUGUCCAAGUAGCCAAGACUGAUGCCAUCCGAGCAAAUGGUCAGUGGUCACACUGUAGAUUAGUCGAACAUCCAAUUUCUAGAGAGAUUUUAACGACAAUUGAAGAAUGAUCAUCUGUCUAUUUGAUAUGUAAAGGAAAAAAGACAAUUAAAACAUACACAAAAUUGUUUUGGUUUAGGCUCAUCAGAAUGGCUUUUAAAAAAAAGGAGUUGAGAUUUAGCCUUUCAAGUAAAUGGAAGUGGCCUCAAAAUCUUUGGUGCAUAUGCACAUUCCAUCUCUUGGCAUGGUAGAAGCACCUGGUCAAUUAGAGUUUUGGUGCUUGCUUUAUAGACAUCUGAUAAAAAGGGAGAGAAUGCGCUGAAAAAAAGGCGAGAUAGCACUACAUAUAACAUAUACAAAAUUUCCAGAUGGGCCUCUCUGUAUCUCUCUCUUUCAGUGAAAAAAAAUACAAGAAUUCUUGUUAUAAUAAAUUUUAUUCUGAAAUCCCAAAAUUAUCUGUAACAAUCAUGAAAACCUAACCAUUAAACUCAACUUGUGUCCUGCUGGGAUUUUUAGUAUCCCUUAACUUGAGUCAAAUAUAAACUCAGACUUCGGUCCAACUCAGCAUACUCUUUUUUUUUUGAGAGAGAGAGAGUAUCCAUGGGGCAUGUUAAAAUGCAUGCAUGGACAUAUGCACACAUGUUACAUAACUGAUCCACAAUUCCAGUUCAUGUAUGCCCAGUUGAAGUUUCCAUCACCAAGACAAUUCAAAACAACAUGAUAAGAAAGUAGGUUUAUCUACACAGUAACACAGUAAACUGAUACAAACAGGAAUUAGGGUAUCAGAUGGGAUAUGCAAGCUUAAGGAUCUGGAUUCCCAGGCACUACAUCCUCAUCACUGGAACCAUACUCAUCUUCACUCAGCUCUUCAUCACUUGAAUUUUCUUCUGGGGAAGCACCAGCAUCAUCGGGCUUUGCAUAUUUCUCGCAAUAUUCUGAUGGAAAAGUAAGAGCAAUAUCAGAAAAAAAGAAAUCUUCCAACUAAUGGACCAACUGUAACUAGCAUGAUUUAGCUUUUGAUAAAUGAAUGAAACUGUUUCCUCAAAGCAUUAAACCAAACUUGUUGAAAUGCUGUCACAGUUUUCGGACCCUUAGUAUUGUGGAUAAAUUAGUGAUAAAUUAGUGCUCGAAAGUGAGAAUGAGUUAAGAAUUCUUGAUAUCAUUAAUUUAAAGUUUAGAAAGGACUUCAAUGCGUAAAAACAAAACUAAAUCAAAGAAUUGCUCUUUGGUGAAUCCAUCUUAUUUCCACCGUGUAGAUGCAUGUACAAUUGACAAAGUCACCACUUAACUAGUGAUCUCGAUCAAAAUAUGCUAAAUUAUUAAAUAUUUAGGUAUAAUAAAUUUAUAAUAAGAUACUUUGCUAUAAUCCCGUGAACGUCAAUAAUUUAUAGCUCAAAAUAGACCUGUAUAAUUAGCUAUAUCCAGCAAUCAUUGUACUAUGAAGGACUGGCAUAUAGAUUCGUCAUUGGAUUGCAACACAUAAGUGUUCAAAUAUAUACAGAUCAAAUCAGUUAUAAUGGCACAUUGGAUUUUUAACCAUUGCAUCCUUCAAAUCAUCACACCACCAGGCAUGUGUGCCCCAUUAAUUUUGUGUUUUUCUUUGAACUCAUUGGAAAUUUAUAACCUUCUUGAGUUGUUCGGCCAUCAAAAGUUGAACCGAAUAUCUUCUGAAGCGUAAAUAUCUGGCCUGAGUUCAUGACUUUUGUACAAUCAUAUUGAAAUACCAGGGCAAUACAUAAUUCAUGCUAGAGCUACAUCAACUCAAUAUGACACAUGGAUGAAAUAGGGAACAAAGAAAUAAUUGAAAACUAGAAGAAACAACAAAAAAUUCAAGGUCUGAGAGAGGGAUCCAUAAUAUUUUUUCUUGAAAAGUUGGAGGCAUCGCUAGGCAAGAUAAUGUCGUUUACUUACAAAAGAGCAAUGCCAGAGGGCGUGGAAAUUAACAUCUUCACAUAAUAAGUGGAUAGGAGCUGAAGAAUCAAGAUGAAAUGAUGAUGUAUUAAAUUAAAGAAAAGGAGUCUAAAAAUGAAUGGAAGAUCCUUCAUUAAUAUGGUCUUUCAGGAGAAAGAAGAUAGAUUUACUUGGACAUGCAUGGACCUAACAACCUGACAUUGGAAGAUAAAAUACACUGAAAUAAGGUUUAUACAUUUAAAUAAGGGUGGUUGAUACCACAUGUUUUACUAUAAAAAAAAGUGGGGGUACAUUGAAGAGGAGACAUGAAUUAAACUUAUUCCCCUUACUUUUAUCAAAACAAUUUUCUUGGACUAAUAUUUUUUCAUAGGUGAAGCUGCAAUUGGAAAAGGUGAUUUUAUUUUCUUAAAGAAAACUCCACCCUUAGGCUAUUUAGGAGAGACUUUAAGAUGGGACAUAAAGGCGCUGUCUUAAAAAAAUGAAUUGGGCUGUGGGAACAGGAAGAACUAAAAAGAUGAAUAAAUUAAGAUAUUCCUCUUUAUUCUACUCCAUGAGGAUUGGACUUAAUGCCUAAUUUGGACGGAACCUAAUCAUCAACACUCAAAAGAAAAAUGCAUUCAACUUCAUAGCAGAUUAGUACUAUGAGCUCACGGAGGAAACUUUAUUUUAGUCUUUGUGGCACAGUCAAUGCACAUAAAGUAUUCAGUUCCAUGUCUCUUUUAACAUCGCAUUUUUGGGAUCAACAUCAAUCCCAAAAAAAUGACAAAAGGUCAGGAGUCAACUACAGUAUUCAGAGGCAGAAAAAAAAGGCAAUGACACAUUAGUGGUUCAAUACUGCAUAAAGAUAGAGUUCAGGGGAAUUUGUUUGAGCAUCACAAAGUGGCAUCUGUUUGGAGGAAGGGGGUUCCAUUUCUGGAAGAUUUCUACAAAUAAUAACUCAUCUCCUCUAAAAGUGCUAUAUUUGGACUCCUAUUUCUUCUUCCCACUGGCUCAUGGCCCUCACAGUUAGUAACAAAACAUGCUCUUCAUAAGCUAGUUUGAUUGGUAGACAAGUGGCACUGGCAGACAGAAUUUGAAGACAAUUUAUCAUGAAAUCUUCCAAAAUUGUGCAGUGAUCAGAUGGGUGGUUUGGUUUCAAAAUUCAUGUGACACAUCCACAUCCCUCAUGAAAUAACUAUGGAAAACCUCAGCCUUCUUUAAAUAUGUAUUUGCCAAAGAGGCAUUCGAUAAUGACAUUCAGAUGCCAAUGGUCACUUGCAAUAUAACUACUUUUGAAAGAGGAAGCAGCAACUGUUAGCUGUUUAAUGAAAAAUCGCCAGUGAUAUUACAAACUAAGUAUCCUUGUUCCUUUCAGCUAGAUGAAAAAUCAAAGCACAUAUAUUAAGCAGAUAAUAGUUGGGAGUCAUGUCACCUUUAACUUUUUGUUCAUAAGCAGGUCGAUCACGCAUCAUCAGCGCAGCAGCUUCUCCAUUUAAUGGAUCAGAUGGAUUGGGGUACAAAAGAAGCUGUGGAAGGAAGACUUCGAAAACAUUUAUAAGAUCUGAAAAGACAGAUGCAAACAUUUUAAAAGCACUUAUGAUAACCAAAAGUAAAUACUAAAUAAUUGCAAAUUGAGGAUCUAAUAAGCACCACUAAUCUAGAGAAGUCAUGAAGUUCAUGCACAAUGACGAAAAUGGAGUGAUUAGCAAACAUAAAGUUCUUUACCAAACAUGGGGCUCCAUGUCUGGUUGAUGACAUCCAAGCAAACUGAACCAGACCUGAUUUAAGAUAGAGGAGGACUAUCAGAACUUUGCAAAGUCUUCCAACUCAUAAUUACUGCCACAAAACCGAUAAGGAAUUGCAGAAAAACAUGACACAAACAUACUAUCCCACCAUUAUAUCUUAACCUAAGACUCACAUUUCAUCUACAUUCGGAUGAUAGAUCUUAUUGACAAAUCCAAUGGACGGAGACUUGUAAGGGUAAGCACCAGGCAAUUCCACCCUGAUCUUCCACACGCCCCCUUGAUAAAGACCUGUCAAAGCAUCAAUGCAUGAAAAGCAGGAACUAGUCUCCAAUUGACAUUAAACAAGCACUGACAUGAAUCCCAGCAUUGAGAUUUCACAAUAUCAUCAAUACUAUCAAAGUUCUGCAUCACUAUGUCAAGAGAACCAAAAGAAGAGAUCAUGGAAACUACCCGACUGCAAGGUGGAUUUCAAGGUCAAUUCAAGUGUAUACAGACAAAAUAAAUACAACAUGAGAACAAGCGCAUCAAGUUCAUAUCUUUAUUGCUGCAAAGAGAUAAAAGGAGGAUUUUCGAGCACACAGUUGAGAUCAGAGCGGCCAACCAAAUGAGAAUUUCAAUGAUCCAUAGGAACUACAUAAGAAAUUAAAAAAGACAACCAAAAUCCUGAAAAUUAGGGACGAAGGGCGAGAGAUUGAUGUAUCCCUCUUCCAGCUUCCAACGUAACUGAAUCAAGUAUAUAAAUCACACCAUCAAAAACCCACAUAUCAAAGUAAUCGUGAAAAAACUAAUAAGAAUCGGCCCUCAUUUCACCAAUAUUAUUCAAAACUACCGAUUUGGAUAUCUUUUAAUGGAGGUUUGGGCCGACGAUAUUACUUUCUUUGGGUCCAUGGAAAUCAACAUAGAACUCCUGCAUCCCAUCGUUUAUCAUCUCCACCUUGUAAUCACUCAUCAUCCUUCAAGCCAGAAAAGAAAAAAAGAAAAAAUAAAUAAUGGCACAGAAAUGGGGAUUAAAAAAAGAAUGGGAAUUUUCGAAUAUUCACAGUUUCAUCAAGUCCAUUUCACGGCGCUUGCUGGGAGAAGACAUGGCUUCUGUCUUCCGUUCUAUUCGAAGCGAGGUCGAAGAUCGAUUAGAAGAACAAAUGAGACGGCGCCCGGAGGACGAGUUGAAGUGACCCAAGAUAGAGUCCUUCCCUUUCCUUCUCUCUUGCAGCACAGACUACAAAGGGAUGGGAUUGAAACUAAGAAAAAGAUUAUUCCAUAAAAGGACCUAUAAAUUAUUAUUCUAUUUUAUGUCCCAUCCUUCUCCCAUGCUCAUUAUUUGAUAUAGAAUACAUCUACCAUGACAUUAGAUACAAAACUAUACAAUAGAUUCUACAUGAUCCAAAUGAUGCAGUUAGUGGCAAUGAAGAUUUAAUAUAGCAGCCAUUCUAGUGUUAUAAGAAGCUACUAUAACAACCUUCCAUUAUAUAAUGGACUAUGUAUAUGUAGUGGAUCUUUUAGUAAUGAUUCUUUUAAAAAUAAUAAUUAAUAUUUGAUUUUUUUUAUUUUGAAAUAAACAUACAAUUUUUGAAUUUAAAUUUUCUUAUCAGUUUGAUAUGAUCAUUUUUCAUUUGAUAAACAAACAAUAUUGUACUUUUGUUUUUAUUGAUAUCUAUAUAAUAACUUUUCUAAAAUAAAUGCUCAGGUAGACAAAUCAUAGCUUACAUGUAUAUUUCUGUUAAAAGAAAGUAACGGUUUUAUAUAGGCUCUGUAACUUAAAAAUUUACAUUAAGAAAGACAAAUGAGGUUAUAGACUGGAUGGCAUCGUAUGUGGCUCGUCAUUCCGAAGCCAUCUUGUGAAUUGAAAAAAUAGAGCUGCCUAGAGCGCUCCAAAAUUUCUUGUUUUCUGGUCUUAUUAGGUAUACCUAUACUAAAAUGGUAUGAAUCAUCUCUUAUAAUAAAAAAAUAAUUUUCGAUUUGCCAAGUUAAAAUUACAGAAGGAGAGUCACAGCUGUUGUGCUAUGGUUUUUGUAAAUAUUGCUGCCAUAUGAUAUACUUGGUCUACUGGACGGCCGUGAUUAUUUUUAUUUUUUUGGCAGGAAUGACCAUGAUUCAAUGGCCGAUUAAAUCUAGCAUCUGGUAAUUUCUCUUCUUCUUGGAAUUUUAAGAGAGGAACACCGCCUCUUGUUUUGUUUUGUUUUAGGUCACGAGGACAGCGACGUUCUUACUUUCUGAUAACAUUGGAUUCCCUGCAUGACACCUUGCAAGAAACCUGCUUCCAUUCUUUUUCCCUUUCAUGGCGAAGGUACAGAUAUAAUUUUCUUUUCCUUUUUUUUCCCGUUGAUGUUAUGAUAUCGGUGACGCCGUGGCUGUAUGAGAUGACUAUAGUCUUUACAUCAACGUCUCCCAAAAUAAAGCAUCAAACUUUAUCUUCCCCCCAAAAAACAUCAAACUUUAUGAUAACGGAUAUAACAAUAAGAUUUUGGAGGCUCGGAUUGAAGUAAUGAUAUCGUUGACGUCACGGCUGUUUGAGAUGAUUUCGGAGGCUUAGUGUGUAUAUGUACGUAUGUAUAUCUAAAUCUAUCCAUCCAUUCAUCUAUGCAUUUAGAUAUAAAUAUAUGGAUACAGAUAUAUAUAGAUAGAUACAUCCAUAUCUAUAUAUACUACUUUCCGGUUCCCUAUUAAGAUCCAGAGGAUAAUAUUAAGAUAUAUUGCUGGGAAUCCAAGCGCGCAGUAUGAGGAGAAACAAAAAUACGGAGCAGCAGUUUUUUUCACCAAGAACAUCGAAGGACCUUGUUUCAAGCAUUAAGUAGUGGCUUAACAUUUUCCAGCUACCUUGGUAGUUCCACUCAGUGCAUAUAGAAGAGAGGAAGCUAGAUACUGUAAAAGUAGGACUUUUGUAGAUUGUUGCAACAAGAAUUUGAAUUUCAAACAUCUAGCAAUAAAACCCUUCUAAGCAUCACCACUUUGUCUAGCAUCUCCAAAGCAGCUCUUUCAGCCUGCAGGAAGAGGGAACAAUUGUUGUUUCUUUAUCUUUAAAAGAUUUCAUAAAAUCAUCAGACUGCCUCAAAUAGCAAAAAGAGAGAGUGUUAUCUUCUCAACAGGUUUUUGUCCUAACAGAUCCACAUCCUUCCAAGUAACCUUCCUAAGAGUUCAGCCAAGAAGAAGAAAAAAGUAGUCUUCUCAAGAGAUUUUGUCCUAACAGGUCCACAUCCUUCCUAGUAGCCUUCCCAAGAGAACUCAACCUCUAAGACCAAAAAGCAUACAUUAUUUAUAAAUGCAAGCAAUAAAAAUUUUGAGAGUAUGACAAGAAAAAAAAAUGCUGAUACUAAAUUGCAGGGAAUCAAUUGUUUACUUUGCCAUAGAGAUCAUUUACCUGGAACCUUCCGCUUUUAGAAUGAGUAGGUAUUACAUGACAGAUCUUUUUGGUUUUCUUGAAGGUUUAGUAUAUAAACUUCCAAAAAGAACUUUCAUUUACAUUAAAUGUAGUCUGAAGUUUCAUGUAUGAGCUCGGUAAGUGGUAGCUACCUUGGCUGACAAGGAUAUAUGCAACUUUAAGGUUGUGGAAUAUAAUCCAGCUGCCACUUAAAGAAAGUCAUAAAAGAAUGAACUGGAAAGUUUCAAGCAAGAAAUAACAUAACUAUUUUGCUAGUCUGACAUGCAGAUUACAGAAAGAGUGUGAGCUAACAUUAUAAGCAACAGAUAAUCCUGAUUGUACCAUAAUGACAUUUUGUCUUCUUCACCAUUGAAAGAAGGACAGAGCACCAGAAUGGACCAUUCCAGAAAAGGUUUCUUCUCAAGAUUGACAACAAACAUCCCAGACCUACAGACAUCAAUUGUCUACCUUUAAGCUCCUCCUAACCGCAGGUUGGUUCCCUUCGUUGAGAUUACAAGCCAGCAUCUAAAGAUCAAUCAUAGUAUUUGAUUAGAAACUUAGAUAACACAAUUUUUCAAGAAAACUAAACAAAACAAAUUGACAUUACAUAGUGGUAGGAGAAACAAUACAUAGUUUAGCAAACAGUUCAAACACAGGUGCAAAAGGACACACUCAUCUUCAAAUCAAAAAGAGCAUAGAUAUAAACAUUUAAAGCGAUGCCUUAUAUUCUUAUACUGAUAAGAAAAACCAAACCAACUCAGAAUCUCGCAAUCAUUUGUUGUUGGUAUCAAACCAACUCAGAAUCUUGCAAUCAUUUGUUGUUGGUAAUAAUAAUAUAUAUAGUCGCUAUCAGCAGUGACAGAGGCAUAAUAUUAAAGUUUAUAAAUAAUUCUGUAUGAAGACAUUAUUCAAUAUAUGUUCAAGAACAUAAACUGAUCAUGCAGUACAGCUAAGAAAUGGUAGCAUAACAACAUACUUAUGAACUUUUAAGAGUCAAGUCUGGUUCUGCAGGGGCUGUGGACUCAAUCAGCUUUCUGAUCUGACAUCUAUAGAGCAGGAAAAAUACUAAAUCAUUAGAACUACUUCAAACAUAGCCUAUAAAGUCUAUUUAGAUCAUCAGCAGAUGCACAUCAAGAUGCCUUUAGAUGAAGCAAAGAGAUAGUGAAGAAGAAUAUUCUUAGUAAUGACAUCAGAAAAGGUCAUUAAAAUCUGCAAAACAUGCUCAAUUGGGCAUAACCAUGUCAGGGGCACCUACUAUUUUCUUCAGACAGACAGGAGAUUCAUGCCUCGCAUAGAACAGGACAGUGAAAGAGAAGAUGCUUAGCAGACUAAAGACCACAGGCCAUUCGCAGGCAUAAUUAAGGUGAUUCAUGCUGGAGUGCACAUAUACUAUCUUCACAUAGUGCUGUAUUUUAUGCACCCUGCAAUUGCAGACUUAAAAAAUAUAUAAAAACAUAUAACUCAGGUGAUAUACACCUCAUUUUGGUCAUCUGUAAUAAUGUGAAAGCAUUGUAUCUUCUGACAAAAUCUGCCAUUUCCUCCAGUAAAGGCACAUUUCUAGGGGGAGGCAAAGCCUCUCUAUAACUCAACUCCCAACCACCUUGGAACAGAUUUAGGUUCUGAUAAUCAUUGUCAAUGCCAUCCAUGGUGGUGAAUGAAAGGAGCUUUCCUGACAAAUCGGAAGAUUUAAUGAUGAUGGUGGCCAGGCCUGUAUGAAGGAAAAGAAGUAAAAGAAUCCACAUUAAUUCCAACUCAAAUAGCAUAAUCCGCUUUAUAGAUACUGCAGGGAAUGAGCAUCCAAAAAUCCUGAUCUAGCUGCACAGCAUUUGCUAGUGCCAAUUUCCUCAAAGAUGAUGAGGAAAAAAAACAAACAAGAAAAUUUCCUAUGCAAAAAUUAUUAGAAUAAUGUCUGAAACAUCAAUAUAAGUAAGGAUAGUACAAAAAAAUUCACCUGAGAAAGCACUGCUCUGACAAUGAUGGCAAGGAGGAUAUGGCUUUGAUGAUUUGAGUCCAGAUCUCCAGAACUGCUAUCUUGCAUCACGCUGCCUGCUUCUUUGCCAGAACAUGCUAUUUUAUAGAUACGCCUGCAAACAAGAAAAUUGUUAAACAUUACCAACAACUCACAAGCCUCCAUGAUGCCAUGCUUAUGAAUCAAUAUAGGUUGGCUUUCUAUUAUUUUUGGAAAUCCAAGGAGUGAAUUAAGGUGAUCUUCUCUUUUCUCGGCUCUAAAAAUUCCAUUUAGAUGAUACUAUAUGCACCCAUAGUAGAAAUACAACAGCUUUAAAAGUGUCUUGUCAAUGAAUUGCAGAAACCAGAUUAGACAUAAUGAACAUGACAUUCCAUUCAGAGUAACAAAUGUAAAAUGCGUUCAUGUUUCUGUUUCACUUAAUACUUUGUAACAUAGACUUUUUGAAAUAUUAUGUAAUGAUUGUAAUCUAAUUCUCUCACUUGCAAAAAUUUUAAGAAAAAAAAACUCGGCUAUUUAUCACACAACAAUCCUAACUUACUUAAAAAGAAUAAAUAGUUGGCAGGUAUGUGAACAGUCGCACAUGCAAAAAGCAAUAAUAUUUCUUUGACUGCUCAACUGUUCUCCUCUCCACAACAGUCCAACCCCAAUGACAGACAAGCCGAAGCAUCUGGUAAAAUACCCUGCUUCAUCAUAAUCUUAUAUAGCUUGUAAGCUUUAUCCCAGUCUCCCAUCUUGCGAUAUCCGGUAAUGAGAGCAGUAUAGGUUACCACGUUAGGAGUGAGACCAAUUUUUAUCAUUUCAUCCAUCAGUGAGACUGCGAUAUCCAUCUGAAGUAACUUGCUAUAUCCAUCUAUCAGACAAGUAUAUGUGAAAACAUCAGGAGAUAAGCCAUUCCGUUCCAUUUUUCUGAACAGUUCCACGGCCUUCUUCAUAUUUUUACGCUUGCAAUAAUUAGCAAUUAGUGAUGUAAAAACAAUCGUGUCAGGUAUUAAGCCCACUCCAAUCAUUUCUUCAAACAAUUUUGUAGCUUCUGGAAGUCGUCCAUCAUGACAGAGACCAUUUAUAAGGCUUGUAUAAGUAAAGAUAUUGGGUGUGAUACCUCCCUUUAACAUUCUAUCAUACAACAUGAAAGCCAUCUCCAUGUUUGAUGUUUUGGUGAAACCAUCAAUAAGGGUGCUAUAGACAAUAACAUCAGGAACAGGCCCCCUCUUUAUCAAAGUUCCAAAAACUUCCCAUGCCCUAUCUGGUAUUCUCUCUUUGCAAAGGCCAUUGAUGAUGACUUUAUAUGUAUACGAAUUGGGAAUAAUGCCCAGAUCAUGCAUUUUAUUUAAAAAUAUAAAAGCUUCCACUAUGGAUCGUUCCUUGAAAAACCCAUCAAUUAUCACAGUGCAAGUAACAGUAUUGGGGAUCACCCCAUUAUCAACCAUGAGUUGAAAUGUUUCCAAGGCUUCCUUCAAGCAUCCAAGUCUGCAGUAACCAUAAAUGAGACUGGUAUAAUUAUAAACAUCUGGAACAAAAUGGUUUUGAAUCAUGUCCUCCCAGAGAGCAAAGGCACCAGCCAAAUCCCCAUGCUGGCAGUACCCAUCAAUGAGGAUGCUAUAAGCAAUUUGGUCAUGCUCAUAACCCUGAUUCCCAAACUCAUGGAACAACUUUGUUGCUGUUUUUACUUCUCCUAUCCCACACAAUCCAUGCAACAGUGAGCUACAGCUGACCAUUGUAGGCAUUAUUCCACGGUUUACCAUUUCAACAAACAGAUUGUAGCCUUUAAUUACAUCACCUUUCUUGCAGAACCCAUCAAUCAGAAUGCUGUAGCUAUAAACAUCUGGUGGCAAUCCACAUUGCUUCAUUUCAUCCAAAACCAUCAAUGAUUUGCUCAACUGGCCUUUCUGGCAAAAACCAUAGAUGACAGCAUUGUAACAGUAAUCAUUGUAUGGAAGCCUUUUAUAUCGCAAGUCUUGAAGAACAUUCCAUGCAAAAUCCACGUCUCCAGCUUGGCAAAGUCCGCGGAUAUAUGUGCAAUAGGUCACUGCAUUUGGGCUCACACCAUUUCUCUCCAUAUCAAAAAGAAUAUCAUCAGCUUCAUCCCUAUCUAAUGUUUCUUCUCUAGUAUACAAGUCCAUCAUAAUAGUGUAAGUGUAUACAUUAGGUGAAGGGCUUGAGCUCUUCAUAUCAUGAAAUAAGCUUCUAGCAUACUCCACCUCCUUCUUUUCAACCAAAGACUUGAGCAAGAAAUUGCACAAGGGUAUACUGAGCUUUAGGCCAAUUCUCUUAGCCUCCAAAUAUGUUUCAAGAGCAUCUUCAAGCAUUGAGGCCUCUGCCAAGACACAGAUGACAGCUUCAUAGGCUUGCAGCAAGCUCAUGACACCAUCCAAAAGACCAACCAAUGAAGAAAGCAAUCCAAACAAGUUGGAGCCAACACUCUUAUGGUAAUCCACAAUACUUCUAAUCAAAUAUUGGACCUCUCUAUGCAUUCCAGCAGAUGAAAAGGUCUGAAUAAGCACCGCAAAGGAUUCUAAUGAGUGGCCCAAGCCAUAUUUGCUCACUGCUUCUGAGAAGCUUGUUUCGCUUGCGAUGCUCCAAUCCAAAGUAUGCACUACGAUGGCAACAAAGGGGAAAAGUGUCGGGCCUCUACCAACAUAAAAAUCAAAGCUUUUUGUAAUACUUCUUUGCGCGAUAGUGGAUUCAGUGGUUGGAGUUGGGUGAAAAUAUUGGUCAUGAAGACAAGACAAGGAAGAAGCAGAGGAGUACAGCCCCAGAGAUGGUAAUUUUCCAAGAAGGGCUCGACGAACCAAUCCCAGUUGCACCCUACUCAUAGAGUAGGGUUCUAAGUCGAUGAUUCCAGCUGACCCCAGAAUCAAGCAAACUCCCAUCAGACUAAAACUUAAUAAAACAUCACUGGGAUAAGUCUGUAAGAAGAAACCUAGAAGAAAAAUAUCACAAAAAUGGCUUUUCUAUUGCAAAUUUAAACCAUAUUCCACGUCAAGAAACCAGAAUCAUUACAAAGAUUGAAUCUUUUUCCGUAGAAAAAACUGCCCAUCGGAUUUUAACGCCAAAGAUCGAAUUUUUUCCGUAGAAACAACUGCCCAUCGGAUUUUAACUCCAAAACCCCUCAGGUCUGGAAAUCUUUGACAGGAAACAAAAAAAGAGCUAUGGGAGAAUCGAAGAAAGAGAGAGAGACCUAACUGCCGGUAGUGCGACGAGGAAUUGUAGAGGCUCGGAGAGGAACGAUACAUUUGGGAGCCGCUCGGAGAGAGAGAAAGUGGAGAAAAUACGGCCCGCUUCCCCGCUCUCUAAUGGCUUUGAGCACGGGCUGUGCACGCAUCGAUCAAGGUAAAUGACUAGAUUUUAUUAACCCUAAUUUUUAAUAUAAGUUUUCCAAUUUAUCAUAUUUAAAUAAAUAAAGUCGGCAAGCAAUGACGACUUUACAUAGAAGUACCCCACGUUUUAUAUUUUUAUAGAGUCGGCCGGUCUUGCGACUUUACAUAAAAGUACCCUACUUUUACAUAUUUCCACAAGAGCUGGAUCUGACGAGUUCAUGCAGAAGUAUCCAAUUGUUAUGACGACUCCAAAUUUUCAUAUUUUCACCCACAAUGAAGGGAGGUGUGUCGACGUUCCAAAGAACUGAAGACUCCUAGAUCUCUAUUUUUUUUUCUUGGUUCCUGUAGAUGCCUCUGUGUGCUCUUCUACGCUCUUUCUUGGUUCGGAGGGCUAGCCAGGAUCAGGAAGAAUGAAGGCAAGGUCAGUAUUUUUCCCCAUACUUGUUGGUUGUGUUAAGGGAUGAAGCUUGGAGUCUUUUCCUGCCUUCUUGUAUGAAUGUUUCCUUUUGCUGGGACUUGUUAGAAUCAAGGAACCUAUUUUGCUUUCAAAAUUGUCGCCAUUGAUAGCUUUUGUGCCAAAUUUUCUUAUGAACUUAGUACUGGAACGAAAUGGCUUCCUACCUGUGCCUUCUUUGAUUUCUUCUUGCUUCUCAUUCGCAAGAUGAAGAAACGGUGGAGAAAGAAGGUGCAAUCUCUGUUUUAUGUGGUCUUAAAUAUGUUAUUUUCGAUUCCUGUGGGCAGUUGCCUGGUACUAAAGAUUUAAAGAAUCCUCUGGGAAUAAAUUCUUUUUGUCUAUAAUUGCUUCAUUAGUUCCUGAUGGUGAAAUAUUUUGAUGUUAGACAUGUAAUUAAGGAAUUUAUUAGAAAUCUCUUAAUUAUGUUUUCUUCUUUUCCUUCUGAGCGCUUAUAGCUCCAGCUUUCUAGAAUCUUGAUUAGUAGAAAUCCACAAAUCUUGUGUACCAAAAAAAAAAAAUUCCACAAAUCUUUAGGACUGCUUCUUGGGCCGAUUAAUCAUAAGAAGAGGCUAAGCUGCUAGAUUUUGGCUCUUGGAGCUUAACUUCUUGAAUCCUUAUAAGAAAUCAUGUUAAUGGAGAUCUUUGAGUAUAGCAUAAUGGAAUUAAGGUAGACCCUCCUACUGCAGUUUGGAAGUCUUUGUUCAGUUAUCCUGCUUCAGGUCAAGAAUUGAGGGUUCUUUAUUUAAUUAGAGGUAAGGAUUUAGUGUAGCUUAACAAGUGAGCCACAUCUUGUGGAUUUAAACUAGGCGAGGUCACUGCAAGAUCAAUAACUCAUGGAAGUAGUUAUGUGUAAAGACAAAUCAGCAAAUGACUAUAAAUCUUUAUCUAUAAAUGUUCUCAGUUCAGAGCCAAGUUUCUGAAGAAUCCCAAUCCAAAAUUUCAUAUUCCUUCAUUAGUUCUCAAUUUAUCCUAUUUGUACUAAAGCCAUAAUAAAAAACUGUGAAAAAAAUCUUGAUUAAUAUAUAUUUUUCUCCUCUUCUUUCUUUUGGGUGAACAUAGCUUCAAAUUACGAGAAUCUUGAAUGUUAAAUGUACACUAGAUUUAGGUCCCUAGAAUAUAUAUUUGUCUUCGCUUCUUUCUUCGCAUUUGGAAUUGGGUCCCUAGAUUUCUUCUACCAAUAUAUUUACCGAUUGGCGUGUUUCUUCUCUGCAUGUCGAAUUGCUAGAAGUGGUUUCAACUAUUAGAGGACGCACUUUUGUUCUUCUCAAAUUGUUGCUUUUGCCCAAAAAUGGAGGUAUUUCUAUUGUUCAAUUUUGAUACUGCCUGUUGUGGGAAUAAAGGGUCCGAACUUAAUCCCACAUCGACUAGAUAGUGGAGAGAUUUGUUCCUUAAUGGAGGGGGGAUAUCCCUUUCUCUUCAGAUGUACCUUUUGUGGGGCAAAAUCGUCCGUUGAGAAGAGACUAUGAAACCCCCUUCAAAGCGGACAAUAUCUUUGAGGAGAAGCAGUUGCCUCCACUGUCUGAGACCGAAGGGAACGAGGUCGGAGGACGAUAGAUCCCCCCGUAGUGCUGGACGCGCGGAUCGGAGGCCGAUCUCCCUUGACUUUAUCAAUGGUGCUUUUGUUGACAGCCCUUGACCUCGGCACAGACCUCUCUCCUCGAGGGUUAUGUUGUGGGAAUAAAGGGUCUGAACUUAGUCCCACAUCGACUACAUAGCAGAGAGGUCUGUUCCUUAAUGGAGGGAGGCUAUCCUUUUCUCUUCAGACGCGCCUUUUGUGGGGCAAAACCAUACGUUGGGAAGAGACUAUGAAACUCCCUUCAAAGCGGACAAUACCUCUGAGGAGAAGCAGUCGCCUCCGCUAUUUGAGACCGGUGGGGAUGAGGUCAGAGGACGGCAGAUCCUCUGUAGCGCUGGACGUGCGGGCCGGAGGCCAAUCUUCCUUGACCUCAUCGCUGCCCAUUUUUUAUCUCUUUUAUGCAUCUUUGAAGCAAUAUGACUUGUAAUAAGUAUCAAUUUUUUUGAAAAAAUGUGCUUAGUAGCAGAUUGAAGCUAUCUUUCUAAUAGUUCACAUAGUUUUUCAGUUUUUGUACUUAAAGACUACAUUCAUGUUACUCCUACAUCUCAAGUUAAGGUUGUUCCUGAAUUCUUAUGGUGCCAGGGUUUCGCGUUGGUCAUUCAUGGGCAGUUAUUUCCGAUAGUUGUAAAAACAACUGGUUUUGAUAUAAUUUGCAUAUGAUGAACAGGCUGACUUGAUAUAUUUGGAAACAUGAGCUCAUGUGGUAACAAAUGUUAAAUGCUUGAUGUAUUAUUGUGAGAACUCAUAUGGGCGUAUGUUCAAUUCUACAUCAGUUAGUCGUUUGAUAGAUCUUGAAUAUUUAUAACGGAUCAAGCAAUCCAAAUAAUAUUUUUUGACUUCCCAUUUUGGAGGAGGUCCUGAGUUGUGAUACAUGGUAUUACAGUGAACUCGGUCUAUAUCCUAUGUAGACUAGAAGACACUGCAGUAUGGGUCCUAAAUAGCUUNNNNNNNNNNNNNNNNNNNNNNNNNNNNNNNNNNNNNNNNNNNNNNNNNNNNNNNNNNNNNNNNNNNNNNNGAUUAAUUAUUGAGACGAUUUUAAGUAUUUAUACAGAAUUAAAAAAUCUAAACACUAUCUUUUGGCUAUUCAUUUCGGAUAAGGUCAUGGGUUAUUAUAGUUAUUAUUUGCUUUUGCGAAUAUGAUAUCUUUUGUAUUUAAUAGGUGGCGAUCCUAGAUUUUACCUAACAAAAUAGGGGUUUCAAUAAAUUAAGCUAGCCCGGCUAAGCAAUAAGCUCAACCGGCUUUAAAGUUUAAACCCGGCUUAUAUGCGAGAGCAGCCUAGCUGGGGUUAUCGUGCCGCCCGGUGGUAUUAAAGCAAGCAAAGUGGAGACCGCCACAUUAGCCUGCCACGGCCACGUGGCGUCAAGUCCAAAGCCCCACUCACUUUCGCCAGGCGGCCGGUAUCGUAUUAUGGAAAUGGGAGCGCGGCAGGAGGACGGUUCCGAGCUUGGAUUCUUGGAAUGCCGCGCACUAAAUCCCGAGUCCAGUCGAAGGUCAGAAUUCUUCCCACUUUUAAUUCCCAAUCCAAGUUCCCUCCCCUUUAACAUCAAUUCCUGCUUUCCCUAUAUUUGUUUUAAUGCGAUAACAGAUCUGCCGUCCGUUUACUUGAACCGACAUUAGUGGACGGAAGAUUGAGCGCAAGCAUAGAUACUUAUAUGCGGAAGAAUCUAUAAAGGUAGCGCGGCCUCUUUCUCUCUCUCUCUCCUUCCCUAAAGAAAACAGAUCUUUUUUUAACAUCGAUAUUUGAUUUCUCCCACUUCGAUCUUGGCUUUUCAUAUUCUAUUCGGUUUAAAGCCUCAGACGAAACCCCUCCGCGCUCUCGCUCUCGCUCUCGCCGAUGGAGUAGCGGAUGAGGCCGAGGACGAUCCUCGAUUUCUGACGACUCAAGAAACCCCUAUCAGCGUCUCCCAGGUUUAAGAGAUGAAUUUCGGCGAUCUUUCUCUCUACUGGUAAAACCGACGGAUUCUUGUUCUUCUUCGCCUCUCCCCGGUCUCCGCGAGCCGUGGACUUCGAUCGGGAUCUUGAAUUCUGGUGCGUUUCUUCUCCCUUUUGUUGAGGGCUUUGACCGAUGAUCGUGUAUUGAUCAAUAUAGAAUUCGGUGGUUCUUUAAUUAGAUUAGGGCGAUUGUGGCUGGAGUCUUUUGUUUGGUAUUCCAUGUCAAUGAAUCUUGGUACAAAGUGCUGCUACUGUCUUGCGAUCAGAACUCAUGAAACGUGGCUCUGGAAUUGCUUUGUGGUUCUUUAUUGGAUUAUCGGAUUUCUUUUGAUUUUUCAGGAAAAAAAUGUUUUUUAACUAAUACUAAACUUUUGAGUGGGAACCUGUUCUUGAGCUGCUGGUAUCUUGCAGAGCUGGUUGUUUUAUUGAAUUUAAUGAAUUAUUUCUUUCUGGUAUCUGGCUUAAUGCAACUCUUUCGUUAAUUACAUCUUUUCAACAGUUGAGUGUUCUAUAGGAUCAUCAACUUAGCUAUAUUGUCAGUUCGUGGAGAAUCAAAAAGCAGUUAUAUAUUGUCAGUUCGUGGAGAAUCAAAAGCAGUUAUACUUCAAAGGGGGUAGAAAUGAUCAUUGGUAAAUGGCAAUAGCGUGGUGUUACAGGACAAUUUGUUCAUGUAUUAACUUGAUGGCUAUAUUAUUCCUAAUAUGUUAACCUCAGGGUCUGAUAUUGGAAAUGUAACUUGCCAUGCAAUUUGUGUUAAUGUGUUGUCUCUGAGGAUGCUGACUUUGUGGCCUUGUGUAAUUGGAGGGGAAGGAACAUCAGAUACAUUUGUGUAGUGACUAUAGGAAGUAAAGAGGAUGUUCAGACUUUCGAUUGUUGACUAUCAGGAGAUCAUAACCAUAGCCAUAACCAUCUAGCCAAGGUUCACCAUCUUGGUUAAAGGUGGCAAACUGGCAAUUUACAAUCCGACUUGUCAACCUGACCCGCGAAUGACCCAUUUUAAGUAGGUUUUGAGUUGACAUAAACAAAUUUCGGUUAUAAAUGGGUCAACCCGUCUAACCUAUUUAUCGAAUAGGUUUGGCUCACAUUUAGAUCUUUGAUUCAUUUAAUCUGUUUUGACUCAUUUAAUAAUUGGAUCGGAUCAUUAUCCAACUCAUUUAACCUGUAUAAAACUUGUUUAACCUAUUUGAAACCUGCUUAACCAAUUUUUGACAUGUUUAACCUGACCUGCUUAACUUGUUUAAAUCCAUUUUACUUGUUAAAAACUUGUUUAACCCAUUUAACCUGUCUUGACCUGUUUAAUAAACGGGUUAUAUAGGUCGGGCCGAGUUACCAAUUUAAUAAACAGGUCGGAUUCAAAUCUAAACUUUUAACCUGUCGGGUUCGAGUCGACGAAUUUUUGAUCCGACCCGGAUCCGACUCGACCUAUAUCUGAUAUGCUUUGACCUGAUUGCCACCCUUAAUCUCGGUGCUAGAUUCCGUAUUGGUACCAUCCUAUUAUAAUAUCGGUACGUUCAUUACAGGAGCUAGUUCAAUAUACCGAAUGUUAGUACACGCUUAGUACCGUAUACUGGUUCGACCUGGUAUAGUACGGUAUAAUCGAUACACAUCAACAUCGACUGGUACGACAAACCUUGCAUCUAAUGUUUUCCAACUAUUUGGGAUUGGCUUUAUGACUUUUUAUUCACCACGCAUUGCUAUAUAAGCCAAUCUCUUAUAUUAUUCCAAGUUUUUCUAUAGUCUUUUUUAUAACCUCCAACCAUGUAAUUGUUAGGUCCUUUUCUCCUUUUUUUACCAUUUUCAACGCAAACCAACGCAUCUUUCCUCAUUGGUGCCUUUUAGAUUUUUGUUGUAUAUGUUCAUACUAUCUCAGUUGAUUUUUUGUUACUUCAUCCUUAAUUUGUACAACUCUUACAACUCCUUUAAUAUUUUUUUAUUUUAUCUUUUCUAGUUUUAGCAAAUAUCCAUAUCAAUAUUCACAUUUCUUCAAAUCAUGUAUUUCCUUUAUUGCCCAGCACCUUGAGAUAUACGACAUGGCAAGCCUUGUUGUUCUGUAGUUUUUUUUUUUUAAAGUCUUCAAGAUAUGCAUCUAUGAUAUGAUAUUCUAGAUACACCUCUUUUUUAUCCAACCAUCUUUAAUUCUAUUAUAUAUGUCUUCAUCCAUCUUCCCAGUAUUUUAUAUAAUGGGUCCUAAGUAAUGAAAACAGCCAUUUUGUGGUAUAUUUUGGUCAUAAAUCUUAAUUGGUAUCAUAUUUUUCAUUUUCAUUCUUACUAAAUUUGCAUUCCAUAUACCGUGCCAUUAUUCUAAUCUUAAAGCCCUGAUCCUUCAAUUUUUUUCCCACAAGUCCAAUAUGAUAUUUAAUGUAGUUCUCUUUUCAUUAAUGAAUAGUUUAUCGUUUUCAAAUAACAUACACCAUCGUAUAUCUUCCUGAAUACUAGCAGUAAGUUUAUUAUAUUUAGUGUAAAAAGAUAUGGGCCUAGUGACGAUCCUUGAUGCAAGUCUAUACUAAUUGGAAAUGCACUUGGUGUAUCAUAACAACUUCUAAUACAUGUAAGUGCCCCAAUGUACAUGUUUUCAAUACACUCUUCCUUCUUAAAGUCCAUUGAAUUACUUUUUUAGGACUCCUAUCAUAAGCUUUUUGUAAGUUAAUGAAAAUCAUAUGUAGACUCUUCUUUUUUCUCUAUAUUUUUCGAUCAAAUAUCUACGUAAAAGACGGCCUCUGUUGUUGAUUUUUUAGGCAUAAAUCUAAAUUAGUUAUCUGGAAUAGUUGUUAUUUUUCUUAAUUUUAAGUCAGUUACCUUUUCCUAUAAGUUCAUACAGUCGGCUCAUAAGCUGAAUUUCCCAAUAAUUAGAAUAAUUAUGUACCUCAUCUUUAUUCUUAUAGAUAGAUACUAUAAUAUUUUUCUAAUCAUUUGAUAUCUUCUUCGCUUGUAAGAUUUUAUCAAAUUAGUUUGUAAGCCAAUUUAACCCAAUAUCUCCUAUGAUUUUUCAUAUUUUGGUAGGUAUUUCAUUAGGCUAAUGCCUUUUUUUUUUGCCAUUGGGACAACUGCACCACUUUUAUAUCUCUUAAAAUACUGGACUACUUGCUUUAGCUAAUGGAUAGAUGCAUCCACAUGCUUCUUCCUAGUGUUUUUCUCUUUUGAAUAACAUGGACCAUAACACAGCCUUCUGAAGAUCAAAAUCUAGAGGAUAAGACUAUAGAGGAAAGAGCAUAAGGUUGGCUCUUUGUGCAAGUGAAUUAUGAUGGAAACUCUUUUUUUCUUCAGACAACUGCUUCAAACGGCUAUAUAUCUCAUUGUAAUUCUGAAUGCCUGCUAGAUUGAUUACUUGUGUUGUUUUAACAUUGCCUUGUUAUGUGUAUAAAGACCAUGUGUAUAUUUUGUUCUCUCCCCAUUCCUCUAGGCUUGGUCUUCCCUCACCAAUUGGAUUAAGUCUAAGGUUAGGGUUGCUGGUGUUCCUUUUGAAAAUUGGUCAAGAAAAAUUUUUCUCUUGAACCCACUAUAAAGUUUUGAGCUGCCGCUCAUGGUAGAACUGUUGGUUUAUUUGUUUAUCAUAUCAAUGCAGGGUUUUUUUCAAGAGCUGGUGGUCUUAUCAGACUAAAAUGAGAUUGAGUUGAAAAUUCUUUAGGGUUUUGCGCUUUUGUUUUUUCAGACAUCUGGUUAAUUAUGUCUUUUUUAAGAAUCAAAUGUCAUAUUGAAUUGUAGACUGAACCAUGUUAUAGGUUAGUGCAGAAGGAAGAGUGAGUAAUAUUCAUAUGGUGUAAGGAAAGAGCCUCUAUCUGAUGAUGCGGAGUUAUUGCUUGGUCUUUUAUGGCGAGAUUUAUUUUUCUCUUAUUUUUUAAGCCUUAGUAGUACAUAUUAUAAUCUCAUGAUCUAGCAGUUAGAAGUAGGGCCAUUUUGCUCCCCAGGAUGUUAACUUGGCAGCCUUGUGUAGUUGGAGGACCAAGACAUUGGAUAUCUAUACACAUCAACAUAUGAAGAAAAGUGGAUACUUCUAGCGGUCUAGCUUUCGAUUGUUCAAUAUCAAAACCCCUGCUAAAAGUAAUAGCUAUUAAUGGUUAGAGAUCAUAAUAGUCAGAAUUUAGAAAGUACACGUAUAAUUAGGUGCACUAAAGCAAAUCAAUAUCUUGUUGAUACAAUUUGAUUAUGGUCAAAUUUUUAGGAAGCUUUAAUAGUUAAAGAUUUAUUUGAUUAUCUUCCCCACUUCACCAUUGUUAUUUGAAACUUAGUUGUUUAGGACUUAGGAGUUCUAUUAUGCAAAUGGUGUCUAAGGUUUGGAUAAAUGGUAUAUAAAUUUUAACCAAUAGUCCAAGGUUUUGGUCUGAUUAAAUGUGCUUUCUUAGGUUAAAUUGAUGGAGUAUCAUGUGAGCCACUGUUACUGAAGUAUGUGAUUAUGGUUGUGGAUUAUUUUUCGAAUUGCUCACUAUGCUCAAAAGACUAGUGAUGUGAUUGUUGGUAUUUCAUGAAGGAAUAACCCUUUAACAGUUCCUACGUGUAAUGUGAGUGAUGGAGAGAUAUGAUUCUAAUUAUCAACAUUGGUUGUAGAUCAUGAUUUAUUUAAUAACAUUUUGAUGAAAGAAAUGUAUGAAAAUGAUUGUGAUUCUUUGGUCAAUGGAUAAUAUUUGUACUAUGGUCUAGAUGGAUAUUUUUUAGGGGUAAACUCAUUAAUCAAAGAAUCAUUGAUUAGAGGAGUUGAAAAUAACUGUUUUAAGUUGACAAUUUCAUGUUAGCCUCAGUUUCGCUGGCCGAUGACCUGAUUCAGGCUUUGGAUCAAGCACUCAAUAAACAUGUUAACAUCACCACUUGCCGUAAUGACAUUAAAUAACAUCCACCAGUUAGUUUAUUAUUGUUUUGAGAUCAACUUUUCUAAUAAGUUUAGAAUUUCAUGUUAGCCUCAGUUUUGCUGGCCGAUGACCUGAUUCAGGCUUUGGAUCAAGCACUCAUUAAACAUGUUAACAUCAACACUUGUCAUAAUGGCAUUAAAUAACAUCCACCAGUUAGUUUAUUAUUGUUUUGAGAUCAACUUUUCUAAAUCCAUAUGCAUUUGUAUUACUCGGAUUAGAAUAAUUCUGGCUUGUGAUGGCUUUAUCAGCUUGUUUGGAUAACCAUGCUUUAAGACAUAUUAGCUUGUUGCUUUCACAUGUGCGCGCGCGCACGCACAUGUAAAGAGGCUGUAUCCAACAAAAAUGUAUUAUUCUGCCUUACAUAUCAUCUCAGUAUUUCUGGCUUGAGCGAUGCUGAAAAUUAUUAAUUCAGUGGUGUGUUCUAUAGCUAAUUGGCUUGGUGUCUCUUACGUCAGUCUAGAGGAAACAAUGCUCCAGCGACAUGUAAUUCCUGUUGGACUACAGUGACUGAAGAUACGGAUAAUAAAAAAUGGGCGGUCUCUGCUGCCGUUCAUCCAGAAGUGGUGAAUCAGAUAGAGAACCAGUUUAUUGCUAUGUGCGUAGCUCCUGCAUUUGCAUUAGUUUUUUUUAAUAUUUCAAAUUUAACCUAUACUGUUUAUAGUUUUGAUCUUUUAUUAGCUAUUAAAUUCAGGUUUUAUCAGAACAACACUUUUAUUCUUAAAAUAUGGAUUUUAUAUGUCUUCUAUUGUUAAAAUGUGGAUUUGCUUGCUUGCUUUAUGUUCAGGUGAAUGAAACUAUGGAUUACAUUUCCCUCUGCUGCUCUCACUCACCAAACGUGGAAGAAACUUGAUUCUCAUUUUUCUCAUGAUUUUCCCUGGGUUUUGUUAAUGUACUGCUUUUAUAAUGGUGCUAAUAGGAAAAGGGAAAAAUCCUCAACAGCAUGAUGUUCUGAUGCCAUUUUGGAAUGUAGGAAGUCUGAACCAGGAGCUGGUGUGGGAAGUGCUAUGCUGGAAAGUUUAAGGUAGAUGUACUUAAUAAAAAUUGAUUCUUGGAUUUAAAAACAGAUUAUAAAAUAGAAUUUUAGUUGCUUCUAAUACAAAUACAAUUUGGUCAGUCAAGUUGCGAAUUGAAAUGUCAGUACAUGGAUAUGGUAGCAGGAAUAAAAUUUGACAGUUUCGAUACUGUAUUUUUAAAAGAAACAACUAAGCAUUUUAAAAAAGGAGAAGGUGUAAGCAAGGUAUCCGGACUCUCGAUAUGAGGUGUAAGGCUCAUUGAUUAACACAUAAAAGGUUUAAAAGUUUGAUAAAAGUUAACGCAAAAGGUAGCAGGGUAAUAGAUGUCAAUUUUUUGUUUGAACUUUGGACUUUACGAUGAAAUCUGUUGUGGAUCACACAUUCCGCAUGCUAGUGUCCAUAAAUAUCUUAAAAGGUAGACAGUAACCUAUCUUACCAAGACUCAGCUUGGAAUUUGAGCCUACAAGCAUGCAAACAUAUAACUAAGAUGGAUUUCUUCCCUUUCAUUUGGUUGCUAAAACAAUCAAAGCAUUACUUGCGUGCUUCUCAUAGAAGGCAUAGUUUAAAGGUGUCUGACAUGAAUCUCUUAACAUUACACCAUUUUCAUGUUAUAAAGCCUCAUUAUUGUCCUUGAGGUGCUAUGAAAAUCAAGCCCCAAGGCAUGGGGUGAGGCAAGCCUCAAGUAAGCCUUAUAUAAGUCCAAUAUUAAAUGGUUGAGGUUGUCUGCAAUAAACAUGAACAGUUGGACUGCUGUUUGUGUAUAUACAAGCUCAUAGCAAGGACAUUACAUGAAGCUAAUUGAUUUAAUUUGGGUAGUCGAUUCAUGUGGACAUGAUGGCAUUUUUUAUUUUUUCAUGGUGUCUUUUUUCCCCCACUUAUUUUUGGUUUUAAAAUUGUGAUGUAAUUAAUACUAGAAAAGGGUUUUUUUGGAAGGUGGGAAAUGAGAUUAAUGCCGCUCUGCAUCACUUUGAUUUUAUCAAUGCGGUAUUAGCACCUGAGCUGAAGAGAACCUCACAGCUUAUGGAUUUUCGUUCUUGUCUCCUUUUCAUAAUCAUCAUUAGCUAAAUACUUGUUUACUUUGAUGAAGCUACAUCUUUUUUCUUUCUUGUUGUCCGUUUUGAUAGGUGGGUGAGGUGAGUUGGAGUCAUAACCACUGCCACAGUACUACCUCUUCUUGCUCUUAUUCAACACGAUCUAAAAUCAUAUGAAUACUACUGCCAACUCUGUGUAGAAUUUGUUCACAUUGGAAAUCAAAUUUGUGUUACUCUCUAAUCUAUAUAACAUGGGCAUUAGGGGAGUCAAUUGCCAUCAUAAAAACACUAUCUAAGUAUACUCCACUCUUUACUGAAUACACCCAUUUCAUUCUAUUCUAUCAAAUACUGUUUAAUGAAGAGAAAUAAAUAAUGGUGCAUCUGAUAUUGACAGUGUUCUCAUAAAUUUAUACAUGAAAAAAAUCUGAUGGAAACACUUUAACCUCAAACUUUUCAUUAUUCAGUGAGAUCACAGCUUUGCAUAUCCAAGCACUAGAUCUUUACAUGGAAUUUUUUCAAAUAAAAAAAACUUAUUCAGUGAGAUCACAGCUUUGGUCAAAUUUAUGAAUUUGACCUCAUCAUUCAUGGUCAUAUUCUUGUAAAUGGUCAAAUUUAUGAAUUUGACCUCAUCAUUCAUGGUCAUAUUCUCGUAAAUGGUGACAUCAUAUAAUAUGGUUAUACCACACCCAACUUUUCCUUUGGUCAUGUUGCUCAUGUGCUUCUUCAUAUCCAACUUUUUUAUUUUUAUUGCAGAGCCGAACCACUAAUGAUAUACGAUGACCACAUAAAACUAUAAUGGCACAACAUUCUCUGACCUUGUUUCAAUCUUAGAUGCAGCAUCUGCUGAUCAGUAUAUCUUUCCUCUUCUCGAUAAGCACUAAGGUAGUGUAAUUAAUUUGCUUGAGAAUUACUAAACAUUUUCAGCUAAACAUACAUGCCCAACAUUCUACACAUCAAUUCUUAUAGCCAAUCUAAUUUAUGAUCAUAUAUAUCUGAGGCUGCACUUUGUUUAGGGAUAUGAAAAUGUGGGAUAGAAAUGGUUAUUCAACAAAUCAUUCCUACUUUUGCUUGCUAUGAUUUUUGGAACAACUCUAUGUUGAGGGUGCCUUUAUCUACUAAAAAAGAAAGUAUGUCAGCAUAAAUGAAGGCUUUAUUGCCAGGAAUAGCUUAUGACAGCUUUUACUGGAAUAGUUGUGCUUGGCAUAAACAGUCCUGACUCCCGACCUUAAUUAUAUUCCUUGCGUAUGUCCUUUAGUAAGCUGUGCAGGCAUAAGGCUUUCCAAGCCCAUUAUCUAUUUUAUAUAUUGAGAUUCUGCUAAUUAAUCUUGAAUGCUCCAUCCAACUACCUUUCCCUAUAGCCUCUUGAUAUGGUUGCUAUGUGCAAUUUCAAAGGCAUGAGUGAAAUCUUUUUUUAAUUUUGUGUUAUAUUCUUUUCUCCAUGGUUAUCAGGAUCCUUUCAGGGAUUUUACAGUAGAUGCUACCGUUGCUUAUAAUGUGCAUAGUUCUGUUGAUAUCCUAUUCAAGCCCAUGACCUCCUGUUCUGUUUGCUAAAGUGUCUAUGGAGUCGCAUACUUCAUGGCAUGAGCGUCAUCCACUAAUUUCAAAGAUAGUGUGAUCUGUAAUAUGGUAGCUUUAUAAAAAGAUCUACAUGUCUAGUACGAUGUCAUUAUUUUUUGUAGAAAUUUGUUCAUUGAUGUUGUAUAUGGAGAUUGUAUGUGCAUCUGCUCUGCGUGGUGUAUAUGGAGAUUGUAUGUGCAUCUGCUCUGCGUGGUGUCUUGCUUAGGUCUUCAAGAAUUAUAAUGCUUUCCUUUUUACUGCAUCUUAUGUGAUGGCUGGCUUUCUAUAAUUCUGUUUAGUUUGGGGGAUUUUGGGGAGGAAGUGUCUCUUUCAAGUUAUGUGCACCAGCUUCAGUUACAUUAGAGAUGUUGCUUGUUGACACACCUUGCUAUACGCUAAUACAAUAAAGCACGUUGUUUAUUAUUUUUUUUUACCAUUGAUAUCCUCUAAUUUCAGGAUAAUUAAUUUUGAGAUACGAGUUUUCCAUACAAAUAUAUUAUGUCAAACCUCGAUUCCUUUGUGCAGUGCCCGCAAGAUUUAGAGGUGUAUGGCCCAUUGUCUACCACCCAUGGUACAUCUUCUGUAGUCUCUGAUGGACUCCUUGUCGAUACAAAUUUGGAGACAUCUAUUCCAGAUGCUUACCAGGCACCUCCUGCACCAUUGCCUUAUGAUGUGCGCUUAGCAAGUUCACGAACGUCACCUGGAAGUUUAGAAAAUUGUGGAAACAAGACUGAUCAUGUGCAUCCAGCAGACUCCCAACCAACACGGGAAACUGAUGAAAUGUUAGAAGGUUCAGAUACAUGUGGGGCUUUAGAAAAGUCAGACUGCAAGAGUAAAACUGAUUUUGAGCAUGACUCCCCUAAAACAGAAGAUGAACCUUCCAAGGUGGAUGCACCUAUUGCUUCAGCUACUGAUGAGGAAGAUGUUUGCCCCACUUGUCUUGAAGGUAUUGUUUUGUCCCUUUAUAGAGAGUCACAUCUUAUUGUGCCACAUUGCAAUAGCGAGAAUAAAACUUUGCACUUAAUGAAAUAUGUGCUCUGGAAGAGUGGGAAUAGUUUUUCAAUUUUGUUAACUUUUCUGGAUCUCAGUUGUGUCGAAAGAAUAUGAUUAAAAUGAAGGAAACAGAAAUUGAUAUGGUUAUUUGCUUCUAGAAACCUGUAAAAUUUGAGCUGCAUUUUUUCUUUUUGGCUUGAAAGACAUGAAAGAAAAUGCAUUAUGUUUUAUUAGUUGAGGUAUGCAGUCUUAACCAUUGAGGACAAUAUUUGAAAGAAACUCCUAUGGCUUCUUUGCACUGGUUAUGUCCCGCAUUACCUAACUUAUGAAGCAGAGGAUGUAUUGCUUUCUCUAAAAGCAAACAAUGACAAGUUGAUCGAUUUGGUUGAUCAAAUAGCUAUCUUUUUCUUUUGUCAACUAUCAAUCAGGUAUAGCAUUAUGGGCUAUGUGCUGCUCUAGUUUAGUAGUUUGUGGGAAAAAGCUUAUUUUAUAGCAACUAAUAUAUCAUCACUGAGAAAGUUGUAUAGCCUUAUAUAAAUACAAUAAGUUUCUUCUUGUUUUUGGCACUCAAUUUGACUUCAGUCAAGCUAGUAUUCAUAUCGUUGCCACUUGGAGACUUUCCUGCUUCUAUUUUUAAAAAGUCAUAUGCUUUUCAUUUCUGAAAAAUGAUCAUAUUUGAGAUGAUACCGAAAUCGAUAUAGAUUCCUGAGCUAGUGAACAGUCAGCAGCAGGGUUGGUUAUUCAAGUUCAAGGCCUGCACGUGAUCAGAUUCCUGUUGGUACACUACCAUGAAAGUUUACAUCUCAUGAUUUAUUAAGAGUCUGAUGUCUUGAUGGCAGAUCAUUUGCAUAUGCUUGAAGUGAUCUUAACUUUUGUAUUGCACUUAGAGCUAAAGAGUCUGAUAAAUUUCAUUACCUGUUUCUUUUGCAGAGUAUGAUGCAGAGAACCCUCGCAUUUUAACAAAGUGUGAACAUCAUUUUCACCUCUCUUGCAUUCUUGAGUGGAUGGAGAGGAGUGAUACUUGCCCCAUUUGUGACCAGGUUUGCCUAGCAAAGAAUUGUAACUAUAUAAUGCUUCUUGUAUUUGGCAAUCUUGUUUCUUCAUGCAUCAUCGCCAAGCCAAGUUCUCAAGUUUCUGCUGAAUUUUAACUGUUGGGACAGCAUAGCACAUUUAGAUGCCGAUCAGUAUUAGUAUAUAUGUAUAAAUUAUUGUUAUGAGGUUUGUUGAAAGUAGUCUUUACCUGCCUCAUAAUCUACAUAUAUCUUAGCAACUUGUAACCUGUUUUAGAAAGUGAAAAGCCAGGGAUGAACAUUCCUGCCGAGAAUCAGAAAAGAAAUGAAUUUAUGAUGCACGCGAACAGUACGUAAUCAAAAAAAUAAAGGCCAAAAUGCAUGAUCUGCGCUUUUGAAGGGUGUAUUAUUAUCCUGGGAAUACUGAACAUAUGAUUUCUUAUUGCAGAUCAUGAUGAUCGAUCAUAUGUCUAGUGGGUAGCACUGGAUAUCUACAAUGGUGAGGUUUUAGUUUUCAGGCCCUUUGGAGUGGAUGCCAGCCUGAACAGAAGUAUUGUCUACUCAUCUUUACACUAAUAAUUGGCGGAAGCAAAUGUCCCUACGGUAGUCUGUUCAUAAUAUGAAGUUUUCGACUCUCAAGUAUCAAUAUUGUGGGUCAAAUUUUUUUGGAUUGCCUAAAGGAAAAUAGGUAAAAGUGAAAUGUUUUGCUUUGUUCUGCAUCAUUCCUGUAAAGCUUUAAAUUUUUUUGUGAUGCUGAAUGGCUGGCAGAUGGAAUUUAAGAUGUGGUGGUCGCAUGCCAGGUCUGGAUGUGAGACUAGAAAUUCUUUUGCCCUAUUUCUGAAGCUUUUAUUUUUCUUUUUUUGUCCUGGCUUGUCUUCCAGUGAGUUGGUUGUAUUUUAUAUAGUUCAGGCAAUUUCUCAUCUGCCAUGUAUAUUGGAGUUGUAUAGGAAUUCCCCCCCCCCCCUCUUUUGUGAUGUUUCUUGUCCAGUGUAUGAAAGAUGCACAGUGAUCUGUAAGACACAUUUUGUUUUUGUUUCAUAUAGCUGAAGAAUAAUGAUCUUCGUUAUGUUAUAAAAAACUAUAGAAGUGUCUGAAAUGACCAGGUGCGCAUAUUCACGUUUUCAAUCGAGGUGCCUAGCAGCAUUGGCACCCGUUUGUUAUGAUGUUUUCAAGUAUUUAGCAAUUCUUAGCCUUUUCCUUCAGAGAAAUAUUUAUGGUGGGGGUCAGUUUUGUGGGUUUUGUGGGAGGCUCGUGCAAGCCAUCAAGUCACGAAUGUUUUGAUCGAUUGCAUAUUUAUCGAGGGCAUUGUUUUAAUGCUUGUCUUGUAUUUUUCUUGGCAAUUGACUUAAUGUCUGUCAGAGGAUGCAUUUAGGAUUAUUUUCCCCCUCCCCCUGUUUUGGUCUAGUACAUAGUAGGGCACUUGCAUGUUUGGUUUUCAGGUGACUAACGUAGCUAAUGUGCUUGUACUCAAGCGAGCAAUUUGUACGCGGCAGCGAUUAAUUAAAAAGAAUUAUCGUGGAAUAAUGAGGAUGAUACCUCAAAAGUGUGGAGAAAAUGUACAGGAAUGAGGCAGGUGAGGCUUCUUUAUUUAUUAUUAUUUUUUAAGAUGGUUGGUUGUCUCAGGUUGCCGUAUUUUUUUUCCACUUUAGCAUGUCCUUGCAACCCAUGGUCUGUAAUCAUUGAUGCUGUCAAUUUGGCCCUCCCGGAAACAUUAUUAGGUGACAGAACCGGGCGAUGGAGCAUGUAUAAAUAGCCCACGGAAUUCUGAACUGUGCUCGUACAAAUGGCACAGGUUUAAUUGGGCCAGGUUCAGUCCAGAAUGGCUCCAGUCUUUACUGGCCUGCAGUUGGGAUGGAGCUCAUGUUACUGCGUUGAGCUUAUUGCUUCUUGUCAAGAUCCAAACCCUGAUCUAGCUUAAACUGGCUGGAACUAUCAUCAACAAUAAACCCUGAUAGCAGGAGUUUAAGGUGGCACCAUCACAUGGAACGAUAUGGAUGUCAAAACUCGCCCCGGAUGGACCCUUUCCUCGGGCUGCCCCUGGCCACCCACCAGGUGUUUUGGCAUCUGUAUUUGAUAAUGGGGUUGAAGACAUUGGCGUCAUUCGAGUCCAUCAAAUAAUGAAAUCUUGCUUCCACCGUAGAAGCUAACACGACACAUCACAUGCUACAAUAUUCAUGCUUGGCUUUUGAUUGCUCUCAAAAGCAACCGUAGGUUGCUUUGCCUGCAUGCGUCGCAUAUAUUAAAGUGUGAUACGUUACCCAAGUAUGAUACUUUCUACUUGCAGUCCAACACAAGCACAGGUUGACGCUAUUUUUCUAGGACCAGGUGCCACGCCCACGCAUUGUAAAGAUCGUAGCAUGGCUUUCCAUGCUUGGCAUUAAAAAGCACGCGGUAUAUACGUAUGCCAUUGGUAUUAAAAGGUAGCACUAGUCUUUUUAUUGUUUCACGCGAAAAGGUCGUAUACUAGAUGUACUCAAUGCGUCCUAAUCAUCAGUUAAGUACAUAAUGUUGAGUGGUAAUUUUAGUGUUACUGCCUAGCGAAUAAUGCUUAAGGAUAUUGGCAAAGAAAACUACGUUCAUAUUUAUAAGAUUAAUUGGCGCCUUCUUUGAUGAAUCAUAGAAUCUUGUCCCCCUUCCCUCCGAUCAGUGGGACAGGGCAGAAUCUAAGUAAAUAUUUUUUAUGGUUUGUCUCACACUAUUUGGCACGAGAAGGAUGAGUUAGGAGAAUGGAGUUGAUACAAUGACCCUUGUGAAUCUCGUCAAUCAACCUGGGCACGACAUUCUAGCUUCACGAUUCAUGGGAACUAUAGGGAUCGUGAUCCACAUGGAUCUUAUGAUCUGUUAAACAUAGAUUUGAAGUUGUUUAUCACAAAUAUUUUAAUAUUUCCUGAUAAAUUUUAUACCAGGUAAAAUGUUAAUUGCACCCUUGCAUAAAGGGGUCCAAAUAAGUCCAUGAGAAAAUGGAAGCAGGAUUCGUUCUACACUCAUUCAUCAUGCUUGUAAUCUGUGAAAAUGUCAAAAUUUUCUACUCACAGAAGGUUUGAACUCCUAAUGACUUCUAAUGCAGGCUAAGACAANNNNNNNNNNNNNNNNNNNNNNNNNNNNNNNNNNNNNNNNNNNNNNNNNNNNNNNNNNNNNNNNNNNNNNNNNNNNNNNNNNNNNNNNNNNNNNNNNNNNNNNNNNNNNNNNNNNNNNNNNNNNNNNNNNNNNNNNNNNNNNNNNNNNNNNNNNNNNNNNNNNNNNNNNNNNNNNNNNNNNNNNNNNNNNNNNNNNNNNNNNNNNNNNNNNGAGAGAGAAGAGAGAGAGAGAGAGAGAGAGGUCGUUUAGCUUGGCAGUUGGAAAGCAUCGAGUGAGUGUGUUUGCUCUCCUUCUUUGCUCUCUCUCUCUCUAUUUCUCUGAGAAGACGGCUUUAUUCUCGGGAAAAAUCCAAGAAACUUUCGCCUUAUCCUCCUCUCUAUCAUCGCGGAACCGAGCUCCCGGAGCUCAAUUCUCUCAAAUCCGUGGCGUUUUUCGCGAAUUGGGGCUCAAAAUCAGGUCCUCGUGAAGGAAAAUCCCGAAUUCUAGCUCGCUGAAGCACAGAUCGGCCGCAUUUCGUGUGAUCCCGUGUGAUUUUUUUUUCUUCUACUUCCAUUAAUCGAAGCAAUGGCAACUGGUAUCCUGCAAUCCAGCAUUUUUUUAUUCUUACCCGAAUUGAUUUUUCCCUUUGCUGUUCUUGGAAAUUGAUCAGUUCUCAUCUAGAAUUAGGGUUUCUUCUUUUUGCAAUUCUUGGUAAAUUGGUCCAGUUGGUGCUCAUGGAUUGGUUUUUGAUGGUUAGAAUUGAAUGAGAUCUCUGGCCUUGUGUGGGAGUCAUGAAGUGAAGAAUCGAGGAUCGAGCUUUUCUCGGAUAUGAUUUCAUUGCAUUUCCAUCAAGAGUUGUAAUUGGAGCUUGGGAGUUGGUUUUCUUCCCCCUUUUCCCUUUUAUUUGUUUUAGUUUGAUCUCAAGGGAAGAAGGUUUUAUUGGUAGACUGUCCGGAGAACAGAGAUUUUAGUUCAGGUGGGAGUUGUACUUCAGUUUGAUACUUCAAUUGCAUAGUAUUUACUAUUAAAGCUUGGAUUUAGCUUAAAGUGCUGUUUCUUAUUGAUAUGCAGCUGGAGAAGUGGAUUUGCUUCAGAGUAACUAUGUUAGCAGAAUGGAUCGACUCCAAUCACUAAAAAAAUAUGGUCACAAUUUAGAUUUAUAAUUUUAGUAAUCCUGAAAAUGGAAGUCGAGACAUGUAUAACUGGAUAUUUUUUCAGAAAAAAAUAAUCAGAUUACUCGGCCAACUCAAUUUGAAGUACAAAAUUAUUGUUUAGAAUAAAAAAAUGGUGGUCGAAAUUGGUGUUUCAAAUUGAAGAAAUGGGUCGUGAGCUUUUGUUUAGUUCCUUUCUACUUCUGGUGGCUCUGUUUCUUUUGCGAUAAGGCUGUUGGCUAUAAUUAUGAUGUGAUAGGGACAGAAGUGUUGUUUGGUAUAACUGCACUCAUGCUGUCUUGAAUCAAUAAUUAUAUGGUCAGUGGGUCCUGAUUUUUCUAGACUUCUGUCGACGUCUUGAAUCUGUUCUAUUUUGUAAUAUGCUGUUUGACUCUAAGGAUACAUUGUUUUUGCUCUGUUGCUAGGGCUGCCCCACCCUAUUAUAGAUGCCUAAUCUUGUCUGGGUGGCGACCUUGAUCAACAAGCCUAGUUGAUUCCCUUUCUCCUUUUUUCCCCUUGUAAUGGUGUGCGUGUGUUGGUGGUAAUGGUUUGCCGAUAAUGAACUUGUCUGAAAAUUUAGAUGUGUUCAUUAAUCUGGUUAAAUCAACAGAAUUUGUCUUAUGAGCUUGAAAUCCAUUUUUAUUUUUUUCUUAAUUACUCUUCGUUGUUAUUUUUUAUGAGGAAUGACAGGUUAAACCAUGUAAGUGCUAUUAUAAUGAAGAACAAAGAUCUUUAAUUGGAUGAAUUUCUUUUUCCAAAUAAAGAAACUUUUUUUCUGCUUCAUGGAUAAGGCAUUCUUGAUUUCCAUGCUUUAAUAAUUUCCAGCAACAUCCUUGCAAUGGCUAGGAAUGUAAAUUUUUUGCACUUUCGAUGUUCUUGUUAUGCUCUGUAUGCUGGUUGAAAUUCAAGAUUUUUUUUAGGCAGAUGAUGGAGGCUGAGUUCUGCUCUCCUCGAACUCUUUCUUCAUCUCGGCAAGAAAGUGGAGAUGAGGAGCUUUCUGUGCUCCCUAGGCACACAAAGGUCAUCAUUACAGGGAACAACAGAACAAAGUCUGUUUUGGUGGGACUGCAGGGUGUCGUCAAGAAGGCUGUUGGUCUUGGUGGCUGGCACUGGCUGGUAAAAAAAACAGUUCUCCACUUUAAUAGCUUUUCAUGCAAUAUCAUCAUUAUCUGAUUGCAGAUGCCUUUGCGCUUUAUUUGCACCAUCCAGCCUGUCUGCUUGUAAUAAGAAUAUUAGACUUGGUUAGAUUUCAUCUGUCUCAAUCAUAAAUAGAUUCCAUAUAGAAGUAUGUCUGAAGAGAAGCUAUAAAGAAAAUUAAGUUUUCAUGAUAAUUCUUUGCCGUUGAAGCACUCUCCAACCAUGUUAUGAUUUGUUGGUGUGUUUAUGAUAUUGAUUGGCUCAUCUGCUAUGGUAAUCUUUAUUAAGGAGAAAGAAUUGGGAAUCAGGCAUUAUUUUUUCCAACUUUGUCCUCACCUCUGAAGGUCCUAAUCUUGAUCUAUGACAACCAAAAUACCUGCAUUUGCUAUCAAUACACUGAUAGUACAGGGAAGGACUUUGAUUAGAUAAGUGCAGUAAAACUAUGAUUUAUAGACUUUUGGUUGCUUAACUUUAAUAAUAUUACUUGAAGGUUCUAACCGGUGUGGUUGUUUUUAAUCCGAUCCAUGCUCCUUGUUCCAUAUAUGGGUUUCCAGGUCCUUAAAAAUGGGGUAGAGGUGAAGUUGCAAAGGAAUGCUUUGAGUGUGCUGGAAGCUCCAACUGGAAAUGAAGAUGACUAUGAGAUUGAUUGCAAUAACUCAAUCUGUAGUAGCUCUGACAUGGGAGAGAAAGAUGUUGAUUACUGUGAGUUUAUUACCUACUCUUGGAUUGUAGUUGUAAGGUUAGCAACUGUGAUGAGCAAUAUGAUUCAUUCAUCAGAACUAUUUCUUAUCUCCUCUUUGGUGUACAGCUAGAAUGGAGCUUCAUAAACCAACAAAGCGUAGGGUGAGGCAUACCGGACCUUGGGCAUCCUCAGUCAAGGCAAUGAGUCGAACCAGCUACAGGGAUAUGCGAUCUCAUAUGUUUAAGCCUCAAAAGGUAAUAAAUUUCGCUAUUGCAUGCUCAUCUAGAAUACACUGUUUAUCAGUGGAUUGUUGUAUAAAAUUGAUAAUGCAUAAGUAUUUUUACAAGGACAUGAUCCAGAAAAGUGGAAAUCAGACUAAGUAGUUUGGUUCCAGGCAUACAACCUUUAAGCGGGAAAAGAUGACAAUUAUGUUACCAUCAUUAUGAUAUCUCCAUGCGAGGAGGCAUAUCUAUGCAUUUUGUGUCAGAUGCAAUCUGUGGCAUUGUUGUUUAUGUUCUGAAUUCUUUAUUGAUGACAGAGGGUGAAUUUGGCAAAACUUGGAACUGCCGCUUUAUGGAGAUAUUGGGGGCAUUUCAAUUUGGUGAGUUAUAUCAUCAGUCACUUUCCAAUCAGAUUCUAGCCACACCUCUUCCCGGAAGCUAUGAAUUUCUUUGCAGAACUAACAUCAGAAAGAAAUUUCAGGUCAGCAGUAAUCCCAAUCCAUCUAAGAAGCAGCUGGUUCAUGGAGUGCAGCAUCAUUUCAUCUCUCAGGUACCCAUUGACCAUUAAUUGUUACCCUGCACUUCAUGUGAAUGUUGGCAUGCAUCGUUUAAAUGUUUUUAAAUUCAUAUGACGGAUGAUUUAUGCCAUAUACACUUGAAGCCCUGUAGGAUACCUGAUGCCGUAUUCUUCUAUAUUUUUUUUUCUGAACUAACCUUGUUCCUUUGUCCAUAUACAAAAGCAAGUGGAUGAGAUGCAGGUGAUUCUGGGCUUCAUCCAAACUGCAAGGAAGUUGAAAACUCUCCACUCCCGACAGGAUCGAGAUGAAAGGUACUAUUUUACAUGAAUAGGUCGAAGAAAGAAUGCUGCAUCUUCCUCUUGGAUGCUUUCUGAAGGUAUCGGGAAUCCCAUGUGUGAAGAGGGCUAACCUUUCCUAGACCAAGAACAGUAGCACAAUGUAAUUUACUGAUCCUUUUCAGGUGGGAAGUAGUGCUGCAGUAUGUAACUUAUCAGGUAUGAGUGUCCACCAAAUAUUCCUGACCUGGUAGAUUAACCUCAACAUGGAGCAAUGAAUUAGAAUUGCCCACCAGAAAACGAUGGUAGGAUGGAUUGGCAGAAUGAAUGUUAAUUUCUUAUAUUAUAUGUUGGCUUGAAAGCUGGACUAUCAGCCUAGUGUAGCGGUGCUGCAUAAACAAGCGGUUGUGAGCAUCUCCAGUCAGCCUUGCAAUUUAGCUUUGAGUAACGCAUGCUCCAUCACCAUAAAAGCUGGGCUUGAAUUGGAUUUCAGAGUCGGAAUAUAAAUGAGCCAAGUUUGAGAUUUCUCAACCUCAUGACUUCCUCCGGUGCCACCAACAACUGGAACCCGCGCUCGAGAUUCCAUUUAAGUUGGAACACGCGAGCAACGAACACCGGCGAUGGAUGCUGCCCCGAAAACUUUCCCUAUCGAAGCAGAUCUUCCAAGGUUGGUGAAGCGUGACCAGAGACUCUCCCAGGUCGGCCCGGCGUGCGUCCCACCGCGUCCACGGUCCACCCGGGCUGCCGAUGCCGGUGACUCUCUCAAAACCCGGUGGAGAUGGCGAGUGACGUGCGCUUGCCCACCGGGCUUGCUCCAAGCUGCUCUCCCCUUCCCGAUCCGUCGCUCGUUCUUCGUAAACGCCGCUUUUUGCUGUUUCCUUAAUGCUGUCGACCACUGUACCAGAUUAAGGUAAUCAGUUUCUAAGCCUCCAAUAUUUCGAAUAUCCGGGCCAACCAGAGUGACGUGUGAAUUCUCCCUCCUUACGGACAAAUGAAAACGUUGACAAGGAAAUGAAGAAGGCUUUGGAACUGGUUGGUUGCUGAAGUAGAUAAAUCUUCUUAUUUAUAGAGGAAAACAUCGGACAAGACGCUUCGGUCAAACUUCUGAAAUCUAUUGGGCAGCCGCCGUGUCAAAUAUAGGGCGCUGGCGUUGCACGCUCUUGGCAAAACCGCCUGCAGCUACUACUCUUACAUAGCAAUGCUCUUAGUCACCCAACUCUCCCUCGUAACAAACGAGCUUCGAUUCAAAUCAAUGCAGACUGGGCAUCCAGAACCAAUAAAUUAGGGGAACAACGGCAAUCAGAUUGGAAAUGAUUCAACGCGAUGUAGGCCUUUUUCGCUUUUCCCUUGAACAUGGUAAAAUGUCACAACACGAUACUCUCAAACAUACGCAUAGCAGAAGAGAAAGGUCAAAAGAAAAAAUACAAGAACUUGUUUGUGGGCAAAAUGAAGUGCCCCUGCAUAUGAAAGCAACAUCACAUGCUGUCUGAAACUUGAUGGAUGAACAAUCCUACAUACGGCGAUGAGCUCAAAGGCAUAAAGUUGGGAUCAGAGAUGAAAUUUCUUCAUUCCAAUCCAAGAAAGCAGGGUACGAAAAAGAAGUUUUUGCCGACCUAUCAGAACUUAUAAUUGCCACAGUGAUGUAAAUAUGGUGGAAGAGAAGGCUCCAGAAUGCAGACUGGUGUGCUAAUCAGAUUUGAGGUUGCCGUUGCUGAUAGGUGAAAUCGAUCGAUCCCUGCACCUUCUAUGCGACCCCCUCCCAUAUGGUGAGUGGGAUCGUUCCCGCCGGCCCCUUGAAUAAGAGCAAUCUCUUUCGCGUGGUCGAUACGGUGAGUAGCUACGAGAACGUCUACGAUCACGACCUGCAGAAAUUAUAAUAAGAAUAACAUAAAACAAGAUAAAAUAACAAUUUUCCUUAUACUCGCACCAAGCUACAGGAUAUCAUACUGUUAAUGCCCACAUUAUGUUGAGGAGAAAAAUUCCAAUCACACAGAACUGGAUACCACCUCAAAGGAACAACUUACCCAGGUUAAAGAUCCUAGUACUUUGUUUCUGAAACCAUCAUUGGCCCUCCCCACACGUUCACCUUACCUAAGGUUAAAGAUGCUUUCAUUUUAUAAGGAAUAUGGUAUAUGAAUCCUAGUACCUUGUUUCUGAAGCCAUCACAGCUCCACACACAAACAUCUGCCCCCCACCCCAAAAAACCUCCCCCAAUACACCCCUUACCUAGAUUAAAGAUGUUUCAUUUUGUAAGGUACAGUACAUGAAUCCUAGUACUUUGUUUCUGAAGCCAUCACAGUUCCACACCCACCCACCUAGACCCCCCCCCCCCUCCACCUAGGUUAAAGAUGCUUCAUUUUAUAAGGUAAAGUAUAUGAAUAUCGUAGUACUUUGUUUCUGAAGCCAUCAUAGGCCUUUGCUCGCUCACGUGCAUGCACACAUUCAUCCACACGCAUGCAUGUGCGCAUGAGCGCAGGGAGAAAGAGAGAGAGAGAAAGAGGGAAGGCACUAAUGCUCAUAAGUAGACUGGUACUCACAUAACAUAAAUGUGUAUAUAUGUUUUAGUCAAAAAUACAUAAUCGCCUUUUCUGCCAUAAGCAAAUUUGCCUACUAUAACCCUUCAAAAGAAGAGCAUAUAAAAUAUUCUCAUGGUGAAGCCUUAAUAUUCUGGGCUGAAAUAACCAAGUUGCUCCAACAGCCACCCUUUUUUUGGUGUAUGUGUCCAAAACAUUGUCUCACAACCUGUAAUUCCCCUAUCCUCAUCCUUUGCCCUCUUAAUUUAGGACAAACUCCUCUCCCGAAUAUCCCAUCAUCAACUGUAAAAUAAAAAACUCAUAAAGAAAAAUCUCUAGCAAUAUGAUUAUGCCCAAUACACCAAAGGGUCUGUAAUAUACACAUUGGACCUAACUGCAAUAUUGCUGACGAGGAUGAUAAGAAAGCACAUGCAAAACCAAAGUGGUCCACUCACAAUAUCCCAGUUACCUCUGGUGCUAUAAGUGCACAAAGGUGAAAACCCUCUUUUGGACGGUUGGACCUCUCUGUGUCUUCCCACAUCUCAUGCAAGAGGUCCAAAGGGCUCACCAUCAACUGCCUUGCACAUCUUAACAUAUUUCUUCACUUUAUCCAAGAGGCCAACGGCCUUACCAUUAAAAUGCCUUCUUAGUCGAGACGAGACAGGCAGGUUAGCAGCCCACAAUUAAGAGACCAGGUGAGUCCAGUGCAAGGAGAGCUAUCUGGUUAUCUGAAGCACCUUGCAACUUAUACUAGGAUGUUGGAUGAAGAGGAUAAGAAAGGGAGGGUCCAACAAUGCAAAGUUUGGUUUCCUACCAAGGACAAGUCAAUCUAUCACAGUCGGCAAGAAGGGGGGAAUCAGUCAGCCAGAGGUCUCAGACAUUCAUUCAUAUUAAAGGUCAACAAAGUAGACUUAGAUAGUCCCUGGAUAAAAUUGAACAUUUGAGUUCUCAAUGCUCUUUCGCUUGUCUUUAUGUCCCUUUGGAAGAUAGAAGAAAAGACAUCUGUUGAACUAAUGAAUGAAAAACUUGUAUUUCAAUCAUAUAAUAGUCAUCCCUUUAUUAAAUAAAAAUUUGCUCACUCCAGUAUCAGAGAAAAGACAUCUUUUUUACAUUGUUGAAGUAAUGAAUGAAAAGCUUGUUAUUUUUCAGAUCAUAUAGUAGUAUACUAGUAUCCCUUUAUUAAAUGAAAAUUUGCCCGCUCCAGUAUCUUUUUUUUUCCUUUCUUUGGUUACAUUUGAUAUCUUUAUUUAAUUUUACCAAGAGAUUAAUCUAUUACAUCAGAUAAUUUCACCAAUUCAAAAGACACAUGGCAAAACUCUCCUGCAAUUGCUGGUAAACUAUAGCAAGCAUGAAGAUGCUUGUCUUGAUCUCAUUCAUGCUAGAGUUUAUCAACAUGCCCAAUGACUUCAGAAUGCAAUCUACCUAUCAAUAGGUCCUCUUAACCUUGUUCAUGCAAAUCUAUAGCAAAAAGCACAUAUUCAUUAUGAAAUAAUCAUCUCUAUUUGCAUAUAUAUAAAGAUACUAGACCUAACUAAAAUAGGUCAUAAAGUUUGAGUAAACUGUGGUCUAAUUGCUCAUUGGAAAUAGCAUACUUUAGAAAUGUGUCCAACAUGUCCUCGCGCACUAGAUGUACAAUACAAUUGCAAUUUCACAACAGCACAAAGAGUAUGAAGGUAAAAGAAAAACAAUAUUUUCCUGAAACAAGAUACCAAUAUAUACCAUUGAUUUCCAUCAGACAUACUUGAAUGUGAAUCACAAAGAGACACACUUUAGAAGCCCAAAUGCAUAAUUUUUCAAAUAUGUUUAACUUUUGUUGGAAGCACCCACUAAAUAAAUUUGUUGCACACCUAGGAAUAUAGGCCAUUAUACAUCACAGGCAUGCACUUUAGGUUGUAAUUCCUAUUCUAGUUUCUUUUUCAACGCACCAUAUCUCUAAUUUGAAAGAACCUAAGUAGCUUGUGUAGAAGUAUACUAUUAAACUAAAAUAGCUGCAAACAAGCCCAUAUAAAUGUUAUAGAAUAGGUAUCUUUAAGGUACGAUGUGUCGGUACCGAACUUCGUACUGGUGCCACUCUGUUACUAUGUUGGUACAUUCGGUAUGGAGGCCAGUUCAGUGUAUCGAGUGUCGGUAUGUCCCCCAUACUACAUAUUGAUAUAGUAUGAUAUGUUCUGUACCACCCAGUUCAGUAUGAUAUGGCAUACCUUGGGUAGCUUACUUACAAAUGCUAUGAUGAGGAAGGAUGUUGAGAGAAGGUACUUUUCUUGAAAGGCAAGCCUAGCUAUGAGCAAGGAAGAUAUCCAUGAAAACAAAGAGAACCAGCAUUUGGCUAUGAAAAGAGUGCACUUGCACACAAGAGAGAGAGAGAGAGAGAGAUUGGUUUAGAUAAAAGAAAUAGGCAAAUAGUUUGACCUGUAAUUUGAAUGGCAAGUGAGCUGUUAAAAUCUCUUUUGGAGAAAUGUUAAAUGAGAACUGGGAGAAAUUUGGGCACUCCCUAUACGCUUAUCAUGGAAAGUAGAUAAGCCGGGAUUUUUACCGACUCUAAUUAGUUUAGGAAAUAAAAUUUGAAUGAGAUUAGACAGUGGGAACUUCUAUAGACUUUGAAAUUUAUGGAGCGGGGUGCCAUGUAUGCCAAUUGGAUUUCAAGUGGGGGCUGUUAAAUUUGGAUGAUGUGGAGACUAUAGAGAUUUAUAAGAGAUCAUAAAACAACAUGGAAUUUGGAAGUACCAUGGCCUCUGCUUGCCCCACCUUGGAUCCGCCAUUGAUGGAAAUUAUUCUGUUCAUGAGAUUCCAAUAUUCUAGGAUUCACUAAUAAUAAGAAUAAGCUAAUGAGCUUCCCCAGAUUAUGGAGAGGGUUAAAAGCCCAUGAUGCCCAGAAGGAAAACAAACAAAUGGGUCAUCUUGAAAGCAACACAUGUUAAGUUAUUGAAUAAUAAGUAAUAUAAUUUAAAUGUAUCUCGAAUCUUGAGAAGAUUUUAGCAUAUAGUUUAAGAAAUACUUUAAAUGCCUCUCCAUUACGACAUGGGUGUCACAUGUUCAAAACAUAGAAAUAGCCUCUCCGCAGGGAUAAGGCUACAUACAUUUGAGCCUCCCGCCUCU
rnacentral:lncRNA from 1 species